rnacentral:lncRNA from 1 species
CAAAGCAUCCUAUGUCAUGUAAGAUUCCAUCCCAUCUAAUAAGUAAGGCGAGUUCCUAUUCAUACAUUCUUCUAGAAACAUUAUGUUAGAUUAUAUUAGAUUGAUUAAGGUUUUUUUCUACCAUACUGUUAAGUAAUAUGUCUAAUUAACAUUAAGGAAAUUGGGAGGUAAUUGAGUGAUGAUGUGGUUCGACCGUUAAGCUCCAUUUUGCUGGACUUUCUUCUUAGUUUGGUUUUAAUAUACGAUGCGUAAUAAAUUAAAACGAAACAAGGUAAUCACAAUGAUCGGAGGCUUUUUAAAAAAUAAAUUUAAUUUUGUGCUUUCUUAUGUAAAAUUCAAAAUGUUCUUUAAAUAUAAAAAGUCAUUAUUCAAAUUACAUAUUAAUGUUUACGUGUUGUGAAAAUUUCAUAUGUUUCAAGACAAAAUAAUGUAAAAUGUAGACCGAGACAACAUUAGAAGAAACAAAAAUAAAAUGUAAAAGUCUAUCAAGACAAGCCGUGAGCUAAGUUGGUGAUGCUCUUGAAAUCCGCUAGAGGUGUUGGACCAUGUCGUUGUCCUUUGUACUUGUUAUCUUUUCUUUUUUCCUUACUUUUUCUCUUUUUGGGCGAACAGAAAGUGUAAGGUAACAUGAUGUUGAAGCAAAGCCACAAUUUUUCACUUCAUUGGCCGACAAAUGAGAAUCAAAAUCCACUUACGAGGGCUACACUACAUCCACCACAAUCUGCUCAAGCCCGGAAACUAUCUCAUUGCAGCUUAGAAAGUUAUCAUAGCUGUCUUGAAAGGGGCAGCAGCAUAGGGAAUGCCCCGAUGGAUGCCCACUCUCUAGUGUUCAGUGGACAAGAUCAGCUUAUGCUAGGUGAUAAAAUGUUGUAUUUUGCAAGACCGUACGUGUCAGAGAACAAGACAAAUGAAGAUAUUGAGUCUCAAGGUCUAGCGUCCCUGUCAAUUUGUGCACAAUCUCUUUUGAACUCUUUACCAAGCCCCUUUUCUUAUUAGUGUUGAACUCAAGUUCUUCUAAAUCACAUCCAACGAGUACGAUAAAUGUGUCCCAAUAUAUGAACUAUUUGAAGAAAAAGUACAUAAAAUGGUCAAGUCCAUAUAAAUGAGUAAUAGCAUGAGUCUUAACAUGAUACUAAAUAUUUCAUGAAACAUUUGGCAAGAUGCUUGCGAUCUUUAAUAAGGAUAGCAGGUGUUGCAGGUUCUUAUUCACUGAUAAUCACAAUUAGUUGUUGUAUUUGGUCACUCCCCCUUCCAUGUUAGUUGCAUGUUCAUAAUUUCUAUGGAUGCUGAUUCAAUUAUAUUUAAUUCCAUUUCUUUCUAACCGCCCCUUGCUCUACCAGGAUUUUCAAAAGAAAUCAUGUGACUCUUAGUAUGUACGUAACGAUAAUUGUAAUUUUUCAUGUGAGCAGUAACUUUUUACAAGAUAUUCGACUUCCAAUAUAUAAAUAAGUACUCACCUAUUUACAUUAUUAAUAAUCACAAAAGGUAACCUAUCUACAUUGAUUCUUAUCGUCCCAUGUAUUUUAAAAAAAGGACAAGUUUGAAAAAAAAAAUUGAUGAUUUUUGCAAUGUAAUAGUAAAUCUUAAUUUGUAAGACCAAAAAUUUACAUAAAGUUUGUGACCUAUUCAUGGGACGAGUAAGUUUUGCUUUAAAAAAGUAAUUACCACCGACCCUGUUUAAUAAAAGAAAAUAUAGGAAUUGACAAACAAUAUUUAAGCCGCCCACGGGUCUAGAAAGUGAAAAUUAAAGUUUUUUUUUUCUCAGCAGCUGUAAAUGAAAAUUUCUCCCAAGGGGGCUAAAGAACAAAUGAGCCCGGCUUUUUUCUGAUGAUGCCCAUUUUCCUAGUUUCAUCACAUGCUUUCCUUAGAAAACAGUGCACGUUCACAUGCUUUCCUUCUAAUACAGUGCCGGUUAACAUGCAUGCCUCAGUUGUUUUGUAGUAAACACCGGAGUAUUAAGAUUUAAUAGAACUUGGAUCUUGAGAAGACGGAAAAUUAUCAUAGCUGCGGGGGCAACUUAAAAUCUAACUUCACAUGGUAAAAAAAAUUUAUGUUAACGAAUUUCUGCUUUUGUCUGAAUAAAAAACUGAAGAAAAGAUUAUGAAGUAUAAAUUGUGAAUGAAGUAGUAUGAAACUUUUGUGGGCAAGAAAUUGCAAAUUGGUAUAGAAGUACGAUGUGCAGUGGGAUAACAAAAAAGCAAGCUGAUGAGGAUGCUUUUGGACUUUAGAUUUUAAUAUGCGGAAUGGUAGAACGGCUCUUAAAGUUGGCUAAUCUUCUCUUGUGAAUUCCAUUUAGAAUUGGAAAUUGGGACAUGUUACAUCUUCUUAUGUGCCCAAUUUGAAGAAGGCUAAAUAUCCUAAAUAUGUAAAUCUUUACACCAUAUAAGUCAUUUUUAAAUCCAAAUAAAAGACUUCGAUAGUUUCCCUAAGCAUUCUUUGUUUCAUCAAUUUAUUCAUUUUUAGAAAAGCUCUCUGGUUAGUCUCUAUAAGAAAGAACGAACCUGGCUAAUAGUGGGCUGAUCAACGGCCGACCAACAAAGGCGAGGCCCCAACCGGCUAGAUCAAGAGAGGAGGACAGGAGACGGUGUCGACAAGAUCAAGAGAGAGAUGAGAUGAGAUGGCAUGGGCAAAGACUCCAAGAAUAGAGAGAUUAAGGGCACUGCUAGGGAAAGUCAAGAGACGAAGAGUCUGAGAGAGAGGCUAGCUAUGGGAGUGAGAACUAAAAGAGAGUAGCGAGGGUCUUUAAAUUUAAAAGAUUUAGCACUGCUUUGAACUGUUCCAAAUAGGGGUGAUUGGUCCAGGGUGGGUAGGUUAUAGACCUAGACCCUGUACCCGACCUUAUUAUAACCGGUUCCCCUUUUUUGGACCAUGUACCCGACCCACCCUAUUUUUUCGGUCCAGUUCUAGGGUUAACCCUGUUUAUAUUGGAACCUGUUUUGCAAUUGCCCAUCCUAUACGACUUCGAAUUUUAUAUUAAUACGCGAUAAAACAACAUAAUUCUUCUAAUUUAUAUUGAAACAUUAAGCACUUGUAAUUAAUAAGUAAAUAAACUUUUUGACUAAACAAAAAACUAAGGAUUCACAAGGCAAAUUAUCAUAAACAAAAUCAUAAGGAAACUAGCUCCUGAUAUGACGCCUCCCAUGAUCAAAUAUAUUCUCUAGGGGAUAUCCAAGGGUGAUUCAUUCAUCUCAGGAAGUCACUCCGAAGCUGUACGUUUAAUUUAAACAGAAUGUCUUGAAACCCAUCGAUCGGACAUCACUUAUAUAAGACAAGGAAGAAAAUCCAGUGCAGCUGAAGCCAGAUAAGAGAUUUCAGGAGCUUGAAAACUGCAGAUCCUACACCAUCAGUCUCAUUAGCAUUGUUUUCAAGAUCCAUCUCUCGAUUCCAUGACAGAAUAUCACUACAAUCCCUGAAAACCUAUACCUCAAACAGUUUACUUGACUGCUUUUUCGAAAACGUUGAUCCAGAGUUUUCCAUUGGCAGAAGAUGUAGCAUAGUUUACAUGAGACAAUCUACGGUGACUACUACCCCGAAUGAUUUUAAGUUUUCUUUUCAGCCUGCUUCAAUGGAGAACCAAACACUUCACCAUGAAAACCCAAAUCUGCUACGUUGAUUAAUUAAAUGGCAAAUUAUCAAUGCUUGGAAGGCAGGACCGAACCAUUAAAGCUAUUAGUAGACGCCCACUGAAAAGUUCACGACACAGCAGGCAAUGAUCCGUUCAAUGAAUCCAAAGCGCAAUACUUAUCGUUCAUACUUCAGAACUGGGAGUUGCAUCGAGACAAGCAUUGAUUGCAAGACAAGCAUUAACAAGGAAAUGGUUUGCAACAGCAUGACAAUUUCAAUUAAACUCUCUUGCACAAAACAAAAAUCAUUUUCAAUUCAAGUACAAAAAGAACCAAAGUGAACAGCAGUUUAAUAAUUUUCACUUCAAAUGUGUCAAUAAAUCAAAAACAAUUAGACAGACCCAUUUGGAAAAUUUGGUUUGGUACAGAAGUUUUUUGAGCUUAUAAGAAAAAGAGAGAGAGAGCAGCUUAAAGGUGCUUGAAACCUACAUAAACAAAUUGAAAUCUUAAAACCUAGCUUGAUAUCUACACAUCAAAGGCUAUCAUUGAGCUGAUCUACAUAGACUAUUUAUAAUCCCACUACCUUCCCCAAUGAGAAUAUUUAUAAUCCAAACUGUAUGGCGAUAUAUGUGGUAAAUUAUUAAAAUGGGACUCCAUCCAACCAAAUUCAACUACGUAACAAACAUUGAGAUUCCUACUAAAAUCAAUAAUCUUAAAGCAGUCUCGUCUUCCAAACCAACUCAAAAUUUGGAGAGAAAUAUAUAGAAAGUUGGGAAACCAAAAACAGUUCAUGCUGUCUAGAAGACCAGCUCGUGCGGCUUCAUGCCCGCCUUCAAGGAGAACCUGGCAGCUAAGUAUGUCUUCAAAUAAAGUAUGAAGACACAAGAACAUAAUANNNNNNNNNNNNNNNNNNNNNNNNNNNNNNNNNNNNNNNNNNNNNNNNNNNNNNNNNNNNNNNNNNNNNNNNNNNNNNNNNNNNNNNNNNNNNNNNNNNNUUUCUGUUCUUUUUUUGUUCCAGGGAACAUAAAUAAAAAAAGUGUUUCUGUUCCGGGGAACAAUUUUUGAACAAAAGAACGCGUUUGGUAACGUUUGUUCCGGGAAUAAAAAAUGAAUAGAAACACGUUUGGUAAAUUUUAUUCUUUUUUGUUUCUUUUAAUUUUUUAAACAUUUUUAUUUUAUUUUUCAUUUUUUCCUUUCUUUUUUUCUUUUUUCUUUUUUCGGCCGGUCCCCGGCCUCCGGCGACCGGCCGACGGGGCCGGCAGCCUCGCCCAGCCACGGCGAGGCUCGCCGUGGUUGGGCGAGGCUCGGCCUCGCCGGGGGCCGGCGACGCUCGGCCUCACCGGAUCUGGGCGAGGCUCGGCCUUGCCGGGGACCGGCGACGCUCCGGCGAGGUCGCCGACCCUCGACGGUGUCGCCGGCCAAAGAAAAAAGAAGAAAAAAAAGAAGAAGAAAAGAAGAAGAAAAGGGAAGAGAUAGAAUUUUUGUUCUUUUUUUGCUUCGAAGAAGUGUUUCUUUUCUCAGAAACAAUUUCUUUUUUUUGUUCCUAUUUCGUUCCAGGAACAAAAAAACAAAAAAAGAACAGAAACGCAACCAAACGCGUUUCUGUUCUUUUUUUGUUCCCGGGAACAAAAUCCGUACAGAAGUGUUCUAGAAACGUUUCUUUGGAGCGUUUCCAUGCACGCCCGAAAUGAACCUAGAGCUUUAUUUUGUAUGAUAAAGGAGAAAUUCAGCUUUCUGUCCUUUAGCAUCGCAGUUGAGGGGCAGAAGGAUCAGUACGAACCCAGCUUACCCGAGUUCUACGAUUUCUUCCCUCUCUCCCCUAGCUUACCCCUACUCAUUCACAAUGAGUUCCCAUAUGAACAAAAAAAUUCAAAAUUUUCCACCAAUUUGACAAGAAAUCCAGCUCAGGAAAGCACCCCCAAAGAAGAGAAAAUAUUGGCUGGGUUUUACCCUCCACGUAGGCGAUGGGUAAGACCACUCAGUGAUCGACACGUGGCGCCACGUAGCGACGGCGUCAGAAGUUUAAAAUUUUCGCGCGCCGCUCCUGAAGCCCACCACUCUGACACUCUCUCUCCUCUGUUCUCCUCUGUGACCUGUCCACUCGUCCUCUCUCUCCUCUCUCUCCCCGUUCUCCCCGUUCUCCGUUCCAUUUUGCGGGAGAACAAAAGUCGCAGGUGCUUCUUUUCGAAUGCUCUUCCCCCUCCUCUGCUCUCUCUCCUCCGCUGGCAACCCGCGACGCCUCGCCUACAAGCGUGAGCAUGUUGUUUUUCAGUGAUGUGNNNNNNNNNNNNNNNNNNNNNNNNNNNNNNNNNNNNNNNNNNNNNNNNNNNNNNNNNNNNNNNNNNNNNNNNNNNNNNNNNNNNNNNNNNNNNNNNNNNNNNNNNNNNNNNNNNNNNNNNNNNNNNNNNNNNNNNNNNNNNNNNNNNNNNNNNNNNNNNNNNNNNNNNNNNNNNNNNNNNNNNNNNNNNNNNNNNNNNNNNNNNNNNNNNNNNNNNNNNNNNNNNNNNNNNNNNNNNNNNNNNNNNNNNNNNNNNNNNNNNNNNNNNNNNNNNNNNNNNNNNNNNNNNNNNNNNNNNNNNNNNNNNNNNNNNNNNNNNNNNNNNNNNNNNNNNNNNNNNNNNNNNNNNNNNNNNNNNNNNNNNNNNNNNNNNNNNNNNNNNNNNNNNNNNNNNNNNNNNNNNNNNNNNNNNNNNNNNNNNNNNNNNNNNNNNNNNNNNNNNNNNNNNNNNNNNNNNNNNNNNNNNNNNNNNNNNNNNNNNNNNNNNNNNNNNNNNNNNNNNNNNNNNNCGCCUCCACCUCCGCCUCCGCCUCCACAGGUUGCCUCCGCCUCCACCUCCGCCUUCACAAGGGACAUCGACGACCUGAAGAUUGCUGUUACUAUCCCGUCAGUCCUUUCGGCACAAAGGUUAGUCUCAUACCGUAAGGUAUGAUGUUUAACAAAUGCUGAUGGUUCAAAUGGUCAAAUCUUAGAGUGGGAACAUGUACCUGCUAUGAUAGCUGGUAUAGUUUCUUUGGUUUGCACUUGAGUUUCCUCUUUGCAUGGUGGGUUCUUUCUGUAGAUUUGAGGUUUGUCACCAUGUUGCCCAUGAUAAUUCUGUUUUCUUAAUGUUCCAAUUAAAGAAUAAUAACAGAACAAGUGCUGGUUUUCUCACUGAUAAUUGUGUUUAUUUACUGAUCAUGUGUGCCUAAUAGGUUUUGUCUAGUAGCAAAAGCACCUUUGUGAAAGGAGCCUGUGGAGUUGGCUUGGCUUUUUCAUGCCAGGAUCUUCUAACUAGGACCGAAGCUGCUGAUAAUGCUGACAGAGAUUCCUACAAGAUGGCUGAAGUUGAAUUAGUAGGGAAUAUUAUCCGGUCAUUAUCUAUCACGAUCUUGGAACUUACAAAAUCAACAUCCCAGAUUCUUCAAAGUCUGUGUGAACAUUUUCCCAAUGACAUGUGUGAGAAUGGUAGAUGUCAGAAUCCUCAUUUCUUGAAUGAGGACAGUGAUCUUGUGGAGGAAGACACCUGGGUCUUGCUGGACUUGUUCUUGGUUUGGGCAGCUCUAUUAGUGCAGUUUACCGAAGUGGGGAAAUUGAUGUGACACUGAAGAUAAAGGACUUGAUAACUUCAUGGAUUCCACACACGGAGCCAUUUGUUUGGAGCUCUAACUCCUGCAAUGAAGGAUCUGAGAUGCUUCUAUCUGUUGGAUCUUGUCUUGCACUUCCCAUGGUUGUGGCUUUCUGCCAGAGAGUAGAAUUGGUGGAUGUUGGUGAACUAAACCAACUGAUGAAUAGUUAUAGAGAACUUAUAUCUGAAUUAUUGUCUGUUAAAAAGUCAGGUGCAUUCCACCAGAGCUUGUUGAUGGAAUCAUGUGCUGGAGCAGGGAGUCUCCUUGCCUGUGUUGUGAAGGAAGGCAUAGAUUCCAUUGAAGUUGGAUGUCUGAAAGAAUUACUGGAAUUGUUGAGGAGAUAUUAUUCCAAUCCUCAGCCUCCCUCCACUUAUCUGGGAGGGAUGCUUGGAAUGGUUAAUUCUUUGGGUGCAGAAGCUGGGUUGGUUCUGAUUCAUCCCUUAUCCUCCAAUUAUGGUCGUUACAGGCUGAAGGUGAUUGAGGAUUUUCCUCAACUAGCCUUCUAAUCAUUUUUCAUGGUCCUUGUUUCUUACAGUGAAAUGUUCUCUUGGCAGGAAUCUUCUCAUAUAAUACGUGCGCUUCUUUCAAGUCCUGUCUGCGAGCCUUUGUUAACAUCAUCAAUGCAAGAGAUGUUUCUUGUUGCUCAACAUUCUGAAGAUAAUCAGCUGCAACAAUACUCUGCGUGGGCACAUUCUCUUUUCUUCGACAUAGUCUGUGGUCCAAGGAAGUAAAUUCGGAUGAUCAUAUUCAGACUGAUACCACUGUCUCAGAAGUUGCUUCUCAAAGUUUCUCCAAUGACAGUAUAGUCAUUAAACUCUGCUCAUGGUUAACGAUUGUGAAUUCAUCAAAGAUGAAUAGGCCAAAUACAGAGGUGAUGAGCUCCAUUUAUUGUUCUUGUUUCAGAAUUCUUCAUGUUGAAAGUUUAUGUCACUCUAUAUAUGAUGAAGGACUCACUAUAAAACUUUAGUCAGAAGUGGUUAUCAUGGACUCACAAAAUCAACUUAUAUUUUGCUUUCUGAAGUGUUUGAUUUUCCCUUGUUGGUGUAUUUUCUGUUGUUGAGACUCAAAAUUCUUGAAUAGAACGAAAUGAAGACAUGUCCAACAUAUGGUUCAAGAUGACCUAUAACCUUGUGAAUGCAGUGGUGAUCAAAAUAGAAGUUACUAGAUUUGUUUGAUGGGUUUUCUUUAACAUUUGACUUGCAGACACAUGGAAUGUGCUUGUUGAAGUUGUAGCAACUUUACAACGUGCUGAAGGAAGCAUUAAAAGACAGUGGCUUGUUUAUGCAGUGGAGAUUAGCUAUGUCUCUAAUUUUCCCUCUACGGUAUGCAACUAUUCCCAUACUUUUUGACGCAUUACUAAUGAAAUGGAUAGGGCAUUAACUAUUGCUUCUGUUCAUAAGUUGUACGUGUCUCGGUUUGCUUGAAGGCUUGUCCAUACCCAGCAUGUUAUAUUAAUUGCAAUUAACAAUGAUGAAUAAAAAAUGACUUCAAAAGUAUUUAAGUUUUGACUUAUAAAUUAGAGUCAAACAACAAAAGAAGUCGGUCCUGCCUUUUUGUUCCCCCUUAACUCUCUUAGUCCCAUUCUAAUUAUCGAUUGAAGGUACUCAAGUAAUGUGAGUUGAAAGAGAUGCUUUCUUGUAUUCAGUGUGUUGUACUGCAUCGGGAUUAUGAGUGAUGAUGCUUAAGUGUUUAGUAAACACACCACUAGCUCUUUGUUUUCAGGACAGGUUUGCCUCUAUAGUAAGAUGUUAAGUUUCCAUUUUAUUACCUCAGCUCUGUUGCCUCGUGAUAAAAUGGGUUUCUGCUCAUGUGGAAAGAUGGAGCAAAUGGGAUUCGCUUAUUUGUGUUGCUGCUGUAAGAUUACAUGUCUGUUCAUCAUGCUUCUAUGUAACUUUCUUAAUCUCUUGCAGCCAAUGCAAUUUAUUGGCCUGCUCUCAGGCAGUUGCUGCAAAUACAUGCCUUUGUUGAUCCCGGAUCGCUUCAGUGUCUUGUCUCUCUGCUAAGGUAACAAUGGUAUCUCAUAUUUGAUUAGUUUUGUGUUGGUUAGUUAAGAAAGGUGAGAAUAAAUUCCCAUCUCCAACAGCUCAGUUUCAGUGAGGCUUUAUGUUUUGUCUCCUUGUCUAUGAGAUUCAUUUUGCUCUAUUGUAUAUAUUUCAUGGCAUCCGAGCUGUAACUAGUCCAAUGGGGUGUCUACUUAUUGUCAAGGUACUUCCUUUACUUUAUCCUAGAGUAUUUUGGCAUACAUGUAAACUUGUGUAUACAAGGGAAAAACUAAAAAUUUUGUGAAUGGCACUUUCAUUGCCACGGAAAUUCCGAGAGUUUAUGCAGUUCUAGCAGCCGCAUAGACCACAAGUACUUAUUUCCCUGUGCUAUGACAUCUGUCCAAAACAGAAGAUCUAACAGAAAAAGGAUUACAAUCUCCCUUUUGCAGAAUUAUACAGGUGAUCGCUUGAACUUUGGAUUGGCUGCUGAGCUGGCUAAAUCUGAAGGUGGAGAUAAACCAGCUCCUGAGCCUGAUCAUCAACACCUUCUACAGCAACAAGGAGACCUUCCUCCACGAGCUCAUCAGCAACUCCUCUGAUGUACGUCUCCUCCACCUCGCUUUGAAGUACUAGGUUGCCUUGUUCAAUGUCUUUUGUCUGUUAGGUGUUCGUAAGGGCUUGCAGGCUUGAAGAUUAGAGAGAUUUAUGUUUGCUUGAAGUAGUUGUUCGAUGCCUAGUGAAGACUUAAGCGUGUCAUUUUUAGUUGAUUGGAUGGCUCUGCCUUCGUGUCAUUUUUAGUUGAUUGGAUGGCUCUGCCUUAGGCAUUGUUGAGAAAUAAUCGUGAUUGAAAUGCGAUAUUGUGAUGCUGAAGGUGAUAUAUUGAUUCUGAUCUGUGAUCGGUUUGUGUGUGCUUUAGGCAUUGGAUAAGAUUAGAUAUGAGAGCCUCACGGACAAGAGCAAGCUCGAUGCCCAGCCUGAGCUGUUCAUUAGGCUGGUGCCGGACAAGGCCAACAAGACCCUUUCGAUCAUUGACAGUGGCGUUGGCAUGACUAAAGUAGGUAAUGUAAUUGGCUGACAGAGAUUGAUCAAUUUUCUUGCUCACGUCUUUUGGCUAUGGCUAUGUUCCUACGCGAUAACGGUUACUGUUACGUUGAGUUCAUUUAAGUUGUGAGACUGUUGGUAGAUAUUAACGUCUGAGAUGAAUUGGACAGAUCUUGUGAACAACCUGGGUAAGAUUGCGAGGUCAGGGAUGAAAGAAUUCAUGGAGGCAUUGCAGGCGGUAGCUGAUGUGAGCAUGAUCGGUCAAUUUGGUGUCAGUUUCUACUCUGCUUAUUUGGUGGCUGAGAAAGUCAUUGUGACUACUAAGCACAAUGAUGAUGAGCAGUACAUCUGGGAGUCCCAGGCCGAUCGUUCCUUCACCAUUACAAGAGAUGUGAGUGGGGAGCAACUCGGCAGAGGGACCAAGAUCACCCUCUUCCUUAAGGAGGACCAGGUGAGUUCAUUUAUGGUUGCUUUUAUGAAUUCGUGGAGAAGAUUUGCAUUGGUUUUGGAUGAUACAUGAUGCUGUCAGCGUCACGUCUCUGUUUUCCUCAGCUGGAGUACCUGGAAGAAAGAAGGAUUAAGGACCUUGUGAAGAAGCACUCCGAGUUCAUUAGCUACCCCAUCUAUCUAUGGACUGAGAAGACAACCGAGAAAGAGAUCAGUGAUGAUGAGGACGAUGAGCCCAAGAAGGAAGAGGAAGGAGAUGUUGGGGCCGUCAAUGAGGAGAAGGAAGAAAAGAAGUCCAAGAAGAAGAAGAUUAAGGAAGUUUCUCAUGAGUGGCAGCUCAUCAACAAACUGAAACCCAUCUGGUUGUGAAAGCCAGAGGAGAUCACCAAGGAGGAGUAUGCUUCCUUCUACAAGAGCUUGACCAAUGAUUGGGAAGACCAUCUUGCCGUGAAGCACUUCUCUGUUGAGGGGCAGCUUGAAUUCAAGGCUAUUUUGUUCGUCCCAAAACGUGCUCCGUUCGACCUCUUCGAUACUCGCAAGAAGAUGAACAACAUCAAGCUCUAUGUUAGGAGGGUUUUCAUUAUGAACAACUGCGAGGAGCUCAUUCCAGAGUAUCUGAGAUUCGUGAAAGGAGUUGUUGAUUCUGAUGACUUGCCCCUCAACAUUUCUCGUGAGAUGCUGCAACAGAACAAGAUUCUGAAGGUCAUCAGGAAAAAUCUUGUCAAGAAGUGCAUUGAGAUGUUCAAUGAGAUUGCAGAGAACAAGGAGGACUACAACAAAUUCUAUGAGGCCUUCUCGAAGAACUUGAAAUUGGGUAUCCAUGAAGACAGCCAGAAUAGAGCUAAAGUUGCAGACCUCCUCCAGUACCACUCGACAAAGAGUGGGGACGAAAUGACAAGUCUGAAGGAUUAUGUCACGAGGAUGAAGGAGGGUCAGAAGGAUAUCUACUAUAUCACUUGUGAAAGCAAGAAGGCUGUAGAGAACUCUCCGUUCUUGGAGCGGCUCAAGAAAAAGGCUAUGAGAUGCUUUUCAUGGUGGACGCAAUUGACGAGUAUGCUGUAGGACAAUUGAAGGGAGUAUGAUGGAAAGAAGUUGGUCUCUGCAACCAAAGAGGGCCUGAAACUUGAUGAUGAAAGCAAGGAAGAGAAGAAGAAAAAGGAGGAGAAAAAGAAGUCCUUUGAGAACUUGUGCAAGACAAUGAAGGACAUUUUGGGAGACAAAAUAGAAAAAGUCGUGGUAUCGGAGAGAAUUGUGGACUCUCCCUGCUGUUUGGUGACGGGAGAAUAUGGAUGGUCUGCAAAUAUGGAAAGGAUUAUGAAGGCUCAGGCUCUGAGGGACAACAGCAUGAGCUCUUACAUGUCAAGCAAGAAGACAAUGGAGAUCAACCCUGAUAAUGGCAUCAUGGAGGAGCUGAGGCUGAUAAGAACGACAAGUCCGUGAAGGACUUGGUGAUGUUGCUGUUUGAGACUGCUCUUUUAACAUUCGGGUUCAGUCUCAAUGACCCCAACACUUUCGCAGCAAGGAUUCACAGGAUGCUGAAGCUGGGUCUGAGCAUUGACGAGGAUGAGACUGCUGGUGAUGAUGUUGACAUGCCUGCCUUGGAAGAGGAUGGUGCUGAGGAGAGCAAAAUGGAGGAAGUGGACUAAGCUUCUGCGACAUCGAAGUGAAUUCCAUUUUGUACUAGUGCCAUAGAAAGAUGAGGGGUGUGUGAUAUGUUAAUGGAUAUAGUGCUUCUAAAUUGUUACUUCUAUUAUUGUAUCCAUAAGGCUUAUCAUCUGAAAGGAGUUCGAUAUUUUGUGCUACCAGCAGUGUGUAAAUGAUUUUGUUUGGCAGAUCUUGUUAUCGUGUUUGCGAUAGAAUUUCAGGGUAACAACUCCUUAAGGCGUCAUUGUUGCGUGAAUUGGACUUGGAAAUUUAAGAAACUCUCAAAGUUCGGUGCAUGCAGAGUCCCUAAGGGCAUGAGCCUAUUCGAACAGUGAGUGUGGAAUGGACUCAAACAUGGUGGAAGAAAUACAUAGCACUCUUUUGAGGCGACAGCUUCUUGAUCAAUUAUCUACCUACUCGUUCCUUACAUGUGCAUGGCAUUACCCACGAAAGGGUCCCCCUUCUCAAUAGUAGGAAGUCACGGUUGUACUAUUCUGCACCAAAGUUUGCGCAAAGAAUGAAAGAAAAGUUUACAUAGUUCUGUCCGUUGGCUUUAACCAUGUUUGGAUUGCCUCAAUAGAAAUGUGAUUGGCAAUCUCUACUGAUUCUGUAUGUUCAGGACUACCAAGCGAGCAAAAUAUAAGUAUGUAUUACAUCUGAUCUCCGGAAGAAACUCCUGAGUCACUCGUGCAUACAUGUAAUGUAAAUUGAAACCCAUAUCUUCAUGGGCUUUCUAGUUCAGCAUAAGCUCGUACAUAGCUCAAUGUUAUUGCCUUCCGAUUGAGAAAACGGAAGUAUAAUACAAGAAUGCGGGAUUCCGAAAUAGGUGUAAUGUAUUCCAUGUGGAUUAUCUACCUCCAAAUGAUGGAUUUUAUGUGUAAUCAAGCCAUCUUCAGUAAAAACCAGAAGCACAUAGCCAGGCAUUCCGAUGAGGUGCAUCGUUCAAAAGAGAGAUUCUAGUUAUAGCAUCUCUUGCAAAACGAGCGCCCUGUCCUGCAUUGAGCAUUGUUGCAGAAGUCUCUCUUUGGUUGUCAUCAUUCUGCAUAAGACAAGACGAUCGAGAAUCAAAUCACUCAGUUUAUGAAUCAAAUUGAUUCAGAAGCAAAAUCAUCAAGAACAUGCAUCUUCUUCUAACUGUCCUUCGAUUAUUAAGAAUAACGAGGCAUUACUUCAACAAUUAUCGAGUAACUUUACAAAUAGUCAUUACUAUGAUCCACAUUUAACCUUGUUGUCUAAGAAAGAAUAACAAGAAAACGUCUGUUGCUUUCCUAAGGGGAAAAAACAUAACAUGUGCGGCCAAGAUCAAAUUCUUCGGUUUAAGGCCCUAAAUCUCCCAAUAAUUACUAAAUUCCCACCAUACAAUCUUCAAGAAAAAGUAGUUGAAUAAAAAAUGACAUAAACAAUCAAAAAGACAUGGAAAUCACGUUGACCAUUUAGUAGUAGCCCAUAUAUUACGGGCAUAUGCUGAUCUUAUAUUAACAGCAGCAGAGCCAAAGUUCGUAGCAUCAAGCCAAAACGAAAAUUUGCUUGAUCUUUUAUCAAGGUCCAGAUGUUGGAAGAUCUUGCUUCUACAAAGGGACCUCGUGCAUCAAGUUCAUAAACAAGUAGCUGGCAGUCUUACAUUUUAAAACUUCAAUUGUAACAAAAAUAAUGAGUUACAACACCAGUAGAUGAUAAAAAGGACAAGAAAAUUUUCCACUACACUUAUUGUUUUAUUCUAUUACACCCUUGGGAUGAUACAAAAUACAAAAGCCAAAGAAUAAGCCAAAACAGAAAGCCAAUUCAAAAGCAUAACCUGUGCACAUCAAGCGCGCGGAACAAAUUUGAAUUUUGCAUAUUCAAGAGAAUUUCAAAGAACAAUNNNNNNNNNNNNNNNNNNNNNNNNNNNNNNNNNNNNNNNNNNNNNNNNNNNNNNNNNNNNNNNNNNNNNNNNNNNNNNNNNNNNNNNNNNNNNNNNNNNNUCCCACUCUGGUCAAUAGAAAUGCGACUUCCCAGGACACGUCGCCGACCCAUUCAUUUUUAUUGCACAUGCGAAAGCGAAACAAAUCCCUGACAAUAUUUAACUUGGGAUAGAAAAGCAGGCAAUCAAUCACAACCAAACAAGCUUUCUAUAAACACAUAGGUUUAUAUACAACACUGGAUUGUCUACAAAAUAGACAGGCUCAACAACUAGGGAACUGUCCUAUGACCAACUUGUCAGACACGUUCACCGAUUCUUCAGCCUCCACCUUUCGAACUCCAGGACUUCCGGUCCUCCACAACUGUCAUCUAGGGACUUGAAAUAUUAUCCCACAACCGGGAUGAGACUACGUCUCAGCGAGUCCUACCCUCUAAAACUCAAUUAGGAAGAAAAUACGCCUCAAGGCGCUCUAGCCACACAAAUAGGAUAAAGGGCUUACCUCGCCUCAGUCCCUUUCCUGCACGUCAGUACAAUUCAUAUUCAAACAAUGCUCGCACAAGCUGAAACUACCGACACUUAUAUCAGUCUAUCAAUUCAAUCAAUCCAAUCAUUCGCAAUGAUUCAAUUCCAUCAUACUAUCUAUCUUUCCAUUUCAAUCCGUACUAUCUAUCAACCAUUACUAUCUAUCAUUCAAUACCGUCUAUCAAACCAAUCGUUAAUACGACACAUGUGAUGUUGCUAGUUAUAAACACCUAGAGGGGGGGUGAAUAGGCGCACAAACAAUUUAUCGAUAUACGGAAGCAAUUCUUAACAAAUUGAAAUACGAUCAAGGUAGAAAGAAAGAAAUUGGAACACAUGAUUUAUAGUGGUUCAGCUUUUCCAAGCCUACGUCCACUCUUCCGCACUGACAGCCCACCGGCUGGAUUUCACUAUGAUCAAAAGAGUAGUUACAGCACAGCUUUGCCUUGAUUCCACAGUGUAGAUGUACUAUCACACCUCCUCAAGGUCUCUCACAAAUAUAAACUCUCUUUUGUAUACAAGUAUUCGCUCAAAGGAUUUAUCUAAACAAAUAGGAGCUUCAGACUUUGGAAUUCUUCUAUCGCGCACACCUCGAACAACUAAGGACGUCUUCCUUAUAUACUCCUUUAUGCCAUCAUACCCGUUGGCACUUACCAAAGGAAUUCCUCCAAUCUGCCCGUUGGACGGAAUCAAUUAGGAAGAUCGUUCGAGCUAUUAAAGGAACGUGUUGAUAGCCCAUCAAUCCUGUUCGCCCAUACAAUCAGGAUCUCGGUUUCCAUAAGUAGAACCUUUCGAUAAUAUUUAGACAAUCAUCGAAUCUUCAGUCAUUGAAUCAAACUUGAUCAAUCAAAGGAUUCUGAUACGUCUUCUCCAGCCACGAGAUCUUCUCCAGAUGAUAAGGUUAAAUCCUGAACAAAACAUCUAGUUCGGGAUAUCCUUUCUUCAACGGAUCAGAGACUGUCAAUGAGGAUAGACUUUGAGUCUUGAGUCUGGCUGUCCGGAAGUCUUCAGACUUUAACUAACAGAGUCUGCAGACCUUCAGACUAGACUGAUGGAAACGUUUUGUCAACUUCAAAACUCUUCAUGAGGAUUUCUCCAACAACAUGCUCUCCAAAGCUGUAAUAUAUAGACGGUAGCUCGCACAAGCUGUAUAGAUAGAUAGCUCACCAAAGCUGUAAUUGAUAGAUAGCUCGCACAAGCUGUAUAGAUAGAUCGUGCUCGCACAAGCUGAUAAAACGAUCUUAGCUCACCAGAAGCUGCCGCAAUAUUCAAUAUAGUAUACUAUAGCUCACCAGAAGCUGCCAUAUAUAUAUGCAUAUCAUAAUUACUCGCCUAAGCGGAUACAUAUAUAUAAACCAAUGCUCGCCAAAGCUGAUCAUUCAAUAAUAAACCAUAGAACUGGAUAUUCAAUCCAAUAAUAACCAACGAUUCAAACUAGUCAUACAAACCAAUUACGGUGCUAAAAGCCAACACCGGGUAUUUUCAAGUUAAAUACCACAACUUCAUCAAUAUCACUCAAUUCCACACUUUUGGAAUAAUUAACCAUAAUCAUCAAUAACUCAAUUUCUCAAUUUAAGCUUACAAUUAACACAAACCGACCACACGGCUGCGAUCAGCGCGAAAUUCUAACGACCGGCCAUCUCGGCAUAAUUUUCGAAAUUAUUAAAUAAUUAAAUUUAAUUCCGAAAAUUAAAUAAUUAAAUAUUAUAUUAUAAUAAUAUAAUAUAAUAAAAUAAUAUUUAUAAAUUCGAAAUAAUUAAUUAAUUAAAAGUAAUUAAUUAGGGCUUAAACAAGAUUACAAUAAUUUAAUCAUACAAUUAGCCCUAAUUAAACAUCCAUUAAACUAAUCAUGCAACUAAUCUAAUUUACAUUAAAAUAAUCUAAUUUAGUCACAUAAACCUAAUUAGACUAAAGCGUCAUUAACUCACUAAGCAAGAAUUAGAGGAUAAACUCACCGGAUUAACGUUCCGACGAGUCCACGGCGAAGGCAACGCCAAGGCGGGCGAUAAACCUCAAGGCGGCGACACCAACCAAGGCCGGGAAGACACCUAAAACGGGCCUUGAAGACCUCACGGCUUUCUGGUUUUCUGCUUCUGCUUCUGAUCUGGGUUGAACUGCAGAGAAGAAACCAGCAACUUCAACGGCGAAAACGGGCCGAUCGGAGCUCCGGCAAGCGGGUGGUUGGCAACCAGCGGCUCCCGGGGGUCUUGGGGAUCUUAUAGGAGGUUGGGAUGGGCAAAGGAAGGGUCGGAAAGGGGUGAAACAGCAAGAAAACGCGGAACAGGCGGAGCAGGGCGGAACCAGACGGUCCGGCGAGCGGCAGCUUCUCUCAGGAUUUCGGGACGACCGGAGAGUCGUUCCGGCGAGCGGCUGGAUGCUCCGGAACGGGCUGGAUGUCUUCGUCACGGACGUGGGUGGAGAGUUCGCUGAUUCAUCUGAUAAGUCGACUUUUAACUCGAAUCUUUGGCGAAAGGUCAGCUGGAGCAGAAACUGGAACGAGGAGAAAACAGGGGAGGAAAACGGCCGACGAUGGCCUUCCGGGCGUGUGACGAUGGAGGGGCUGCUGCUGCUCGGUUCCUCUGGUUUUUGCUGAGCUUCUCUCCUUCAACAACAAUGGAGAAAGCCUUGGAUUAAGGGAGAAGAAGCUGCUGAAGAGUGGGGGGUCUCCUUGGGCUCUCUAGAGCUCAACAUUUGCCAUCUUCUCAUUGGCUUUGCCCCCACCAUGACAUCACAUGACAUCAUCCACUCUCUCUCCUCAAUCUUCCUCCACAACCUUGCCAAUAGGUGCAAAAUAGCUCUCCCCCCCCCCAUGGCAUACGAAUUUGUUACAUUUCCCUAUUCAAUCUCAAUCAAUUUCAUCCAAUUCUCAACUAAACACAUCCAAUUGAAGCCUAAUUAAAUCCAUCAAGGUAUCCUCGUCCGUCUCAUGACUUUUUCCCAUCAAAUGAUCCAACUUGCAUCCCGAAGAUUCAAUCAAAAACGACCCUCUGAUAAUCUCGAACAAAAACGGCAUUACUUUGCUUUUCUGCCAAAAAUCUCGGUUUGUAGAAAAAUCUUCUGGAGAUGAGUCGGCAUUCCUAAAAUGAAUUGUGACUUGACAGAACUUCUCAUUUCUGUAAUCGGGUUCAAUUUCACGGUUAAAUUCAAUCUGGCGCGACUUUAGCGCGUCCUAAUCUACCGGGUAGCUUUUAGGAAUUUUCUGUGCAAUUGACCUGUGAUUGAUUAUUCUCAAGCCACAAAGUGCAUCUUCGACACCUUGGCGACUCUCGAUUGUCGUAGAAAUCUCGAGAUUUCGAUUACGGACACAGGGUACCCAAAACGACAGAAGACUCGGUCUAGUGCCGGUCGACGAGCAUAUUGCGAUCAGGUGGAAUCACCCACACUCUAAUCACAUAUCUCAGUCGAAUCGACCUAUUACUAAUCUCUGUUCAAUUCUGACAGUGUCGUAAUGAUCCUUGCAGAUUAAUACGGUCGAGUAGCCGAUUCAUGGUCGAAUUCUCAAGUCUAUUGCGUUUAGAUUCCUUAACGGCUUCACAUGAUAGACUAGUUAUUUCGUGAGUGGCCAACUCAGAGAAGAGAGCUAUAGACGCAAAGAUGAAAUGCCCGACUUAUUCAAUUGAAACCAGAAUUGGAAAAUCGAGAUGUCACAAAAGGAUGAGACAGUUGGCAUUUGAAGGGUAUAACAAUCACAAGCCCUGCAAAAACAUGAAUGCCGUGCACCCGAAAGAGUUUGACCUACCCACAGAAAGAAUAAAAAUUUGAUUUAGUAAUUCUCAUACGCUCUUGAACACCUAUGAAAAUCAUUAGAUCUACCGCAUGCUUCUUAGUAUUCAGAUUUCCCAUUGGGCACGGACAAGACACGAGUAUAGUUCUUUGAUGGCAAAGAUAUAAUUGCUGAAUUCGGACAGAAAUCAUCCAAAUUCAAGCAUCAAAACAUCUCAGUUUCUCAACCAUUUGCCAGGUGAUGAAAAGGGCAGCUUUGCAGCUUAACGCUUAAGUCAUCAUAAAUCCGUAUCAAUAAAAAACAAACCCUCAAUUCAUCUGCCCUGAAAGGGCUCAAUGACAAGAACCAAGACCUCAUAAACUCAUGACUUCCAGCUAUUCUUACCGAUAAGCAGGAAGGGCUUCAUACUCAAACCAAUCUUACGUAGUAAAGAUCUCUCCUCAUCACUUAUGGUUUCCAGAUCAACUGGAAGGUCUGCUGAUCUAAGAUUCUCCUGCACUUUUGCUAGAGCUUUCUCAGCCCUUUUGACCUUCCCUUUAGCCUGGAAAGAAGAGGAAAAUAAAAAUGGAAAAUGUGAUAAAUAAUUAAGGAAAUGGAGCAGAAUUUUAUAGCAUAAGUUUGUUCAAUCAAGAAUAUUACAAGAGCAAGUUUCUUCUCAAGAUAUUUCAAGAGUGCAGCGUGCUUAUUGAGUGAUUCAUCUCAACGCAUUUGCUCAACAUCUUUGCUACUUAUUUCAUUCCCCCACCGAGAGGUGCCAGCCAGAGUUUCAGUAAGAGUGCCAGCAACAAGUGGGCUUUUAGAAGCUUUGAAUUUUGAUUCAAUUGCAGCUGAGGCCCUCUGACGAGCUUGGUCGUCCUCAUUUGCCUGCACAUCUGUUAGUUUUUCUCUCUUUCAGUGCUUCUACCACCACAGGAGGCAAGAAGUCAUUGCCCCUAUAAAACACAAUAUAAUCUUUGUUCCUACAAAGUAGUGUUCCCCCAGUUAAAUUCUGCAUUCAAAAUGACACAAAUCAAUAACAAGAGCACCAAAUUUUCCUUACCUAAAGAAAAAGGACGGAAUAUGCAAUACUAAACAGAAGUUGAUAUUAUCAUAAUGCCAGAACAUUAAGGUUGGCAGGAAGAAGAUGAGUUAAAAAGAACUUCAGCCUAUCGUCAACAGGAAUUAAAACCAACAGGCAAAAAUAAUGCUUGAGACUGUAUCCAAGCUCCUAGUUUCUCUCAUUGAAAUGCCCUUCUGUAACUGCUGGAAAGACCUUACAAUAAGAUAUACAAGAAAUUCCUGCUUUACUCUAAUAACAGCCACAAUCAUAGCAGAAAGUUAAAGCCUGACUACAGAUUGAAGCAAAUGAGCUAAAGCCCGCAAAAAUUUGGAAGAACUCCAUACAUUAAAUGGUUGGAUGAGACUAAAUUCACCACAUUAUAAGGAUAACAAGUCUCAAUAGAUAACUUCUUGCCUCCAAACACUCGCCGUCUUUAAGAAUUAGAUCCUCCUCCUCGCAUUUCAAGGUGUCGGAAUCCCUAACAAUUUUGUUCUGCACAUGUUCAUAAACAAAAAAGUAUCAACACAGAAGCAUAACAGAAACAUAACAUUCAUACUAUAGCAUGAGGAACUGACAGCUUAAGAGUGAUGCCUCCGCAACAACAAAAGCAGGGUAUGAUACUUACACGAGUUUCUUCAACAUUUAGUUGCACGCAAGAAUAAAAUGCCGCUUUAUCAUCCUUAUUGACAAAUUCGUGUAAUGCUUUAUCCAGAUCAUUGAAUGGAAGUAUCUCCAUUUUUUGCAAGGCAUAACUGCAUAUUAAACUAUAUACAGACCUUAAGAAAACUAAGAGACUGAUAACAAUUAUCAGCAUGUCUUUCUAACAUUCUACCCAUAACAAUAUACUCAAGGAAGCAUAUCAGUUGAAGUUAAAAUAUGUGUUUGCAACAACAAAUCACAAUGCAAAGCACGUGUUAUUAUUAUGGAUUUCAUUGGUGGCCAUAAGAGAUUUAUACAAUAUGAAAAAUACAUUUAGAAAGCAUAAAAGAAUCAGGAUUACCAGACUAUUCUCGGCAACAAGCGCCUCAAUGUUUUGUUGAUUUAGCUCCUCAGGGCGAAGUCGCUCAGAAUCUUCAAAUUGUGCUACAGAUCAGGAAGACGAACAAUUUCAAUGACAAGUCAUUUCUUUAUUCAAAGGCAAUAAGAAAGGCAUACAAAUAUUGACUUGGAAAAAGAAGGACAAAUAGUGCCAAAAACAUAGCCUACUAAAUUCCAACUCUUUGACCCGAAAAAGAAAAAUCAUCAAACUCCACUUGUCAAAAGAUCUGUACCACUUUCACUCCGACCCUUUCUUGAAGCCUUAGAGAAGAUUAAAAUAUCUUGAGGAUUAGCAACCUACAAAAAGAAAAAUCAUUACUCCUUUUUGGGUAGCGCUGUCAAAGACUACACCGUGUGCACCUUCUAGUGUGCACCUUCUAAUAUGCAUUUACCUUUCCAACAUACUUUUGUCCAAACCUUUGAGGAUUUAUCGUCAUAAAUGUGAUUGUCAAACAUAAGUAUAUGAGCUUUUUUUCUCCUAUGAAAUUGUCAAACGUGAUUGUCAAGAUGGAACAUCCAAUUUAUUAAAAAGUUCUAAGAAAACUAAACUUACAAUAUUUAGCCCAUCUUGUUUGACACCUACACUAAUUAACUCUAUAUUCUAAGGAAAUAAAAUAUCCCAAUCAUUAUCGUUUAUGAGUAAAAUGACAUAAUCCUACUACUAAUAUGCAUGGGCUAAUAAUGAGUGACAUUGGGACUAAAUUCCACAUGAAAAACAAACAGUCACUUAAUAAAACUAGAUGAACAAAUGCCUCUAGCUUUGUCACCAACCAUCUCUACCUAUUACUCAUGCUACAUCAGGCGAAGAGGAAUCAGGAGCUUUUGUUGCCGCAUUCAUUGCCUUGUAUGAGCAAAACUCUACAAAAUUCCUAGGCUAGACUGAAGGUUGCCUAGCACUUUCAGGUAUCUCUUCAUCAAAACGAUGGCACAGUUCUUUAGUGGAACACUCACGUCCGCACAUGCAUGUGCACGUCAGAAACAGCUGACUGAUUCCCUGAACAUCUUUCAUCUUCUCCAAGUUCAUCAUUGUUUAAUCAGCACUAAAUAAAAGACCGAAGGCAAAGGGACAGAUGACUUAACAUUUAGUUACAGACACUUCUCAUGGGCAUCUCGUUGAGCGAAACCAUCAAUUACAUGCCUUAAACAUCAAGCCAGUAUGAACAACAUAUAGGUUCCUAACAAUCUCACGCGAACAUUUUGGCAGCAACUACAAUAGACAAGCUCAUGUACGAUUUCAGUCACUGCCUAAUGCUAACAUAGGCCUAAUAUCGAAACCACCAUUCAAGCCCAAUCAAGUCGGCACAAGCCAUCAUACAUUACAGCUGCCGUCACGGAUUCAAAUUUCACAAGCAUUCCUAAGUCUACACUAAAUUUUCAAAAAAUAAAAUGCAUAUCGCGGCAUAGUCUGAACCUAAAGCCGCCACCGCUCUUUCAAAUAUUGCGCACCGAGCAGCACAAACCUCUGCCGACACCUGGAGGUACGUUCACUCGAUAGAGAGAUCGAAUCUCCUAGGAAAGCACAUUCACUUUCAGGCCGGUCGGUCACGAGCGAGUGAGCGGAGAAAGGAAUCGGAAGCGGCGCUCACCUGGAAUGUAGGUGUUCUUGGUGAGAAUCGGCAGCAAAAGCAGAGCCAGAACCCCAGCAACGCAACAGAUGACACUGCGAAGAAGUCCACAAGGUCAAAGAAGCGCGUGAGCUCGCGCUCGAGUCGCCGGAACAUAUUCGCCCGAAUAACAACGAGUAGAGAUAAUCAAAGACCGAGAAGCUACUGCGGUACCUGACGAGGACGCUGUGAGAUAUGAGCAGAGUCCCUAGCCGAACGAUCGGUUGAGGCUUCGGCGGAGGUGGGCAUCGGCGUCGGAGUCGGGGGCGACGGAGUCGCGAGAGGGCGUUGGGGCGGAGGCGGAGGCGGAGGCGGCGUCGUCGGCGUCGAAGGCAACCGGCUUGAGGGCCGUCGGAGUCGGGGGCGACGGACUCGCGAGAGAGCGUCGGGGGCAGAGGCGGUGUCGUCAGCGUCAGAGGCAACCAGCUUGAGGAGCGUCGGAGUCGCAAGAGGGCGUCGGGGGCGGAGGCGGCGUCGUCGGCGUCGGAGGCAACCGGCUUGAGGAGCGUCAGAGUCAGGGGCGUCGGAGUCGCGAGAGGGCGUUAGGGGCAGAGGCAGACGCGGAGGCGGCGUCGUUGGCAACGGAGGCAACCGGCUUGAGGAGCGUCAGAGUCGGGGGCGUCGGUGUCGCGAGAGGGCGUCGGGGGCGGACGCGGAGGCGGAGGCGGGGUCGUCAGCAUCGGAGGCAACCGGCUUGAGGAGCGUCGGAGUCGGGGGCGUCGGAGUCGCGAGAGGGCGUUGGGGGCGGAGGCGGCGUCGUUGGCGAGGUGUCGGAGUCGAGAAUGGAGAGAGAGAGCUCGUCGGCGAGAAUGGAGAGAGAGCAGAGGAGGGGGAGAGAAGCAGUUGUGCGACUUUUGUUGUCACGCCCCGAACCUCGAGCGCGCGCACAUCCCUCGGUGGUCGAUAGAAUUUUGCGACGUUCCCAGGUCUCGUUGCCGACCCUUCAUUUUCAUUGCACAUGCGGAAGCGAAUUACUAAUCCCCUGACCUCAACAAACAUGGGAUAGAAAAGCAGGACAACAAUUUCCAAAUCAAAAUACACAUUCAUAAACACCUCAAGCUUAUACAAAAUGUCUAUGUCAUAAAGAACUACUGAGCCACCUAUGCUCCUGACCCUUCCGCUUCAAGCUCCUGGCUCUUCACACUAGGGACCUGAAAAUGGUUAUUCAAUAACCAGUGAGAUAUAAAUCUCAGCGAGUUCCACCCCUAAGCCCCGGUUAGUACACCAACUCAACUCGGGGUAUCUAUCUAGAACUACCCCACCACAAGCAACAACCAACGGUCAAUUCGCAUACAACCUUACCUGGUAUGCCAUACCGUGCACGUUAUAACUCAGCACAAUACACGCAAUACACAUGGUCAUUAGAUGAUACAGUUCAUCAAUCACAUACGAGUCGCGUCACCAGCGAUCUCACCUGGCCAUUGCCAUACUCUGCACAUUAUCGAUUCAUGCGUGUGUGCCAUAAAUAAUGUGCUUAACUCAUGCAUGACCGGAAUCAACAAUGCAAUGAUUCUCAUGCGUUAUUGCACAUUAUCACAGUUCAGAAACACAAUGCAUAUACUCAAUGCAUAUUCCAGUUACUAAUGACCUACCGGCCAUAGCUAACUUUCCAAUUGGUGCUCAUCUACCUCAACACUCAUGCGUGCUCCAGAUAAUAAUGACCUCCCGGCCAUGGCUAACUUCCCAGUCAGCACUCAUCCGACUCCCGCCGGGCUACCGAUAAAAAGAUCGGGCUUCGUCCCACCCCGUCGGGCACGGCUACGUCUCGAACUCCCGUUCAGACGGUUUCCCAAAAAGGGACAUCGGUCCAGAGUCUACUGCGACCGGCUUCCGACUCCCCGUCGGGUACCGCCCCCAAACUCCCAUUCGGUGGCGUUCCAAUUCAAUCUCGUGAGCACACCACUAAAACUCCAUUUUUCUCAUGAUAACGGUCCACUUCCACGGUCCCUCGGACAAUCCAUUUUCCCUUCUUUGUGGAAAAACUUACAAUUCAUGCGGAUGUUUAUGCAAUAACACACUCAAUCACUUCAUAGAAUCAACACACAUGAAUUUUAGACACUUUUCGCAUUCUGGAUGAACAGUGCACGUGAACAGUACUCGUGAACAGUAAAUUUCCAGAAUUUAAUAAACUAUAAAUUAAAUUCAUAAAUCAUUAAAAGCAUUAAUUAAAGAAAUCAUCAAUUAAUUAAAGCCAAGCAUACUUAAUUAACCACAUAAACCACAUUAAGCAAAUAAAGCAAGAUUAAGAUAGACUAAUCUAAUUCAUCCAUCUAACCACCUAUCUUAGGGCUAAUACAAAUUAAUUAAAUCACUUAAACUAGAAUUAAAUCUAACUAAACCAACCCUAAGCAAGUUUAGGCACUAAUCGAAGGAUUAGGAGCUAAACUCACCCGUUAAGCGGGCCGGAAACACCGACGCGGCGGCGACGACGGAGGCGAUGCUCUGAGACCUCUACCACAACGAUCCAAGGCGGUCCCAAGCUCAACACAGCAACCACAGCUCAGACUCCCUCUGAAACUUCUGAAAAACAGCCCUGCCGGAGAAGAAAACAAGUUGAACGGCUUGGCCGGAGCUCCGGCGAGGAGGGUGGCUGGCAACCGGUGACACCCGGGGGUCUUGGGAGUCUUGUUGGAGGUUGGGAUGAGCAAAGGAACGGCUGGAAUGGAAGAAAACGGGCUGCAAAGUCGAAACAGGCGAAGCAGGGCGGAACCAGGCGGUCCGGCGACCGGCGUCUUGAGACGGCUGUACAGGACGACCGGCAGCUCCGUUCGGGACGAAACUGGGCUCGUUGGAACGUUCUGUCUCUCCCGGUCACGGUGAUAGGUGGAUUGUUGGCUGAUUCAUCCGGGAAGACCACUUUUGACUCGAUUCUUUGACGAAGGGUCAGCUGGAGCAGAAACUGAAGGAGAGGGAAAACGAGGAGAGAGAGAGAGCUCCGUUCGAGGGAGGCCGAAUGGGGGAGAGAGAGAGUGAAGUGAGGGCUGUCAAGACUCCCAUAAAUGCUUGCUUCAAGUCCCCAUGCCAAGCCAUCAUCAUUUUAUCUCUCUUCUCUAGCCUUUUCUCCCUACAACUAGGGGUAUUUUGGUCAUUUCACCUUGCACAAAUUACAAAUCUGACCUUGGGCUGAAAUUGGUGGAUGGGCCUAAGGAUUGGGCUUGGCCAUGAAUAGUAAUGGGCUUGGGAAUUGGUUGGGCUUGAAAUGGCUAAGAUUUGGCCCAUGGGCUUAGAAGAUGAAUAGUAGGUUUGGCCCAAUUGACUUAUUUGCUUGACUUAGGCCCAUUAAGCUGGCUGUCCAACUUUGGGCCUAGGGCCCACACUGGCUUGGCCCGGCCCACGACCUCACGGGCUCGCUUCCUCGGUCCGAAAAUCCCUUUUCCAAUUGCUUGGCUCAACUGGCUCUGUCGACUGCUUGAUGUAGCUUCAUCCAAAGUCCGUCCCGGACAUUCCUGAUAAUUCGAAGUCCAAUCCUAAGUUCUCUUGCCAUGUCAAUUUCGCCAAAUGCCAUUUUGGUAACAACUCAGACUGACGGAUGGCUUUGAGGAUUCACGCGUGACCGACUCGUGCCAAACCACGUUCAAGACAUCUCGACGCAUGGAUGUCUUUGACUGCAUGAAAUUACGAAGGAUAGAUUCUUAUUUCAAAGUACACGAUUACUGAGGAUCGACACAGGGUUGUUCGCGGGUUCGAUAACGGUAAACAGAAUCACCCGUCGUUCCAUUAUGUUCUGUCCACGAAUCAACUUCUAGUCGUCCUUGAAAUCGGCAUGUCUAUCUACAGGAUCGUCCUCACGUAAGUCUCACGGUCAAGUCGUUUUCCCAGGUCGAGUCCUUUAGUCGCACGAGUUUUGUCCUUAUUAGCCUUUCCCCUCAAGGUCAGUAUCUCAGGAGUGAUCAAUUCCGAGUGAAAUUAACCAACAAUGCAUUGACGAAAUUCACAUUCAUUCAUCCCUUAUAGGGCUCAAAUUUCAGGAUGUCACAUUUGUUCUCCCCCGCAACGGAACGGAACGGAGAACGGGGGAGAGAGAGAGAGGAGAGAGAGGACGAUUCGACAGGGUGCAAGCGUCGCAGAGGAGAGCAGAGCAGAGGGAGCGUCAGAGUGGUGGGCCCCACACGCGGCCUGCGCGAAUUUUGAACGCCUGACGCCCUCGCCUACGUGGCGCCACGUGUCGAUCGUUGAGUGGUCUUACCCACCGCCUACGUGGAGGGUAAAACCCAGCCAAUAUUUUCUCCCCAAAGAAAACGAGAAGAACCCAGCUUCAAUCUAAAAGAAAAUUUUAGAAAAACCGAGGAAAUUUGCGAGCUUACAGAUGAGGAAGCCGGCGAUGGAUGAAACAGAGCAAGGGGGAGCUGGCGAUGGCGCGACGAGGAAGCAGAUGAACGCAGAUGAGGAAGCAGCGCGACAGGGAGCUGGAUCUGGCGAUGGCGCGACGAAGGAAAAUGCUGUGAAGUCUGUGUGUGUGAGAGGGAAAGAAAGUAAACAGGAGACAAAUUAGGGUUUUGGACUUUUGGGUGGACUUACAAACCGGUUCCCGAACCGGUCCGGUCGAUCUGGUUCCCGGGUGGUAAUCUCUUGGAAUCGGUUCCCGGACCGGUUCAAACCGGUUCUGAAUUUUGGGAAUAGGUUGUUCUGUUGAGAUAGGUCUGUGAGAAUUCCUCCAGGUGCAUAUGGUGCAGUAUUUUUUGAUAUUUUACUCAACUUUAGGUNNNNNNNNNNNNNNNNNNNNNNNNNNNNNNNNNNNNNNNNNNNNNNNNNNNNNNNNNNNNNNNNNNNNNNNNNNNNNNNNNNNNNNNNNNNNNNNNNNNNCCGAUAGCAAUUGAUAUUAUCAGGUGAUUGCUUUUGCUGUGACACCCAUAUGAUGUUCCAUUGGCCAGAGAAUGAUAAAGAUGGUAAAGUACUUCAAAUUUUCUUACGAGAGAAAGUAUUAAUGCUUUGAAUUUGCAUGAAUGAAGCAUGUUUCCUCAUUAUGUUGUUGAAAUUCAUCAGUCCCAUUUACUACUAACCAAUAGCUAGGGGAUUUAUCUGGUUUAUGGUGGCAUAGUGCUAGUAUCUACAGUUUUAGCAUAUUUUCUGUUCAUUGAAGUAGUUUCUUUGUGCAUUUCCUGUGCAGCCCAUGCUGAGAGCCUUCUGAGUAAGAAUUGAAGAUGGUGGUAUGCCAGUGGUGGUUCUUUGCAAAGUGCACUUCCAAGUAUCAAAGUGAACGAUAAACAGUGUCCUUUUGGAGAUCCUGUUGCUCUCUUCGAAUUUUAAAUAUCAUGGAUUAGGCUAUGCUUUAGAAAUGCUUUGUACGUUUUUGUUGGAGUUGGGCUUUGUGAACAUCAAGUGCAAGAUGGUUGUUGGUUGCUGGUGACUCUUUUAAGUCCUGCGUCUGACCUUAAUGCAUGGCUCUUGACUUUAUAUGUGUCUGGUUUUUCUUUAUUGUCGGUUUAAUGUGUAUUCCUGGGCUUAGCACCAGAUAAAUGUGUGGGUUUACCCAGUGCUUGGAGUCGGUCCCAGUUCUGUAUUAACUGCGGUUGAUCUGCAAUGAGCUACUCUGUCUCUUCCUUGUUAUCGUCUGAACAUAGUCGUGUUGAAACUAAGCCAGUUCUUGCUAUUUGAUGGUCAUCUCCAUGUACAGGAACAGAUGAGGAACAUUGAUUUUGAAUGCUUGAGGGUCAGUGGACAUGAAUCAUUUGAAGCUGGGUGGUCUGGGAGGACUUGGAUGGAUCAUUUGAAUUUAAAUUGUUUGGUCAAAAUAUAGCACCGACAUCCUUUGGUGUAAGUCUGUAAAGGACCUGUUUUGGCGCCACAGGCUCUCACGAUUGUUGUCAUCUCAUCGAUGAGUAUGGAGGAGGGAGGAAGAAGGGAGAGGCGGGGCGGCUAUGGAGAUCGAACAUGGUGGAGGCCAAUAUAAGUUGUGUCGUUGCGUUAAGGAGCGGUAUCUAGAUGAGCUAGGCCCCCUUUAACCCUGCCCAGCACAUAGCCUAACCAGGGCCGAACUCAAUUCCAUCCGAAGAACUACAUUCGAGUGCACUGAAUUAAGCCACCGCGAUGACCACCACUCUACGAUGUGCCUCUGCUGCCGAAUCUCAUCCAUAUGUCUAGAGAAACACCUAUCCUGCUUCUUGAAUUUUGCGAUCUGCUAGAUACAACGUGAUUUUUAAAUUAGCAUCAGUAUCAUUUUUUAAUAUUUGUUCAAUUGUUAAAUAAGACGUUUGGAUCAGUGUGAGGAGAUGAAAAGAAAAUGACCGAGAGUAACUUUCGGUUUUGUAGAAGCAAAAUGGUAGUUACUGCCAAAUUGCAUUUCAAUGUUUGUACUGCACUUUCCAUGUAAAUAAGAAACAUUUCUUCGCCUUGCAAAUAAAAUGAACUUGCCAAGUUGCACGGACAAACUCAAGCGACCUUCUUCCCAAAGUUCUCUUAAUAAGAAAUUGGAAGAGAUGAAACUGACUCAUGAAUCGUCCUUCCCCCGCCAUAGCCGAGAUAUAAAGACGCAUGCUUAGAGUAAGAAGGCCUAUUAGAUUCAUAAUUUGGGGAAAAUUCCUUAAAUGGGAUGCCUAUUUGGCAUUAUGGGUUUUGAGACUACACCAGGCAUUGAAGGCCGCUUCAACCGCCGUAGCCGAGAUAUAAAAAUGCAUCCUUAGAGUGAGUAGGCCCGUUGGAUUCAUAAUUUGGGGAAAGUUCCUUAAAUGGGAUGCCUAUUUGGCAUUAUGGGUUUUCAGAUUGGACCAGGCAUUGAAAGUCACUUCAACCGCCGUAGCCGAGAUAUAAAGACGCAUCCCUAGAGUGAGUAGGCCUGUUGGAUUCAUAAUUUGGGGAAAGUUCCUUAAAUGGGAUGCCUAUUUGGCAUUAUGGGUUUUGAGACUACACCAGGCAUUGAAGGCCGCUUCAACCGCCGUAGCCGAGAUAUAAAGACGCAUCCUUAGAGUGAGUAGGCCCGUUGGAUUCAUAAUUUGGGGAAAGUUCCUUAAAUGGGAUGCCUAUUUGGCAUUAUGGGUUUUGAGACUACACCAGGCAUUGAAGGCCGCUUCAACCGCCGUAGCCGAGAUAUAAAGAUGCAUCCUUAGAAUGAGCAGGCCCAUUGGAUUCAUAAUUUGGGGAAAGUUCCUUAAAUGGAAUGCCUAUUUGGCAUUAUGGGUUUUGAGAUUGGACCUUGAUAUAUAGUUUGACCUUAUCAAGAAUGAAUCUUGGCCACUUGGUACUCGGCUAGUGGUAAGGAAAUUGAAUGAAGAGGUGAUAUUUAGUUUUUAGGUGUGGGAUUUGAUUUUCACGCUCUACAACAGUUAGUAAACUUAUAAGAGAGAUGAAAGUCAAAAGUAAGAUAGGCCAAAGAGUGAGAAUAAAUAUUGGAUUAGACCAUCAUUAGCUGAUGCUUUUAAUGCUACUUUACCAGCAAAGAUAUUGGAGAGACUGCUUUGUUCUAUGAUGGGACUAAAUAGGGCAAAAAUGAUCCAUUGAGUAAAGUUCUGGACCAUUUCAUUUAUUUUUUGUUGUAAACUUAAAUUGGGCUGAUGCCUCUCGUAAAAGUAAACUUUUCUACUUUUCUUUCUUCUUCCUUUUUAUCUAAUAGAUCUUCAUGGAUAUUCUCAUAUUAAACCUAAGCCUAAUUCUCAUGAGCUGCUACUCCGGAAGGCUUUCCUAGAUCAGCUUGGUCGUUAUAUGUUUGGCUUGAUAAAUCAUCAAGGUCUGAUUUUCAGACAUGUUCAAAAUAGGCGUGAAGAAUUGACCAUAGGGAAAUGUUGCUUGUAUAGUGUUUUGUGUCACUCCGUAAUUUUAAAAGGCAUCCUGACGAGAUUUUUAGAGGUACUUACCAUAAUGAAGACAUGGCAGAAUUUUUACUCGCAUAAAUUUGUUAGUGAUGUCGGAAUAUCAAAUUUUCAUUGAACAGUGAAAAAUUCCUCUUCUUCGCCGAUGCCACAAUAUUUGGCUCUUUAACAACCCUUUUUCUUUUUUGGAAAUAAAGAAAAUGGGUUUUGUGGCUGGUUAAAGCAAAUGCCUAGAGCUAAUGGUGAAAGUUAUCAAGUUUUGAAAUGGCAAUUAUAUCUUCUAUCAGACUUACAAAAGUGAUUUCAUACAUUCGAGAACAACUAUAUCAAGGCACUAAAAAACCUUCGUUGAUGCUUUCAGAAACAGCUCAAUGUCAAGAAGAGUUUCUAAAAGUUGAAAGAGACAUUUUGAUCAGAAAAACACUAAUAUGUGUUCAUCUAAGAGCAGAAUAAUGAUCUUAGUUUACAAAUGAAUUAAAUUAAUUAUAUUUCCCAACCAUUAUUUUAUGGAAACACAAUAAUGUGUGAUAUCGUUAAAAUUCACAAAGAUGGGGGCAAAAAACUGAAGUAUGAAGCCAUGGAGACUGGCCGAGUAGCAUUGAGAUGGUAGAAGGGGGAAGAAGCUUAGGUGAUUAGACGAGGGACUUACACAUCCUUACGACGUGACAUAAGAUAUCAUUUCCAAUGUUGCAUUCACAGUCAAUGCUACUCUUAGCUUCUGCUGGCGACUGUAGUGUCAACCCAACCCAUCAAUUUGAUGCUCAAUUUUUCUCAUUGAAAGUUAUCCAAGUGGUAAAUCCUUCGAAAUACUUCACAUUCUUUCUUCAAUGCAUGCAUUUUAAAGUGUGGAAGUCGCUCGAUCUCACUCUUUUUGUUCUCAAUCAAAAGCAAGGCAAUCGGUCCUGUGCUUGUAUAUGGCCAUCUCAACUCAUAUUUCACUCGAGAAAAUUUUUUUGUUUCCCACUCUAGGUUGAUUUUUGUAGAUCAUGACUAGGCUUAAAGUUGUAAGGGUGAUGUAUUUCUGAUCAUUGUGGAAUGAGUAAGUGUUUUUAUGGAUGCACAGUUUUCCUAUCAAAUUAGCAAGGCCUCCCUAACAAUAAAUAGAAUGCAUCCAUAGGAAUAGCAUCGCGUAGAAUAUUAUCUUAGUAACUUUUACCAAUUGAAAAUGACACAAGAGCUUGUUUAGUUACUUGAAGAUCGCUCCCCUUGCUAAACUUUUGAAGCUUGUAUAGUUCCAAAUACUUAGAAGUGGGUAGCUAAAGCUUUUCAAUCAAAGUUGUGGAUGCCACAUUGGUGCAACUCUCCAUCGAUAAUCCACUAACACAAUUUUCCAUUAAUGGAGCAAUGGGCUUGAAAGAUGUUCUCCCUUUACUCAUCUGUUUCUAGAGCAACUAGGAUGUGUAGAGCCCUCUAGAUUACUGGUAACUCAUCAUCAUUCGCUUGUUCCAAAACCUCAUCUUUCUCCUCAUAUUCGGACUCAAUCUGGUCAGGAUCUUGCUUGGCCUUCUGAAGUUCCAAAUCAAUCUUCUCAAUUUCUUGAAGGGUCGUAACCCUUUAGCUGGGACAAUCAGCUUGCAAAUGUCCAUAGCCGUGACACUGGAAUGAUUUUCUACCUUUUAGUUUCUGUUUUCUUUGUUACGAAUUCAGCAGACUUAUCCUUUUCUUUUUACUUUUUUUAAAGUGUUCUCGACCUUGCCUGAAGAUGCAACCUUAAAGAAGGAUGUCUCUCUAGUUGAAGAGUCGAAAAACCCUCGCCAUGCUUUAGUUGUUUCUCCACUUGGAUGACGAAUUUGCAAACAUCUACAAAGGACCAAUGUGAUUGAAGUUGAACUAAGUCUAAGUUGACCAUCUCCAUGUUUAAUCCUCCGAUAAAAUGAGUCAUGCUCUACUCUUGCAAUUCUAGAACAUCAGACCUUAUAAGGGUUGUUCAAUCUACCUAAUAUAUUCUUCAAUACUCAUCCCAUGUUACUUGAGAGGAUUCAUCUUUCGAAACAAGUACUGCGUGUAGUUGUUGGGUAAGAACCUCUUUUCCAUAUAUCUCUUGAGUUUUUUUCAAGACUUGACUCUGCCUUUUCUAUCUCUAAUUCUAUGAUUUUUUAGGUUUUCCCACCAAAGUGAAGCAUACUUUUUUACUCACAAGAACGACGAUCUUGCAUCUCUUUUUAUCCGAGUAUGAGUGGGAGUCAAAUACUCAUUCGAUAAUAUUCAGCCCAUCAACAAAGUCAUUCCGAUUUAAAGCUGUCUUCAAAUUAAGAUACCUCCACUUUAAGGUCGUGGUCAUUUUCAUGGUGCCUUCCUCUUCUUCUUCUAACUCGAAAAUUUAAAUCACUAGAGUCACCUCCAGUGUCAUUGGAUUUGUCGCAAGAGUUUGUUUGAGUUACUGGAUUAGCACGGUAAGCUCUGUGCAAUUGUUCUUGUCGUAUUUGAUUCUCCAGGAGAGUGAGGACCCUCUCAAUUUUUUGCUGGAGAUCCUCUAUAGGAUGGUCACACUUUUCGUUGUGUUCUUGCUCCAAAAGCCUCUUUAAAUCGAAUUAAUGGAAAAUGAAGAAAUCUCUCAAACUUGUACAAACAAGAGCCAAGAUACCACCUUGAUGCGUGAUAGAAAUUAAGAAAUUAAGAAAUUUGUUUUUAGGAAUAUACGUAUGGAAAAGUGUCUUCUGGAAGUGUUCUAAAUGGAAAGUGUGUUUUUGGAUGUGAUUGGAAGAAAGUAAGGAUAGAAUGGAUGAAGUUUACCAUUAAGGUAUAAAGGAAUAAUUCACUAAUCUAGGAUAAAGAACUUGAGGCUCACCACCAGGAAAUUGGAUAAAGAAUGGAAAGGAAAUUCGCUCACUAGAGAGAAUUCUAAUGUGUUGUCAAUUUCAAGUCUCAAUCCAUACAUUUGACAACCACCAUCAGUACCUUAAUAUAAAUAAGAGAAGAGAGCGGAGCCCGGGGGGGGGGGGGGGNNNNNNNNNNNNNNNNNNNNNNNNNNNNNNNNNNNNNNNNNNNNNNNNNNNNNNNNNNNNNNNNNNNNNNNNNNNNNNNNNNNNNNNNNNNNNNNNNNNNNNNNNNNNNNNNNNNNNNNNNNNNNNNNNNNNNNNNNNNNNNNNNNNNNNNNNNNNNNNNNNNNNNNNNNNNNNNNNNNNNNNNNNNNNNNNNNNNNNNNNNNNNNNNNNNNNNNNNNNNNNNNNNNNNNNNNNNNNNNNNNNNNNNNNNNNNNNNNNNNNNNNNNNNNNNNNNNNNNNNNNNNNNNNNNNNNNNNNNNNNNNNNNNNNNNNNNNNNNNNNNNNNNNNNNNNNNNNNNNNNNNNNNNNNNNNNNNNNNNNNNNNNNNNNNNNNNNNNNNNNNNNNNNNNNNNNNNNNNNNNNNNNNNNNNNNNNNNNNNNNNNNNNNNNNNNNNNNNNNNNNNNNNNNNNNNNNNNNNNNNNNNNNNNNNNNNNNNNNNNNNNNNNNNNNNNNNNNNNNNNNNNNNNNNNNNNNNNNNNNNNNNNNNNNNNNNNNNNNNNNNNNNNNNNNNNNNNNNNNNNNNNNNNNNNNNNNNNNNNNNNNNNNNNNNNNNNNNNNNNNNNNNNNNNNNNNNNNNNNNNNNNNNNNNNNNNNNNNNNNNNNNNNNNNNNNNNNNNNNNNNNNNNNNNNNNNNNNNNNNNNNNNNNNNNNNNNNNNNNNNNNNNNNNNNNNNNNNNNNNNNNNNNNNNNNNNNNNNNNNNNNNNNNNNNNNNNNNNNNNNNNNNNNNNNNNNNNNNNNNNNNNNNNNNNNNNNNNNNNNNNNNNNNNNNNNNNNNNNNNNNNNNNNNNNNNNNNNNNNNNNNNNNNNNNNNNNNNNNNNNNNNNNNNNNNNNNNNNNNNNNNNNNNNNNNNNNNNNNNNNNNNNNNNNNNNNNNNNNNNNNNNNNNNNAGUCAAACAACUUAUUCAUAAACUGACAUAGCCACCCAUGCUUACAGGUUGUGAAGUGGGAAAUGCAUUGACGCAGCAAAAAUGGCGAAAAAUCACCUAGCCUAAAAGGGGUAUGCGGGAAAUUGAGUAAAGCAUGAAGGGCUCAAAUGAAACAGAGAUUCAUCAAUCCAACAUGAUGGAGCUGCAUAUGGACAAGUUAUCUAACCUAGUGUGGCAUGCAUUUGACCAUAAGGACAAUGUCUUGCCUUCUUCAACAAAGCUACAAUGAGAUGCUGGAUUGCCCGACUUUGAAAAAGGGUGUACUUCGUUCCUAAACUUAAUGUACCUAAGAGUGGAAAUAAUACAUUGUUUCCAUAUGUGUAGGAAAUUUUAAUUGGGGCAAAUGGCCACAAAAUGAAUCAAGGGCACGCAAUGCCUGAGUCACCCGACUUCUAAAAAGGGAAAGACUCAAAUGGAAUAGAUAUGUGUCAAGUGAAUUGCUGUCAAUCAUGAGAGCAAAUUCGUCCCCAUAGCCAAGGAAACAGGAUGGAACGCAGUCAUCAGAUAUAGGGGUGAGCAUGGUCCGGGUUGGUCCGGGCCACCCCCUAACCCUAGGACCAACCCGUACAGUGUCGGUCCUCAAUUUUUAGGACCGAGGACCGACCCUAUUGAGCCUGGGACCAAGGACCGGACCGACCCAAUGGGUUCGGUCCGGUUCCAGGUCAACCCGGGACCGGAUCGGUAAUUUUUUUCAUCUUAUUUUUUAUACUUCCUAAAAAAGCAAACCUACAAAUUCAAAUUACACAUCCAUCAACAAUACGGUAUUAUGCAACUAAACUANNNNNNNNNNNNNNNNNNNNNNNNNNNNNNNNNNNNNNNNNNNNNNNNNNNNNNNNNNNNNNNNNNNNNNNNNNNNNNNNNNNNNNNNNNNNNNNNNNNNNNNNNNNNNNNNNNNNNNNNNNNNNNNNNNNNNNNNNNNNNNNNNNNNNNNNNNNNNNNNNNNNNNNNNNNNNNNNNNNNNNNNNNNNNNNNNNNNNNNNNNNNNNNNNNNNNNNNNNNNNNNNNNNNNNNNNNNNNNNNNNNNNNNNNNNNNNNNNNNNNNNNNNNNNNNNNNNNNNNNNNNNNNNNNNNNNNNNNNNNNNNNNNNNNNNNNNNNNNNNNNNNNNNNNNNNNNNNNNNNNNNNNNNNNNNNNNNNNNNNNNNNNNNNNNNNNNNNNNNNNNNNNNNNNNNNNNNNNNNNNNNNNNNNNNNNNNNNNNNNNNNNNNNNNNNNNNNNNNNNNNNNNNNNNNNNNNNNNNNNNNNNNNNNNNNNNNNNNNNNNNNNNNNNNNNNNNNNNNNNNNNNNNNNNNNNNNNNNNNNNNNNNNNNNNNNNNNNNNNNNNNNNNNNNNNNNNNNNNNNNNNNNNNNNNNNNNNNNNNNNNNNNNNNNNNNNNNNNNNNNNNNNNNNNNNNNNNNNNNNNNNNNNNNNNNNNNNNNNNNNNGAUAACUCUUAGGACCGAGGACCAACCCGCACAGUGUUGGUCCUGGAAUUUCAGGACCAAGGACCGACCCAGUCCCCUUGGGAACCGGACCAAGACCGGCAGGGUUGGGCCGGUCCAGGGUCGGUCCAGGGUCGACCCUAAACCGCUGCUCACCCCUAAUCAGAUAUGCCGUAAAAGGGAGUAUACCGUUCCUAAAAUGAAUUAUGUCGAAAAUGAAAAUAACAUAUUACGUCUCUUUUUACUUGCAGUUGAUAAAUGGGGCAAGUCACUCGAAGUAGAGUAGCUCCCACCUGUGAAGCAAGAUGAAACAAAGUCAAUUGAUUCAGCACAAAAAGGGAGUAUCGUCCCUAAAUUAGUCCAAUUCAAUUUUGGAAUAUAAGUAACAUGCCCCAUCUCUUGUAGGAAAAUGUGCACAUUGACCGCUGGAGCAACACCUUAUACCAAGAAGGCAUGCUAAGGCCCAACCAUCCAUUUUGAUGGAAUAAAUGGAGUAAAACAUCCAAGGAGCAAUGCCCUCACAUGUCAAAACAAGGAGUACCCUCUCCUUUCAUCUUUGACGCCCACUCAGAAUGAGUGAAUUCGAUAACAUCUAAAUGGCCUAUUUGAAAGCAAGAUCUUCAAGGAAAUGUUAACACCUGAGGAGCAAAAGCACAUGAAGAGGAAACACAAGACAUUUAAAGUCAGCUGCAGGAGAAGGGUAAUUCGGUAUCGUUUCCAAAAUGCCCCUCUCUAACUUCAUUAUUUGACGUAGUUCCCUUGUUUGACAGGAAGCGUUGGUAUUCGAGGAACAAACUCGAGAAAUUGAUUUAAGCAUAAUCUAUAUCGACAAAGUAAGCAUGUGGAGUUAACACAUGACAAAGUCACCUAAGUUGGCUUAAAAUAUGCGUCGUUCUAGAGCCGGUUCAAUUAAAUAAAAAAAAGAAGCGCCCCAUAGACACUACCAGCGCUUCGGCCUGGUGGUAUGGGAAUGAAUGAACGGUCCGAGAGGUACGGGGUUCGAUCCCCGGAAACGGCAACGAGGUUGCCAUGUAAAAAAAUAAAAAAAAUAAAAAAAAUUUUGCAUCUCUUAUUUUUGCAAAAAGAAGAAAAUGCUUGAACUAAUGAGACCAAAGACCUGAGAUUCUCUUCAAGCCUUAAAACAGUACGUUCAUUCCGCUAUUUGCCGCCAAAUGGUGAAAUUAACCAAGGGUAAUGUUGUAUCGUUUCCAAUUUUACAAUCCCUGAGGAUUCAUGUACUAACACAUUCCCUUUUGUUCUUCGUAGGGUCGCCUGACUACUAAGGCACAGGUAAGUACCCUUCUUCUCAAAAUCAAAUGGAAAACAAAUGGAGAAUUUCCAUCACAAAAAAGAACAUCUAGCGUUUUUCUGGAAACGAGCACAAGAAAUGGAAAUUGAAGAAAAAAAAAGUUUUCCACAAAGUUUGUAAAAAUCUUCUUUAUCUUUAAAUUGUCCAUCCAUUCAAUGGAUCACUCAUUUCGAAUCAAAAUUCUCUAUGGAGGUUAAUCCACCCACAUGAUCUCAACAAAAAUUGAAAGGCGAUGUUGCUUAUGCCAAGCGAGAAACACUUAGGAUGAGGAAAGGCAACCCAUUUCCAAAUAUGUCCUUUAAGCACUCUAGGAUUUGAGUGAAAAAGAAAACCCGUGUCGUUUAAGGUCAAUGAAUUCAUUCGCAAGCGGUACAUAAAUCAAGAUGAUAAGAGGCAUUUCUUUCCUCUAUCAUACACACUACAGGUGACAAUAAUUAGCCCAUUUGAGCCUUUUAAUGUGAAGAAUUUUCUACAAAAUACCCCUGUCAAGAACCACCCCACGAUGGGGCAAUUAUGGAGGUUUGGGUUGACAUUACUUGGAGAGGGAAGAUGAGAAAAGUUUCUUUACUCUCACUUGCAUAAAUCUUUUUGUGGUAACUUCAGGUGAAUUCUUAUGGAAGCUCGAAGCAUCCCAAGGUGAAGAAGAGCAUUCUUUUCUCUACCCAAACACUGAUACCCUUUGCUUAAACCAUAUUGAGCCUAACUAUUCAUUUCUAAAACCCGAGUGGUGAUUAUCUCCCCACAUUGGGGCAGGGCACAUGAUUUACCAAUGCAAUUGGUGUUUAUAUGAUAUGAAAAGCAUCUUGAAAGUCCCAAGAGCUCAAAAAGCUUGAAAGAACAAAAGUCAAGUGAAAAUUAAAGGGCAUGAAAAAGCAGUGUGCCUGGUAAAAGCAAGGCCAAUGCCCACAAAAAAAAAGGGAGAGAGAGUGGAAGAAAAACAAUUGCAUCAAGAGGAAUAUAUCUGUGAAAGCAAAAAUGGCAAAAAAAAUGCCUGUGUUGAAAAGAAAAUCAUUGCAAAUGCAAAAGCCAUUAUGUUAAGAUGAUUAGUCAAAGGACUUUCGAGACAAUUUGAAUUCUAAACAUUGAGCGCUUUAAAAAAAAAAGGAUGAUAUGGUAAUGAUGCCAUGAUAAUCACCAACUCCUAAAUCCCCCUUUGACAAAAAGUUCUAAGCCUUUUGAGCUAAGCCUUUUGAACCUUUCCCCAAAUCAACAUUACAACCCAUUUCCAAAGUCUCUUCAGAUUGGGAUGAUUCAAAGUGGAAAUAAGGACUUCCUAAAAAAGAUGCCGCUCGAAGAAGUGAGAGUAAGGUUGUCUUAUCUCAUCUUAAGGUUUCUUGACUUGUAAACCUGGCGAAGAUGUCGAUCAGUGAUUAAUUCAUUUCAUAGCCAAUGAUGCUUAUCCAUUGCUAAAACCAUGACCAAACCUGCACUACGGUCCUUCUAAAAGACCUCUUUGAUUGGUCAAUGUGUACUUAUUGCGAAUGAUUCAAAGCCUUGCGCAUUGGGAGAGUGAGGUUGAGUGAUCAGUUUAUUUCCCACAUGAACAGAUGGGAUCAAACAGCCAUUUUCUUGAGGAUAUGCGAGAAGCCCUUUUUGACUAGGGAUCCUUGCUUGGCAUACUUAACAAACCUUUCUCAUGAGUCAAGGUCAUUUCAACAAGGACUUCUCUCCCAAGAGAAUUUGACGAUUAAUGAUAUCAUCCGAGAGUGAUGACAGUUUUGCGAAUUUGUCAAGUGGUCGGAAUUAGUUUGAUUUGUUUAUGCAAUCAUUGCCUUCUCAUUACCAAUACACUCUUGAUAUUGUUUCGGAUGACAUAUGCUGAAAUUGAUCUCAUCUAGUAUGCUUUCGCUACUAGAAUACUUGUUAUAAUGAAUUCUAUUUGAUGUACAAUAUCCACUUCAGAAUAUUCUCGAAUGACAGGUUCCUCCAGUGAAACCACACAAUUUCAAAGGGUUCAUGGAUUAGCCUUAAACCAUGCAUUUUCAAAGGGUUCUCGGUUAUCCUUAAACCUUGCAAUUUCACACGGUUCAUGGGUUAGCCUUAAACCAUGCAAUUUUCAAAAGGUUCUUGGCUAUCCUUAAACCUUGCAAUUCUAAAGGUUCACACGGUUAGCCUUAAACCAUGCAUUUUCAAAAGGUUCUUGGUUAUCCUUAAACCUUGCAAUUUCAAAGGGUUCAUGGGUUAGCCUUAAACCAUGCAUUUUCAAAAGGUUCUUGGUUAUCCUUAAACCUUGCAAUUUCAAAGGGUUUAUGAGUUAUCCUUAAACCAUGCAUUUUCAAGAGGUUCUUGGUUAUCCUUAAACCAUGCAAAUCUAAAGGGUUCUUGGAUUAGCCUUAAACCAUGCACUUUCAAAAGGUUCUGGGUUAUCCUUAAACCUUGCAAUUUCAAAGGGUUCAUGGGUUAGCCUUAAACCAUGCAAUUCCAAAAGGUUCUUGGUUAUCCUUAAACCUUGCAAUUUUAAAGGGUUCAUGGGUUAGCCUUAAACCAUGCAUUUUCAAGAGGUUCUUGGUUAUCCUUAAACCUUGCAAUUUCAAAGGGUUCUUGGAUUAGCCUUAAACCAUGCAUUUUCAAAAGGUUCUUGGUUAUCCUUAAACCUGGCAAUUUCAAAGGGUUUAUGAGUUAUCCUUAAACCAUGCAUUUUCAAGAGGUUCUUGGUUAUCCUUAAACCAUGCAAUUCUAAAGGGUUCAUGGGUUAGCUUUAAACCAUGCUUUUUCAAGAGAUUCUUGGUUACCUUUAAACCAUGCAAUUUUCAAGGGUUCAUGGGUAAGCCUUAAACCAUACAUUUUCAAGAAGUUCUUGGUUACCCUUAAACCAUGCAAUUUCAAAGGGUUCAUGGGCUAGCUUUAAACCAUGCUUUUUCAAGAGUUCUUGGUUACCCUUAAACCAGAAAAUUUCAAAGGGUUCAUGGGUUAGCCUUAAACCAUACAUUUUCAAGAGGUUCUUGGUCAUCCUAAAACCAUACAAUUUAUGUGGUUAGUGGGACUGCCUUAAACCACAAGGUUAGUGGGUCUGCCUUAAACCACACGGUUAGUGGGACUACCUUAAACCACACGGUUAGUGGAACUGCCUUAAACCACAAGGUUAGUGGGUUUACCUUAAACCACAAGGUUAGUUGGUUUACCUUAAACCACACGGUUCGUGGGACUACCUUAAACCACACGGUUAGUGGACUUCCUUAAACCACAAGGUUAGUGGGAUUGCUUUAAACCACACGGUUAGUGGAACUGCCUUAAACCACAAGGUUAGUGGGUCUGCCUUAAACCACACGGUUCGUGGGACUGCCUUAAACCACAAGGUUAAUGGGAUUGCCUUAAACCACACGGUUAGUGGAACUGCCUUAAACCGCAAGGUUAGUGGGUCUGCCUUAAACCACACGGUUCGUGGGACUGCCUUAAACCACAAGGUUAAUGGGACCGCCUUAAACCACAAGGUUAGUGGGGACUACCUUAAACCACACGGUUAGUGGGACUGCCUUAAACCACACGGUUAGUGGAUCUGCCUUAAACCACAAGGUUCGUGGGACUGCCUUAAACCACAAGGUUCGUGGGUAUAUCCUUAAACCACACUUUUCAAAUUGUUCACAAGUACAUCCCUAGAUCACGCUCUUUACAUUAAGCUUACUUGCAUUUUCAUUUUACAAUUACAAAAACAAAAAAAAAAAAAACAAAAAACAAAAAACAAAAAAUUAGGCGUCACCUUAUAUUUGAAAGAAACCUCUUUGAGCUUCCUUCCAAAGAGGGGCAGCUGUUGACACCUAAUUUUUGCCCAAAAAUAUUUCAUUCCAGCAUACAGAUUAUCUAGGUGUUUAAUAUCGUGUUUUAAAUGAAAGAUGUUUUUCCUAUAAAAAAUAAUAAUAAUAAUUUAAAAAAAAAAGAAAAAAAAAAGAAAUCGAAAAAAAAAAGAAAGAAAAAAAAGAGAGAGCAAGUUGGGGCCAACGAUCUAAAUGUGACUAGCCAAGCCUAGGAGGUCAGAUUGGAAUCCAAAUGACAAGUUGGGGCCAAAAUGCAAUUUCCAAAAGUCGAGGGACCAAUUCGCAAAUUUUGUAAAAUUUGCGCCCGAGCCCUUAAAUCAUCAUCUUGGUCAUCAAUUAAGUUGAAAUUGAAUUUGGCCAAGUAGAAUCAAUCAAAUUGAGCCAAAAAGACCACAUUUGUAUUGAAUUUGGUAUUUUCGGAUAAGAAAAUGGCCAACUUUGAGGGUCUUUUUGGCAAAAUUGGGUGGGCACAAUUGCGAAAAAUGGUCAAGAUCUUAAGCUACUAUACAUGAGGUUGCUAAUUGAUCAGAAACCGCGGCCAAAUAGUGGAUUAAAGCACUCAAAUCAGCAGCCAAAACUCAGUCCACGAGUUGGUCUUAAUCCGGAGUUGCUGAGUAAGCAAUUUGGUGGCCCCACCAUAUCCUCCUCAGCUGCCCAACCAGCCCGAUCUUUGCACGUUAUGGAAGACCGUAUAUAGCAGUGCAAGUGGACGAAAAUUAGCCAGGGAUAAGCUUCUGACAACACCGGAAAUUCGCAGCAAAGUCCGCACACUCAACAGCUACAGAACUUAAAAAAUUGGCGAAGUCUGAAGAGUAGGUGAAGUAGCCCUGUUGAUAGGCUUGGUAGGUGGACAAAAGGCUGACCAAAAAUCCCUUAAUUCGGGGGAUAAUAUCACUAAAGCAAGGUAUUUCAUGGGAUGAGAGAGAGGAGACGAGAGGGAGAGGAGAGAGCUCGGAAUCGUCCCCCAAAGAGGCCCUCGGAAGCAACUCCAGAGGAAAAACCCAGAAAAUUCCAGAUCAACCUUCUGAGAGAAAAGUGAGAUUUGCGAAAACUUGCAGCCAAAAUUAGCCAAAACCUUAAACUAGAGAGUGAAACUUCACUCAAAUAUCUUUCCAUCCAUAGGUCGCACGUCCAAAAUGGAGAUCGGGAAGACCUCCUAAAGCCCCCCGAAACAGUGCCCUCCUGUCGGGCCAAGAAAGUCCGAAAUUUUUCUAAGUGUCGAGACUGGUUGGUCACGAGUGAGGAAAGCCAGUGUUUUUGAGAAAUUUGAGAGACAAAUGAGGAAAAUAUUGACUUUUAACCCAGACUAAAAUACAUAUAGUUUGGCGUGGUGUCAAUUUUUCCAACAAAAUACGUCUUGAAGUCUAAUGUUAGAGCUCAACGAAAACCUUCGUUGUCAGUUCGUUUUUUUUGCAGAUCUCAUUUCCAGUUGAAGAAGCCAACUUCCACAGGCCCCCGAGGAUAAUUUGUCGGUUUCAUCGGCCAAGGACCACUUGAAAAAGAAACUAGGAAGAAAGGUAAGCAUCCUAGAUGUAUUUAUUUUCGAGUUUGAGCAUGUUUUGAUCAUGAAAAUCAAGAGGAAAACCGGCCCGGAAAACUGAUUUCUGAGGUUGAAAUUUUUGUAAGUGUUUGAAAUCUCUUCAAGAGUGUUGCACGUGUGCUUCUUGGAGAGGUCGUUUUGAUGUUGUUCGGUGGGUCAUUCUCUGUGAUGUUUAUUGCAUUUGAAAGCUCAUGUUACCUACUUUCAUUCGGAUCAAGUAAUGUUUCCCUUAGAUCUCGUAUGUGAUAGGUGUUGGGGCUUGAAUAUGGGCACUCAACCUGUUUGCUUGACUUGGGUUCAAACCCAGAUUUGCAAAAUCAGAUCAAACCCGCAUAUUUGAUGACGAUUCCAGCUUGUUUUUCGUGUGUUUUAAGCUGUGUUUUUUUAUCUAUCUUACUCCUUGCGUGUUUUAGUUUAACCUUGAUGUUUUAGUUCCACAUAAUAUUGCUCAUGAGUUGAGAUUGAAGACCGCAAACAUGGCCCGAGGAAGCUGAUUGGGGCUAGUUUAAUGCACACCAAGUGUUUGACAAAAUGCUCAAACUAAGCUUCGAUCUUGAAACGGUCGAUUUGAGCUUGAUUAUUGUGAUAUUCAUGUGCUGUGUUACUCCAUGUUAGCAUAGAUCGGUUUAAGGAAUUAUUAUUAUUAUUUUUUAAAAAUAAUUAAAAAAGAGAAAAAUAUGAAAAUUUCAAAAAUAUCAAAAAAAUGUUAGAUGGCAUCAAAUUAGGAUAUAAAUGACAUAUAUGAAAUUUUCCUAAUUUUAAAAGGUCAUUUUCCUAAUUUAAUGCUAUUUUGGUAUUUUAUAACCAUUUUUGUAAAUAAUCCAUUUUGUGUAGAUUAAAAUUAUUUAGAGUUAUUUCAUGCAUCUAGAGUAAUUUCAUGCAUAUUUAUAUUUCCAUUUCGCUCACGGGGGUCCUGUCCCGGGGCGUGAUAACAAGGCCAUGUAAUAUUAUUUGCCCGACUUGUAUCGGGUCUUUCUUUUCCGCAUUACUUUCAAGUCAUUUCAAUUUCUUAAAUAUUUACUUGCGCACCGCUUUUCAUUAAUUUGAGUUUAAAUUUCUCUUCUAAAUUAUGUUAGGAUUAGUUUAGACAUUAAGGAAAACAAACCUACAAAAACAUUUGCAUGGACGCUUAGCGGUUUUAUAAAGAUUAUAAUUGGUAAUCAAGAUUGUGUGGCCAUUUAGAUGAACAACCUUUUAAGUUAGUGGUACCGCAAGGGCGUUAAUAGAAACAUUAGCGUAAACAAGUCCCCGUUCCUAGAAAUCUCUGGUUGCGUAGGAAUCGUGACAACACUCCCGUGUCUCGAUUGGUUUCUAGCCGACCCCAAUAGGCUAGUGGCGACUCCUAAAAAUAUUUAGGUUGUUAAGAACUGAAAAGAAAAUCCAACGUCGCGCGAGGUAUGGGCUUGGGAGAGCCUGUGUCUAAUUUAGGGCCAUUGGUCAGCCUCUUUAGGCAAAUACCCCUAAACCUUCUUCCUUUUCCCCCGGACGGAAAAAAGAGGUCGUGACAGUUAGCGUAUGCAAAGAACUGAUUUCCGCUAUUCCAUGUGGCGAAUAGCUAAGUUUAGAACAUAAACUUAUGUCUAGAUUCCGAAGGCUGACUAACUUCUUUAUAUCACUUGGCAACUCUUUGAGGGCAUCACAAUAUUGGAGAUUAAGUGUUUGCAAGCUCUGCAAUUUCGUAAUGGAGUUAGGAAGCCUUUUGAGUGUGCAGUUAUCAGAGAGAUCGAGAUAAGUGAGAUACUUUAACUUAUAAAUGGACCGUGGCACCUUCUCGACCUUUAUGCCUUGUAGAUCCAAGAUGCGCAAUCUCUUGAAAUUUAGAAUUAAUUGGCGUACAUCCACUUCACUUAUUGGUUCUAUUUGUUGUCUUUCUUUUCAAUAUGUAGUAGUAGAUAGAAAUGUUCUCAGUGCACUUGCUUUCAAGCGUAAGAUUGGAAGUUCAUCCAUCAAAUUGAAAGUCGAACCAUAGGAUAUAUGAAGAGUUCUUUCAUUUAUGAUAUUUGUGUCAUCCCUUGCCACCCGACACCUGUUCCUUGCAACUAAGCAGGCUAGAUCAUGCAUCAAAUCAUGCAUCUUGCAAGUUUCCUCCUUCGUGUAUGGAUCUUUUUUAAAAUCUUGGAAGAAGUUACUCCAACAUAGAUCCAUGAAAUAUUCAUGAGCAAUGUCUUCUAGAAGCUUACCUGAAUUUGAUGGCUGGAUAAAUCCUUCUGCCAUCCAAAGAUAGACUAAAGUAUGCUUCUUUAUCUCAUAAUCUUUGGGAAACAAUGAACAAAUGGCGAAACAUUGUCUCAAAUGUGAAGGAAGAUCGUCAUAACUUAGCCUGAGAAUAGAUAUUAUUGGGUCUUCCAUUUGAGACACUUUUGGGAGCUCAACAUCUUUGAAAUGUAACCAUUCAUCUUUAGUUUCCUUAAAGAAUAAUAACCUCCCAAUAGUUCGAACAAUCAAUGGAACUCCAGAACACUUUCUAACUAUCUCUUUCCCAAUAGCUAGCAUGCUAGGAUCUUGUCUGGCCCCUUCUUUUCGACCGGCCGUUCGCAUCAACAAAUCAAGAGAAACACUUUCAGAUAAGCCCUUAAGAAGAAGAGGCAGAGCAGGGGAGGUGAUCUUUGCAACCAAAGGAAGGCGUGUAGUUAUAAGGAUCUUGCUUCCUCUAGCACCUCCCAUCAAUAAUGAUUUCAAGUUGUGCCAUGUUUCUGAUUGUGCAUCCUACAAAUCAUCCAAAACUAAGAGAUAUCUCCUUCCAUCAAUUAUUUUCCUCAGUUCAAUUUGCAACCUAUCCAUCACAUUGUAGUUUGGUUCUUUCUUCCCCACACAAACUAUGAUAUCUUUUACUAUUUUUAUCAUGUCAAAGUCAUUAGAGACACAAACCCACAUUUUCAAGUCAAAAUGUUUACUGAUAAUCUCAUCAUUAUACACAAAUUUAGCAAGAGCUGUUUUUCCAAGCCCACCAAUACCAACUAUUGGAAGGAUAGAAACGUUCUCUUUCACAUCCAUAUCCAAUAAGAAUUUCAUGACAUUCUUUUUAUCAUUACCUCUUCCAAUAAUGUCUUCCUCACAUAUAAACGAAUGCGUCUCCUCUCUCUUCCUCCGCCCUCUCUUUGCUUGCGAAUUCAUAGGUCCCUUGUCCAAGUGGAAGUUCUUUUCAGCCUCAAUAUCUUUCAAUCUCUCCCUCACUUCUGUUAUUUUUCUACUCAUCUUCAGUUCAAAAGCAAGCUGGUUUGAACUUGAGAAAAAUGUUCUUACCACCUUGAUCAUCUGAUUGUCGCCCCUCAGUUCUCGUCGCAUAGCUUCUAUAUUAAAUUCUUCAAGCACGUCCUGCAAGUCAUAGAAAGCCUCUUUUAGUUUCUCCACCCAAUCUUUGAUUUGGGAACUCUGGUGUUGUUGCUCUUCUGCAUCGUCCAGCACAGAAUGAAGCAUGGUGACGUAGCUCUCGAGCGCCUGAAGUUCACGCUUGAUGCCCCCAAAAUUUCCAACCUUUCCCGGUGCUUGAGUAAUCAGAUUGGCAAGGACGCUUCCACCAAUGCUGAUGACAGCUUCUGCCAUAUUUGUUCUCUCUAUCUCUCUUUCUCUAUGGGGUUGAGAAGAUUUUAGUCCUGUUGUUCCAAGGCUAGAGUCUUCUUAGAUGAUGUAUAAAAAGUCUAUCCUUGAGAUUAAAUAAGUGUACAAUAAAAGUAGAUAAUAGAAAAUAUUUAACUGACAAACAGUAAUUCCAAAGCAUCCUAUGUCAUGUAAGAUUCCAUCCCAUCUGAUAAGUAAGGCGAGUUCCUAUUCAUACAUUCUUCUAGAAACAUUAUGUUAGAUUAUAUUAGAUUGAUUUAAGUUUUUUUUUUCUACCAUACUGUUAAGUAAUAUGUCUAAUUAACAUUAAGGAAAUUGGGAGGUAAUUGAGUGAUGAUGUGGUUCGACCGUUAAGCUCCAUUUUGCUGGACUUUCUUCUUAGUUUGGUUUUAAUAUAUGAUGCGUAAUAAAUUAAAACGAAACAAUGUAAUCACAAUGAUCAGAGGCUUUUUAAAAAAUAAAAAUAACUUUGUGUUUUCUUGUAUAAAAUUCAAAAUGUUAUUUAAAUAUAAAAAGUUAUGAUUCAAAUUACAUAUUAAUGCUUACGUGUUGUGAAAAUUUAAUAUGUUUAAAGACAAGAUAAUGUCAAAUGUAGACCGAGACAACAUUAGAAUAAACAAAAAUAAAAUGUAAAAAUCUAUCAAGACAAGCCAUUAGCUAAGUUGGUGAUGUUCUUGAAAUCCGCUAGAGGUGGUGGACCAUGUCAUUGUCCUUUGUACUUGUCAUCUUUUCUUUUUUUCCUUACUUUUCUCUUUUAGGCGAACAGAAAGUGUAAGGUAAUAGGAUGUUGAAGCAAAGCCAUAAUUUUUCACUUCAUUGGCCGACAAAUGAGAAUCAAAAUCCACUUACGAGGGCUACACUACAUCCACCACAAUCUGCUCAAGCCUGGAAACCAUCUCAUUGCAGCUUAGAAAGUUAUUAUAGCUGUCUCGAUAUGGGCAGCAGCAUAGGGAAUGCCCCGAUGGAUGACCACUCUCUAGUGUUCAGUGGACAAGAUCAGCUUAUGCUCGGUGAUAAAAUGUUGUACUUUGCAAGACCGUACGUGUUAGAGAACAAGACAAAUGAAGAUAUUGAGUCUUAAGGUCUAGCGUCCCUGUCAAUUUGUGCACAAUCUCUUUUGAACUCUUUACCAAGCCCCUUUUCUUAUUUUGAACUCAAGUUCUUCUAAAUCACAUCCAACAAGUUAGAUAAAUGUGUUCCAAUAUAUGACCUAUUCCGCAUGAGUCUUAACAUGAUACUAAAUAUUUCACGAAACAUUUGGCAAGAUACUUGAGAUCUUUAAUAAGGAUAGUGGUGUUGCACGUUCCUAUUCACUUAUAAUUACAAUUAGUUGUUGUAUUUGGUCACUCCCCCUUCCAUGUUAGUUGCAUGUUCAUAAUUUCUAUAGAUGCCGAAUCAAUUAUAUUUAAUUCCAUUUCUUUCUAACCGCCCCUUGCUCUACCAGGAUUUUCAAAAGAAAUCAUGUGACUCUUCGUAUGUACGUAGCGAGUAAUUUUUCAUGUGACCAGUAACUUUUUACAAGAUAUUCGACUUCCAAUAAGUACUCACCUAUUUACAUUAUUACUAAUUUUUUACAUAAAAGGCAACCUAUCUACAAUGAUUCUUAUCGUCCCAUGUAUUUUAAAAAAAGGACAAGUUUGAAAAAAAAAAAUUGAUGCUUUUUGCAAUGUAACAGUAAAUCUUAAUUUGUAAGACCAAAAAUUUACAUAAAGUUUGUGACCAUUCAUGGGACAGUAAGUUUUGCUUUAAAAAAGUAAUUACCACCGACCCUGUUUAAUAAAAGAAAAUAUAGGAAUUGACAAACAAUAUUUAGGCCGCCCACGGGUCUAGAAAGUGAAAAUUAAAGUUUUUUUUUUUCCUCAGCAGCUGUAAAUGAAAAUUUCUCCCAAGGGGGCUAAAGAACAAAUGAGCCCGGCUUUUUUCUGAUGAUGCCCAUUUUCCUCGUUUCAUCACAUGCUUUCCUUAGAAAACAGUGCACGUUCAUACUCUAAUAAUUUUUUCUUUUUUAAUUUAAAGAAUAUUAAUAUUCUUUAAAUAAUUUGAUAUUCGCUCUAUUUUCAUUUUCUUUUUUGGGGAUAGAGGGACUUGAACCCUCACGAUUUUUAAAGUCGACGGAUUUUCCUCUUACUCUAAAUUUCAUUGUUGUCAGUAUUGACCAAUCAGUUUCGCUACAGCACCCGCUGCUCUAGCUAAUUGUCCAAAGGGGAUCCUAUCAACUUGUUCCGACCUAGGAUAAAUAUUUCCCAACUGUUCUGGUCCAUUUACGGUUAUUGCUUUUGUGAACAUAGUAGCUAAAUAAUCCCAACGUGUCAUCCUCUAGAUAAUUCAAAUCGAAGCAAUUGGAUGUACAAAAAUAGGAAAUUAACUUCUCAUUUUUUUCUGACAGAUAAAAAAAAAAAGUAAAUAUAAGCAAGACUUUUACCCCAAGAUUGGUUGAUUAGUCAUCUUGGCUUGUUUUAGCUAUUUUUCUUUAUUUGUUUCAUAUUGUAAAUGUAUUAUCGCACCUUCCAGUACGGUUACCUUGUUACGACUUCAUACUUGAACAAAUAAAAAUUGGGAAAGUUUAAAUUGCGCAAUUGUUUACAGUUCCGGUUCACAUGCAUGCCCCAGUUGUUUUGUAGUAAACACCGGAGCAUUAAAAAUAGUAGAACUUGGAUCUUGAGAAGCCGGAAAAUUAUCAUAGCUGCGGGGGCAACUUAAAAUCUAACUUCACAUGGUAAAAAAAAAUUAUGUGAAUGAAUUUCCACUUUUGUCCGAAUAAAAAACUGAAGAAAAGAUUAUGAAGUAUAAAUUGUGAAUGAAGUAGUUUGAAACCUUUGUGUGCAAAAAAGAAAUUGCAGAUUGGUACAGAAGUACCAUGUGCGGUGGGAUAACAAAAAAGCAAGCUGAUGAGGAUGCUUUUCGAAUUUAGAUUUUAAUAUGCGGAAUGGUAGAAGGGCUCUUAAAGUUGGCUAAUCUUCUCUUGUGAAUUCCAUUUAAAAUUGGAAAUUGGUACAUCUUACAUCUUCUUAUGUGCCCAAUUUGAAGAAGGCUAAAUAUCCUAAAUAUGUAAAUAUUUACGCCAUAUAAGUCAUAUUUUUAAAUCCAAAUAAAAGACGUCGAUAGUUUUCCUAAACAUUCUUUGUUUCAUCAAUCUAUUCAUUUUCAGAAAAGCUCUCUGGUUAGUCGCUAUAAGAAAGAACGAACCUGGCUAAUAGUGGGCUGAUCGACGGCCGACCAACAAAAGCAAGGCCCCAACCGGCCAGAUCAAGAGAGGAGGACAGGAGACGGUGUCGGCAAGAUCAACAGAGAGAUGAGAUGAGACGGCAUGGGCAAAGACUCCAGGAAUGGAGAGAUCAAGGGCACUGCUGGGGAAAGUCAGAGAUACGAAGAGUCUGAGAGAGGCUAGCUAUGGGAGUGAGAACUAAAAGAGAGUAGCGAGGGUCUUUAAAUAGAAAAGAUUGAGCACUAUUUUGAACUGUUCCAAACCAGUUCUUCCAAAGGCUGGUUCCCAAGAUUUUUUCAUGAGAGCUAAUCGAAAGUUGUUGAGGUCAGUGAAUCUGAAACGUUGCAGCACGUGGCAGAGCGUGACGUGCAGCAGCGAACGGGGCUGAAAUUUCAGGGCCUAUCACUUUGGAGGAUGGUGAGUUUGAUGAUGGCAUCGAUUUUGUGAAAAAAACAGCAGAAGGGGGGCGUAAUGACACUCUAUAGGACGGGUUUGACCAAAUACGGACACCGGCAGAGCUGAUGUAAUAUUGCAACCACCGCUAUAGAUUAAAGACUUAUGCUUUGUUCGUUUUGCGGAAAAUAAUUUUCAGAGACAUAUUUUCCGAAAUUUCCGGUGUUCGGGUGGACGAAAAAUACACGGUCAAAGAAAACAUUUUCCGGUCAACGGAAAAUCCCCUCUUAAUCUUGGAAAAUGAUUUCCUGUUUUAAAAAGAGGAAAUCAUUUUCCCGGCCUCUCGCACGAGCUCUCUCGCACGAGCUCUCGCGCUCACUCUCGCGCUGCUUUUUUCCUUCCUCAUUUCUGCACUCUCUCACAAAACCUUAGGGUUUCUGAUCUCCUCCUCCUCGUUCGACACCGACGAUCGGUGAAGCAUCCCUCAUUCACAAAUGUCCUCCUCCCUUCAGUUCUCUCUCUCUCCCUCUCUCUCUCCCUGCUGCAAUGGCUUCGACGACGUCCUUCUCCGGGAUCAGCCUCUGCCCUCCCCGGCCGCUCCUGCCCACUUGCUCCAGCUGGGGCGCUGCCGCCACCGCCGCCGCGCUCCGCUUCCCCGGUGGCUCGAAGCCGCUCGGGAGGAUCCGGCUCAAGAGGGAGCACCGCGGCGGCGCCGGGAGGCUCGCGGGGAGCCCGCCGUCCAGGCUGCUCGCCGUGCGGUGCGAGGCUUCUGGUGGACGGGUGAUUGCCCCCGAUUCAUUUUCUUGUUAUUUUUUUUUUAGCGCUCCACGUGCUUGCUCGUGUGUUCGUUCGUUGCUCUGUUUUGGGGAUUUGGUUAUGCUUAUUUGGGGUGAUGCGAUGAGGUUGCGUGCGUCCAGGCUUGGUGCUAGUAGUGUUCUGUGUUCGAGUGCGUUGGAUUUUUCUUGCCAAGUUGUCAUUUUUUUCGAUAAUCCUGAAUUGUGCAAAUAUGUUGAUUGAUUGCUAGUGUGGUUGCCGUACUGCUAAAUUAGGCUGUGCAUAGACGAAGAGUGAGCUGCUAAAUGGAUGAAUGUGUAUAUGCAGCUUCUUUGGGGGUGGUGUUUGUAAUAUGUAUAAUCAGAUUUGUCCACUUGAACCCAAUAAAUUAUUGAUUUUGUAGCUUUGUCAAAUGACAGAUCACACAGCAAGAAUUUACAGAGAUGGCCUGGCAAGGGAUUGUUUCCUCUCCAGAUAUUGCGAAGGAGAAUAAACAUCAAAUAGUGGAGACUGAGCACUUGAUGAAGGCUUUGUUGGAGCAAAAUAAUGGGCUUGCCCGGCGGAUCUUCUCCAAGGCUGCAGUUGACAAUACCCGUCUUCUGGAGGCUACUGAUAAGUUCAUCCAACGGCAACCAAAGGUAUCUCUACUGAAUGACAAUGUCUUAAUGAGCAUCUCUUUUCAAUCAAUGGGUUAUUACAGCUAGAUGUUGCUAUUUUCUUUUACGAAUCGAUUAAACAUUUUCAGCAUGGGCAUUGCCUCUUGAGACCGAGUUCUUAAUUGAAGAAUAGAGGAUUUAACAUCACUUGAUGUUCUCAGCCAUUUAAAGGAUUCAAGCCCCACAAACGAUGUUCAAGAGAAUUACCUAAGUGCUGAAAUCUUAAAAAAUGUUUUCAGGUAGAAAAUAUUUUCCUUACCGAACACUGGAAAACAUUUUCCGAAAUAUUUUCAAGUUUUAGCCAAACACCGGAAAAUGACUUCAUGGAAAAUGUUUUCCGGAAAUGGCCCAUUUUUCGUGAAACGAACGGACCCUUAAUGGCGCUUCAUCAAUUUAUAAUCUCUCUAGUACCAUGAUAAGAAUAACAUGAAGAGAGAAAAUGGGGGAACAACUGUAUAUUUUUACGUAUUGAUAAACAAUACAUGAGACUUUAUUAGAUAACUAUUUAAAGUAAUAAGAUAAAUAUAAUGCCACAUAUAAUUAAUCAAGGAUAUACAUUAUUGAGGGAGAUAUAUGUAUAAUCCUGAAAAAUAUGCAAAAUUAAGUAAAUAUCCAAAUAUCAUUAACAAUUAGAAUGGGGGUUUUACAUACUAUAUACUAAAAAACAAAUGUUAAUUUGUUAAGGGCGGUGCUAUUUCCACCCCCUAAAUAACUUUAUCCAACCCCAUUUAUACUAAAAAGACAACAUUGUUCUCAAUCUUUCAGUUGCAGUUUAUAUUGAUGGCCCCUUUCCUUUUCUAUUUAGGAUAAUUACGAUAAUUAAACAUUUGAAUGUUUUGUUUUGCUUUUUAGUGUAUUAAAGCAAAGUGCAUUAUCAAAUAUUCUUAUAACGUUUUAUAUACUCCUUGUCAAAUUAUCUCGCUAAUAGUAAAGACAUUUUUUGAUAUAGUACAAAAUUGGCUGGUGGGUAAGUUUCCUUUCGUUGGGACACAACAGCAAAUGUAUAUCUUUGCAUUGUUACUUAAAAGCACGAUUUUUCAUAUGUAGGUGUUUGGCGCUUGUUAGUCGCACAAUUUUUAAUAAUAUAUACAUAUUGAUUGAUACGUAAUUUCGUUUAUAAUUUUUUUAUAAUUUGUGUUGUUGUAGAAAAAUAAAAAAAAAUGUAUAUUUAUAUUGAUCACAUGCCCUGACUUUUCACAUGUUAUUACCGUGUAGCAUCCAAAAGUAAAAGCAAAAACGAUAUGCAUAUAUUAACUAUUCAAAUAAAUAAUAGAGUAAACCGAAAAAGUUGCAAACAUAUCUUUCAGGUGGACCCGAGGCCCGAGAUCACGAUUUGGGGUGAAGAUUCCGUUGGUAUGUGGUGAAUUUGGAGUGGACAAUUGCGUAUAAAGACAGACUGGAUGAGUGCAUAGUGGGGCCCGCAUGUAUGGAGUCAUAUUGGUACGCGGCCGACAUAGCCAUAAAGCAACUUAACUCUCCACCAUGGUCACCUAUUAACAUCACUUGGUUGUUAUUAUUAUUUUUUUUUAAAUUUCUUUUUGCGUUUUGCGCCACUUCUGUCUCCUUCUCUCCUAUGUAUUUUAAAGAUGGAGACAACUCUAGAUAUUAACCACUGGGAUUCGCCCUAGUGGCCACCCUUCCAACAUGGAAGGGGGAGGUGAGGGGUUCAAAUUCCUACCUUCUCAGGGAGGAAUGGGGUGGGGACGCGUAAGUUUCAGGAGUGAGUUUCGACUCCCACGCCCUGCAAGAGGCAGGGCAAAAGUCUGAGAUGAGUGAGUUUCGACUCCCACGCCCUGCAAGAGGCAGGGCAAAAGUCUAAGAGUGAGUGUAGAGUAGGAAUAGAGUAUGACUGACAAAAAAAAAAAAUCUAGAUAUUAAAGGCCAAAUCACCUCAAUUGUCACUCAUUAAUGGCCCACCACCUCAUUUACAUAAAACUUAAUAUAAGUACCUACCUCAUUUAUUGUGAAAGAACUCCUUAAAGAUAAUAUAAGUGCACAAUAAUAAUAGAUAAUAAAUAAUAUUUGAAUGACAAAUACCAAUUGCAAAACCUAUGUCUAUAUGUAUAUAUCGAAAAAAUAUGUAAAGUAACAUGUCUGAUUAAUGUUAAGGAAAGAAAGAAUGAAUGAAGUUUUGCAAUGAUAUAGCUCAACCAUUGAGCUCUAUUCUAUCUUACUUUCUUAUUAUAUAUAUUAGCUUAGCAAUGGUCUCUUCAGCAAUGCUCCCGAGGACAACUUUCGCCAUUUUUGUUCUCUCUCUGGAUUAGAAGAUGAUUAGUCCAGUGGUUCUAAGUCCAUAGACUUCUUAGGACAUGUACAGCAAGUCUGUGUUGAAAAUAGCAUUUCUCAUCGGCCACGCAUAAUAGAAGGUGAAGCUUAAGUCCAUAAUGCUUCUAGGACCCACCGACUUUGAUAUUUAUUUCACAGGUUGGUUUUAUCUGGUAGUUUCCGAGGCCCGGAAGCAAGGGAGAGUAGGACCAAGUUGUGAAAGCAAAUUGCCUCUCCAAGGACAAACACUUCAUUUUUUUUCCCCAAGGUUUCGUUCUAUAUAUUAAUUUUUUUAAAUGAUGGAGGUCAUUGUUUAAUUUAUUGGGAUGGAUUUUGAGGUCUGACAAAGUUGGUAACAAAAAAAAACCUAGGGCAUAUUAGUUUGCUGUGAUCCAACACCGUAAAAUGUGUGAUGUGAUUAAUUAGUAACUUAUACAUGUAGAUAUAUUGAUACAUAUGAUAUACAUGUUUGGACAGAGAUUAUUUCCAUUAAAAUAGAAAGUUUUAUAUGCAUGGAUAACACCAGAUUUGUUAACAUUCCAUUGCCAGCACUACACCUCUCAAUUCAAAACUCUCCUUCAUAUCUUCACUUGACAUUAUUGGUAUUAUUUCACUUAAACCUUACUGUUUAAGGAAGUUCCCUCUCCUUGCCAAUCUUUCAAAACUAUUUGCUUCCUAUGAAUAAAAUGCUUCUAGAUUAUUUCUUUCUUCCUUUAUUUUUUUUCAUAUUCUCUAAAUAAAUGAAUAAAACUGCUUUAAAGAUCUCUCUUCCAUUACUAGACAAUAUGAAAACUUGCACAUUUAUGUAAUGUAAAAUGAUAUAUUUAAACAUUUUAUGCAUGUCACUCUUUUUUUAUAAAUUUCAAAAGGAUUCACAUGUAGGGCAAAACAACAUACACACGAUUUUUUCUAGCAUAUACAAUAUGUACAAAAUCUUUUACUAUCUCAGUAUCCUAUUACAAUUAUAUCAGUUAGUUUAGAAUACUCUUUAGUUCAAAUUUAUAGCUUUUUCUUUAACAAUUACUAUAAGAUAAGUCAUCUUUCUUAUCUUUUGAGUCUGGCGCUUAUUUCAAUCCCCCUAAUAUAUUAUUCUUCCAUUCAAUGUACACAAUCAAAUCUUUGCCAAGUUUCCUUGUGGAUGUUUUCUAAUAGUGCUUGCAAAACUGUAAGAAUUCCUAGUUGGCCGUUAAUGACAAGUUAGUGACAUCGGACCAAGUAGACCUUGUGCGACAAUAAAAUUUGUUGAAGUGGUAUGGAUUAUUGUGACAUGACUAGAAUGUGCAAAGCAUCUUUUAACAUCCUAGAAAAAUUUGGAGUGUUAAAAAAAUUUAUGCCGCUUUCUUGCUUGAAUACUCUAAUACCUGCUUGAACUAUGCAAGAUACCCUUAACAUACUUGUGGAGCAUCUUUUGUAGUGUAGACACAUUCAUCUCUGUGUAUGCACCUAAACUAUGUGCGAACAACCAGUAGCCAUUAUCAUUCAUGGAGGAUGUGAUAGUAGUAACUCUACAUAACCUUGUGCAGCAAUGAAAUUUGUAACUCUUCCAAAAAGAACGUAACUUUCGUCUUCCCUUCCCAAGAAUAUGUUUCCCGACAAUCAUUUCGACAAGCAUUUCCCUUUUCUUUUCAUUACGGAAACAAGAAAUAUUGUUUGUCCACUGGUGCUUGUUUGGUAAUAUUCAAAGAAUUUCUUCAAUUUUUUUUGUCUCGAAAGUGAAGCAAAAGACAAAAAGAGGCAAUGGCAAAGAAACUCCAAUAAAUUCCAAGAAGACCACAACUUUUGCAGGACACAAAUUGAAGUUUCUUGCUUCGCUUUUCGCAUCCCUCCUCAUGAAUCCCCAUGAGAACGUCUCUUUUUCCAUCGCUAGUAGAACUUCCAUGCAUUAUGUUUGGAUUAAUCUCUGUUGUUUUUUCCUUUUUCAAAUUUGUCUCAAUUCGAGGCAAUUUUUAAAAAAUUGCCACAUCGUAAUGAUUUUAUUGACACAAUUUGUUUACCCUGUGAAUUGGGUGAUGUGGAGAGAGUUUGUAUUGGUUUAGAUAAUCUUAGCAUCUAAUGUCUUUAUUGAUGUGGCAACAUCUCAAGAUGCCAUAUUGAACACUUAUAUGGACAUUUAACAACUAUUUAACGGUGUUGGCAUCAUGUCAACAUUUUUCGUUUGGAACAUUAACGAAGGCCUCACAUUGACCCUCAUGAAAAAUUCAGAUAAUUGAUUGAACGAGAAAACUUUAGGUACCUAAUUGUGAAAGGGCUAAUAAUACAAGUACUUGUAAUGUCAUUGUUCCAAAGAGUUUAUCACAGAAUCAUUGGUCUAGGCACAAAUCUCAAACAUACUUUUGUUUACAGAAUAUUUGCUCCACAACUCAUCCUCUCGAUUCAUUUCUUGGUUUCCCUUUAAUAAUUUUCUUUUGUAAGAUUAUUCAUUCUUUUGUGUGAAAGAAAACAGGAGAUAGUUUUGUUAAUUUCACGCGCCAAAAGAUUUCAAUGGCUAAAUGUCAAGCACAUUGGAAGACUACAAAAUUUCUCAAUGUCGAUUUCCCUUAGAUUUUUUCCUAAUCAUUCGAUCAUAAAAAUUCAAGCUUUACACUUGAAAAUUUUUAGUGGAUUAUCAAACAUUUGAUUGAAAUUAAUUUUUUUUAGUACUUGAUUUUAGUUUAGUUGGAUAUCAUAUUAAUAGUAUUAUCAUCACAUGUAACUGUACGGGCACACUUAACUUAAAACCUUACUAUGACUUCUUUACCAAUUACAUCUAAUUUGCCUAAAUAAUAUUUUUUGUAGAUAAUUUGUUCCAACUUUUCGAGAGAUCAAUUGAUAUCAUCUGGAAUCCCCGGUUUGACCUGCAAGAGACAAAAUUGAUACCACAAAGAAUAUAUUGCAGCCCAAUAUAAGCAGUUAACGACUACUUAAUAGCAUUGAUGUCAUAUAAACAUUUUUCGUUCACGAUUCAAUGGAGGUCUCGCAUUGACCCAUAUCCGAAAUGUCGAGAUAAUUGAUUGAAUGAAAAAAACUCUAGAUACUUGAUUGCCAGUUCAUAGGUAAGAAAUUUCAUGCACCUCACGAUAUGGUUUUAUUUCAGUCAAUUUGAAUGGACGUCGCUAUUAAUUGACCAAAGCGAGGGAUGGGUGCGUGCCCGAGGAUCGAGGCGUGACAGUGAUGGCAGGAAAGAAACUAAUAUAUUCUAAAAAGACCAAGACUGUUAACGUCAUUUGAUUGUGCACGUCUUUUGAUGGUGGGAAAGAAACUUUAAUAGAUUCCAAAAAGACCAAGACUUUUGCAUGUUUGUAUGUUAUGUUGGGAUUGUCGGAUUCCCAAAAACCGGAUUCGACACUAAAUCGAACCCCUAAAACGAAUGCGGAAGACGAAGCCUGGGAAAAUCACAUAUCACCGAUCCUAAAGCACACCACGGAUUCGAGCGUACAUUGUUAACCACAGAUUAAACACCAAUGCUGAAGAUUGAGGAAGAGAAACCGAUCAUGUUCGAUUCGAUGACGUCAAUUGGCCUUGAAGGGAAGACGGUGUCGCAUUUUGCGCACUUUUGCUUUUGGAGGGAGAGAGGGAGAAGAACGUACGCUCUUUUUGCCAAAAGGUACGUUCAUCUCUCUCUGUCCUCCCUUUUAUAUGUCCCCUCAAAAAUAUAAAACAUACCUCUUCAUCGUAUCCCUUCAUCCAUGGGCCCUAAUUUUGUGGGCCGGGCUUUUAGGCCCAACAUGGGCGGACGGGCCAACUUAGGCCCAUCACCUAAAACCAUCAUCUCCCACUCGCACAUGGUGGGCUGAACAGAAUUCUCUUUUACCUCUCUUCAACAUUCAUACCGGUGAAUAAUCCGUGCGACCAGCAUACUUUAAGAGCUCGUUGCCAUACAUCUGUUAGGAAUAUAUAGCAGCUCAUAAUGGGCAUCACACUCUAAGUAGAUUUAGUAUGCAGUACCCUAGAUCGAUCGAUCACAUUUAUAUCUCUCUUGAUCUCUUUUAAACAAUGAUAUAUAUAUAUAUUGUAUUCACAAUUAUAAUUAUCCCAAAGACAGUCAUAAUUGGUUAACCAGUGAAUACAAAACUACAAUGUGAUUCUCCAAAUUCGAUCUUCCUCUUUCAUUCAAACUCUCAAUUUCAGUUCAACUUGCUUUUCUAGAAAUGUCCCAUUAGAUCGAAUCAACUCAUGACCAUUGGCAACAUCCUAAGAUAGCAAACACUAAAUAGAAAUCUUGAGAAUAAAUAAGAGUCAUAAGAGGACUAAAAAAUUGAGGAACUCUUUUCCUCAAGAGUCUCACACGACAUAAAAGUUGAGAUCAAAUUUUUGCCACUCUUAUUGGUCGUCUCAUGCAUACGUAGUAUGAAAUACGUAUUACGGUAAUAACUCCUUUCCCAUGGAGCGUAUGUCUACACCUUUAAUACCGUACAGAUGAUAGUUCAGACAUACUCAAUGUCUAACUUGAGUUCACGUAUCUACUCAUUCACAAAAUUCAUUAGAACUCACAUCUGGCAUCAUAGACAGAUAAAAUAAAAUAUGUGGGGUAUUUUACUUUCGGACAUAGUAAGUAUUAUGUCCCCAUCUUAACACUCAGUUAAGGCAACGUACGUAUUUUAAGCUUUAGCUCUCGAUUAUCACCUAGAUAAUAAGCUUAAAAACAGUCUCAUCUCUAUUUAUCACACAAUAAAUAGAGGCGAUUACCCGUGUGAGUGGGCUAAUCUUAUAUCUGUCCGACAUACUUUCUCAACUUAAAGUAAUGCACUAAGCAUUAAGAUGCAUAAAGAUCAAACAAAGAUUCAUAGGCAUUAAUGAUGAAAAAACACAAAUUCAUCAAAUGUGAACACUUCAGGGAAAUUACAAUCUAGUACAUCAGACUCUACGCAAUCCCAGAGAUUUCAUAUGGCCACAAAACACAUCUCUAUGUAUUGGUUUUGUCAUAGGAUCUGCUACCAUUCUAUGCGUAAUAUGUACUGUAAGUUCAUAUCUUUUCGCGCAAUCAAAUUUUUUUUUGAUAAAAUUAUACUAGGUAUCUAUAUGUUUGGUCUUACCAUGAUAUUUUGGAUCUUUGGUGUACGCUAUUGUUGCUUGGCUAUCACAAUUAACCAAACAAUGAAUCUGCAGCACUUCCAAUAACACCUAAAUGAUCCAAUAAUCUCUUAAGCCAAACAUCUUCUUAUAUUGCUGCUGAUAAUACCACGAACUCAGUUUCCAUUGUGGACAAGGCUAUACACUUUUGUUUCUUACUGCUCCAACAUAUGGUGCUAUUAUUCGAUAAGAAAACAAACCCAGAGGUAGAUUUUCUUUCAUCUGAAUCUCCUCCACAAUCAGCAUCAGAAUAGCCUUAGAGUCGCAGAUCCUUUCCCUAAUAACUCAGCGUAUAAUCAGCAGUCCCCUUUAAAUACCUCAGUAUUAUCUUAACGGCCUUCCAAUGUGCUGGACCUGGAUUGGAUUAGUAUCUACCCACCAUUCCAACUGCAAAAACAUAUGUCAGGUCUUGUACACAUCAUAUUGUACAUCAAGCUCCCAACAGCACUAGCAUAAGGAACAUAUUUCGUUUGUUCCUUCUCUUGUGGAGUCCUUUGACACAAUCUGUGGCUCAAUCUUUCACGUUUUGCAAUAGGAGUGUCUAUGAGUUUACAAUCCCAUAUCAUUCAUCUCAAAGUUGGAAGACAACCAACUUUUGACAGUAUUGACAAGCUCCAUAUUGCUUCCGGCAAUUAGUAUAUCAUCAACAUAUAAUGAUAUGAUCACAAAUUGAUCAUUGGAUCUUUUGAUAUAUAUAUACAAUGAUCCUCAUCUAUCAUUGUAAAAUCAUAUGUCAUUAUGGCAUUAUGAAAUCGUAUAUACCAUUGUCUUGACGACUGCUUAAGGCCAUAUAUCGACCUCAAAAGUCGACAUACCUUUUCUUCUUGGCCUUUCACUAUGAAACCAGCAGGUUGUUCCAUAUAUAUUCCUUCCUCUAAUUCUCCAUUGAGGAAAGCAGUCUUUACAUCCAUUUGAUGUAACUUAAGAUCCAUACUAACCACUAUUGCCAGAAUUAUGCGAAUAGAGGUAAAUCUCACUACAGGAGAAAAUGUUUCUUCAUAAUCAAUUCCUUCCUGUUGAUUAUACACAUUCGCCAUAAGGCGAGCCUUAUGCCUUUAUAUCAAGCCAUCAGCUUUACGCUUUAUUUUGAGAACCCACUUGUUCCCAAUAGCUUUGCGUCCUUUUGGAAGAUCAACCAGUUCCAAACUUGGUUUGACUUCAUUGACUCCAUCUCCUCUUUCAUUGCAUAAAUCCAUUUUUCCUUACUAGGGCAAUUCAGAGCCUCAUUAAUAUUUCUUGGCUCAUCCUCAUCUUGCGGAGCAAUCAUAAAAGUUUCCCCUUCAAUGUCAAAACGUCGACGGUGAAUACUUUGGUGACUUGUUCGCCGUAUGGGAGAUUGUACACUUUGUACAUCAUUCCCUAUUAUGCUCCCACUAGGAUUAGAUAAUGAUAACGUUGUCUCAUCAUGUGGUUGCAAUUGAGAAUGAGUUGAAUUCAAUUCAUCACUUCUCAUAUUACUCCCACUUGGACGAACUCCACUAAUAUCAUUAUCUUAAUCCAAUGUUUCAAAUAGGGGUAAUCUUCCCUUAUUUCGCCCUUCUUAGGAAAUUCAUCCUCUAAGAAUGUGACAUCACGUGAUUAAAAUUCAGUUAUACUCCCACUUUCAUGCUCACCUAUGAACACAUACCCUUUCGAGUGUUCGGAGUAUCUCAUUAAAAUACUCUUAUUUCCUUUAGGACCCAAUUUCCCAAACUUGUGAGAGGACUAAUGAGUAUAGGCAGCACAAACCCAUGGCUUAAGAAAACUUAAGUCCGGUUUUCUACCUGUCCAUAACUCAUAUGGAGUGGAAGUAACUGAUUUGGAAGGCACCCGAUUAAGUAUAUAGGCAGCAGUUAACAACGCAUCACUCCAAAAAGUAAUAGGUAAGUUAGCAUGCGCCAUCAUGGACCUAACCAUUUCCAGUAGGGUUUUGUUUCUUCUCUCUGCAACACCAUUUGUUGAGGAGUAUAUGGAAUAGACAAUUGUCUUUCUAUUCCUUUUUCACCAUAUAAUUUUCUGAACUCAUCAGAUAAAUAUUCUCGACCUCGAUCGAAUCUCAAUGCUUAUAUUUUCUUGUCUAAUUGAUUUUCGUCCAAGUUCAUAAACCUUUUGAAACAACUUAAUACUUCAGAUUUAUGAAAAAUCAAAUAGACAUAUCCGAAUCGAGUAUAAUCAUCUAUAAAAGUGAUGAAAUAAACAGUCACAUGCUUUCCUUUCACAUUCAUUGCACCACAGACGUCAGAAUGGAUUAAAUGCAGAGGAAAUUCAGCUCUUUUACCUUUUCCAAAUAGUUUCCUUGCCGUUUUCCCUACUAGGCAAUGCUCAUAUAUGGGCAAAUCGACUUUUUCAAUGUUGCCCAACAAGCCCUCUUUGGCCAGUCUAUUCAUACGUUGUUGGCCAAUAUGACCAAGUCUAACAUGCCACACAUUCACAUCACUAUCAAAUGAAUUAGGAGAUGUGAGAAGGGAAUAACAAACAUUUGCAUUAACAUAGUCAAUAUCUAAUACUAUGAAACCAUCCAGAAAAUAACUACAAGUAUAGUAGUUUGUAUCCAAAUACAAAUCUACACCUCUAUUAUGGAAGUUCACACUAAAAACAAGCUUAACCAACACAAAAAAAAAAGACACUUAAAUUUCGACGAAUCUCCGAAGCAUAUAGAACAUCAUGUAGGAACAAGUUGCGUCCACCACGCAUGUUCAAUUGGCAGGUGCCAAUCCCUUUAACUUCAGCUCUGGAGUUGUUUCCCACAUAGAUCCAGUUAGUUCCAGUUGGUAUUCGUCGGAAUUCCACGAAGGAUCCUCUAUCCUUCGCUACAUGGUCUGUCACUCUUGAAUCUACAGUCCACAAAGGAUUGGAUUCAGCCAAUAAUGUAGAACUUGACACAUAAGCAAAGUUCUCAAAUGUACAAGAGGUGUUUACCUUAUUUGGCUCACGACAGUCGCGAGCAUAGUGACAUUUCUUGUCACAAUUGUAACACCUUACCCUUAACAUUUUCUUCACUUGAUGACGUUUUCCUCUCUUGUGUUGGUUAACUCUUGAUCUCUUGCAAUAAGGACUUGAUCCUUUGCAUUCCCACAUAUUGAACGAAUCAAUACGCUUGCGCUUAGAGCUCAAAGCUCUUUCUGAGCUAGAACCAGCAUUGCAAAUAUCUAUUUUCGGCUCACAUGCCGUUAAUCGGUCCUCUACCAGCUCAAGGUGGCGCACAGCAUCCUGAAGAUCUUCCAUAACAUGGUCAAGAGCUUCUAGUGUUUCUUGCUUUUCCAGCACAUAUUGAAUCUCCAUAUUCAAUAUUUCACAAUUGUUGCCGUUCAUAUCAACAAUUACGUUCUUAGUGCUGAAACCAUCGAUCUGAACACAUCAGACAUAUAUGCACGAAUAAUUAAUGCCUAUCAUUUAUGCAUCCACUUUGCACAGACUCAUCAUAUCAAUGAAUAAUUUCAAGUAAGGUUUCAGAAUCAAAAUGUCACUACGUUUCCAAUCAUCCUCCAAAAAUCCUAACUUAAAACUAUUAUUAAUAUAAUUGUCUUUUGCAAAAUAAAUUCUAUGAAGUUACAAAAACUUCUAUGAACUACCCACAACAGUCAACAAUAACAGAAAGCAAAUAAUAUCUAACAUCCAAUAGAAUAAUAAUGCUUUCACAUAAUACAACAAUCAAUUACACUAAGUAAUAUACUCAAAGAAGAAAUAUCAACAUAGAAAGAGAUAUUCACACUUAAAAAACAUCUCAAAAUAAUCUAAGAAAUAAAUAAGGAAUGUCCCUUCUAAUCUAUCAGUCAAAAUAUCUAAGAAAUUUGUAGGCACAUUUGCCAACCAUGGAAAAACUUUUGGAGAGCUCUCAUGUCGCCUCCAAGGCGCAUUCACUCUGCGCCAUGUGGCGCUCAAUCUAAGGGUUGAAGUUUUGGUUAACUCAACCCUAUAGUACUCUCUAACAAAAGCUACCAUUAGCCUCCUAUAACCCGGGACCACGUUGACCUCCCAUAGCCGAUCUAACACUGCUUGCCAUUCAGGUGGAAGAGUGUUCAUCAAAGCCGGCACCUUCUCAAAAUUCGGCAUAAGAUAACCAUUCCAAAUGAUUUCCUAUAUCAUCUGAUUGACUCUAUAACCUGGAUCGGACGAACCCGUCGGGCCGGUCGGAUCGGGUCGGACGAACCGACCGGCAAGUGCCGCGCGCGUGCGCGGGCUGACGUCACGCAGACGUUAGCCGGCACGUGCGCGGCACGCGCCAAGCUUCCGCGCAUGUCGGGUCGCCGGUCGGGUCGCCGGCCGGUGACCGCCCGGCCAACGAUCGUCGGCGAUGACGUCAUCGAUGACGUCAUCCCAGCGGUUACCGACCGUUGGGUGACGUCACGGUGACGUCAGCACGCGUCGGUUUGCCGACCGGCGCGUGCCGGUUCACUGGCCGGCGGCGUCGCGCACGUGCCAGUCCGUCACCGGCGCGUGUGGCGCACGCGCUGGCCGAGCCAGCGUUUCAGGCGCGUGGCGCCCACGCGCAGCGGCUUCUGGCCGCGUGUGUGGGCGCGUGCGGCGUCGCCCGGCGGUGGUCGAUAUGUCGACGGACUCGUUUCGACGAGCCCUUUCACCCAAUGCCUUCAGAAAUCGAUUUCGACUUAUAGAAACUCGAAAAAAUGGACGACCAGUGCUCGAGUGUCGGGAUUUUGCGCCCCGAUCCGUGUCGGCCGAAUAUUUUCGCGAAAAAUCAAUCAUAAAACAUCAAAGGGGUCGGGAAAACAUGAACUAGAGCUCUGAUACCAAUGUUGGGAUUGUCGGAUUCCCAAAAACCGGAUUCGACACUAAAUCGAACCCCUAAAACGAAUGCGGAAGACGAAGCCCGGGAAAAUCACGUAUCACCGAUCCUAAAACAUACCUCUUCAUCGUAUCCCUCCAUGCAUGGGCCCUAAUUUUUUGGGCCGGGCUUUUAGGCCCAACAUGGGCAGACGGGCCAACUUAGGCCCAUCACCUAAAACCAUCAUGUUAGUGGGAAAGAAACUUCAAUAGAUGCCAAGAAGACGAAGACUUUGUAUGUCUUUCUUGCCAUUACCAAUAGAAUUUUUAGGCGCUACAUAUCUUGCUUAAAAUUAACAAUACCAUAAUUUUCCUCCAAUUCUUUUCAUUUUGGGAUUUUUUCAUUCAUUAAUCUCUAUUGUAUCUUUUCAAAUUUGAGUUCAACAAAUGAAAAGAAAAAAGCAAAGAGAAAAACUGACAAGAAGAAAGAGCAAAAAAGUUUAAAAAAAAAAAAAAGGAAAUAAAGAAGGAAAAGGGCAAGAUAGAACACCAUUGAAGCACGGCCACAGCGUGUUGUUGCCGUUAGCACUAUCACUUUGGUGACUAUUUCCAACUUCGCUACCUUAUAAGUUACAAUGACCUUCGUAGACAAUAUUUUUCUUGAGAUGUUUUUCUUAGAGUGGGUCAGAAGUUGAGGAUAAUGACAUCAAAACUAUCAAAACUUUCGCUUAUUUUACAAUAGAGUACCUAAACUUUUCUUUUUUCAAUCAAGUAUCUCACUUUUUCAAAUUUGAUACAAUUUGAGGCAUUCACUAAAUGAAUCAUCAUGUCAUAUGAUUUUGGUUACAUGAUUCGCUCACCUUGCAUAUUGAGUAAUGUGGAAAGAAAAAAUAUUGACUUAGAUAAUCGUAGUGUCUUAUAUAUCCCGGCCGAUGUGGCAUCAAAUCAAGAUAUUGUAGAAAACACUAAUGGGCAAUUAACGACUAUUUAACAACAUUAGUAUGAUAUCAACAUUUUUUGUUAGUGAUUUAAUAGAGGACUUAACCUAUAUUUGGAAAAUUGAGGUAAUUGACUGAAUGAACUAAAAUUUUGGUAUGAUUAAAAAAAGGGUAAUAAUUUGGAUACAUGUGCGUCAUUAUCCAAUAAUUUAUCUUUUUUUUACGUGAUAUUCAUGUGAAAGAGAAUAUUAAAUAGUUUUGUCAAUUUCAAGCCAUUGCAAAAUGAUUUUAGUGGCUAUAUGUCAAGCCCAUUUGGAGACUAUAACGUUCUCAAUGUUGAUUUCCUUUAUAUUUUCUGCAAUCAUUCGAUCAUAAACCAUUCCUGCCCCUUUUUCUUGGCCAAUUCCACUGCUUUCCCUUUCAUCUAUUCACCCAAAACUCAAAAAGUAUGUGUAGUUUGGCCUAAAUCAGUUUGAACCAAUUUGAAAAUGUACCGAUUUUCAAAAUUGGAUUUGCCUAGUUUUAGAAUCUCACGGGUAUAGAACUGGGCUUUUGGCUACUGUUGCACAUGGAGGGACUCAAGCACUCAAUUCCACGGAUCACCGGCAUUUUACUUUACCACCAUGACCGAACGAUUCAUGUGUUCAUGGGCAAUUGACAGCAUUACAUAUCUAUAAUCGUUUGCUUCGGACACAAUCACCGAUUCACUUCUAGUCCAAUCGUUAGGACCGCAAACUGGCAACCUAACUGGUUCUCCGACUGGCCUAAGUUUGAAAACAUUGGUGCCAAGUUCCUAUCCCUUCUUAAAACAAGUAGAUAAUGACCAUUUUAUAUGAAUUGAGUUGUAAUUGACGCAAUACUUUUGCCACAUGAUGAAAGAUGAUAGCUAAGUGAUUAUAACUAAUAAACGUUGAUGCUCCUCUUUCUCCUUGAUUAUAUUAGACUUGGAAAUUCUUUGUAUUGCUCCAAAUGAGGUUGAUGCUCAACUUCCAUCGUACAUUACUCCUGAUGUUGCUCUAGUUGGAGCUAUGACUAAUGCUUGACCUUUCCCUUAAAAAUUUCGUAUUCAACAGUAAGUCUUUGCUUUGGCAUCGUACAGACUUCAAUUUAAGAUGCUAAUAAAUCUUAGUCAAGAGGGAAAAAAAUUUAACAUCUACCACUCUUAGGAACCUUAUAUGCUAUUAGGAACUUUGUCGAGCACGGCAUGCUAUCGAGAGGUCGUAGUACUUUGUUAGGCUUAAGAAGAGAUCUAAUCUCCCCAAUCAAAAGAAAUGAAAUCUAUCCACCAUUGGAUUUUGUUAUAAAGCAAAAAACCAGAAAAUGAUGCAGUGCAAUAUAUUUAGCUACAUAGUAGCAGUUUGAUUUGUCACAUGCAGUUUUUGGAUAUCAUGGUUUUUAUGAGCAUGAGAAGUAAACUAGUCACAACAUUUGGAAGCAAAUUACUCAGUAUCAUCUCCAGUGAGUUUGCUAAGAAUUUUCUUUUGAUAAGCAAAAGAAAUUUAUUGCACAAUGAUGUCAAGCAUAUGCUAGCCCAUGUAACAAAUUAUAAACGCAGUUCAUGCUAUGAGGUAUAAGAAAGAAUGCACAUUAGUGUUGACACCUAAAUUUUGGCGACCCGUUUUGUCAUUUAUUGCAUUAAAAAAUUAGGGGUUAAUUUUAUCCCCGAAAAAAUAGUCAAUUGUAUAGCAUAUAGAUUUAAGUGCAUUUGCAUUUUUUGCAUUUGUUUAUUGGACCGGUGGCGGAUGAGUUCGAAUUAGUGGUUUUGAGCUUUAAAUUGAUAGGCUGGACUAAGCCCACGAAGGGAACAAAUUGGCCCAAGCCCUUUUUUUUAUGAUCGAAAAUGAUCUCGUGAAAAAUAGAGAUUUGAAAUUUUUCCAGGAUAUGUUGGGGGAUUUUUCAAUAUCUUCGGAUAGGGCAAGUGCGACAAAAAUAUUGGGAGCUCAUCUUUAAAAUAUUCAGAAUCCGAGAAAAUUUUAUUACGAUCCCGAACUUUGGGCAAUGUUCGAUCAAUUGUGAGUUGGUAUUUGGAAAGAAAAGAAUUGUUUUUGUUGAUCUUGUGAUUAUAAAUGUGCGGACAAAAACAUCAAAAAGGGCAAGAAGGAUUAGCAUUAUUAAAAUAUAUAUUCAAUGAGGAUAUAUGGAUCCGCAAUGCGUACAAAGGAAAUAUAAACCCUCACAAAAGAGGGAAGUCAGUACGUGGACUUCUUUCCUAUAUUCAAAUUUCCCUUUUUGAAGUUCAUAUUCGGCCAGUAUAAAAAGCGUAAUGUUCGAGGAAAAAAGGGGAGGCCACACAAUUGAGAUACACGGCCAUAGGAGAGAACACACGCUAGAGAGAAUAAAAGGGAGAAAUCAUGGGGUUCGGCAAUUCAUUUGAGCGAUACACGUAAGAAGAAAGAGAGAGAGAGAGUCCACGGCCGAGUACUUCGCGUCCAAAAAUCUCAAGGCUGUGCGUCCACCGAUCCUCACCACCGUCAUUAGAAUCCUCACUGUCACUCACUGCUGCCUUCCGAAGUUGAGAAGUUGCUGCCUCGCUGAAGAUCUCCGAGCACUUUCUGUCGCAACUGAUCGUGAGUGAUACGUGCAUGGUGGUGUUCACUUCAACAACACACCCUCAUGGUCAAAGUUUGAUAAUCAAGGAGGUUUAUCACAAGACCUGCAGAAUUCGCAAAGAACUUGGGAACUAGCCAAGUUUGUCAUUGGUCAAAGUCUCCCUAGCGUCCUUUGCUACCUUGCCGAGAAGCCCUGCACAGCUACGUCAUCUCCAUACGAAUAAAGCUCGGGCCCAACUAACGCGAUGGCUGAUGCUGCUCCCUGUCCGAGACCUUGACAUUGGAGCCCCACCGCACUGCUGUCCGAGCCCUGCCGAUGAGCUGACACUCCUAUUGAUACCGACAUCGCCUGCUUGAAGCUGCUGCCAUUGUUGCUUACGUCCACAAACCGAGAUUCAGCAAAUUCCCGACAACGCUGUUGCUCCCCCGACGUUGCAGUUUCCUCGUGUCGCUGAUCAGACGACGUUGUCAUCCAAAACCCCGUCGUGAAUAGCAAAGCCACCGUUCCCAUUCGCAUCCAAACCGAGUCGAUCCCGAAGCUCCUAUUUUUUGCAGGUUCGUUGACCGUGAGCCCACGGUCAUCCUUUACUGAGGAGCACCAUUGUGCCGAGCUUCGUUCACGCACCGCCCUCUCCCGUUGAGCGGAUUCCAUCCGGUUCAAAUUUGGUAACAUUAUUUGCAAAAUUAGGUAAUUAUCUCAUCUAAAUUUGAUUUGGAUAUUUUAUUGCCUAAUGCAUGCUUUUCAAUAUCUUACGUGCAUGUUUGAAUUAUCCGCGUGUUCCCAAUUACGAUUUAUUGCCCAAUUCGCAACCACACACGGAUUUUUUAUUCCAUCUAUAAGGCUUUAAAUGGAAUAAUUAACCACGCGGGAGUAAAAUUGAUAUUUUGAUCUUUAAGGCUUAAGAUUAAUUUAUCGAUUUUAUUAGCAAAAGAAUUAAGUUUGAAUUUCAAUUCGAAUGGUGGAUAGCGUUUUUGAUGAUCAUGGAUGGUUUGAUGUUUAUCUCUUAAUUGUUUUGUUUAUCCCGAAAAUACAAAAAAAUUGCAUUUGCAUGUCGUGUAGAAUUAUGGCAUAUUUUGUACGUCAUUGCAUAUUAGGGUUAAAUUGCACUUAGUUUAAUUUUAGGUAAUAUUUUUCUUAAUUUAUUAUAAGUUUAGGUAUUUUCUUAAAUAGAAUGCAUUUUAGGAUUAUUUGGGUUAAGAUAAUAUUUUAUUUUAAAUUAGGAUUUGGUUUAACUUAAUUCCUAAUGCAAAUUGAAUAGGAUCUUAAUCUAGCUAGAUAAUUUUCACAUUUUAUCUAAUUUCGAAUUUUAGGAAAAAGAAAAAAUGUCACAGGUUAAAUUAGUUUUAUUAUUUAGGAUAAAAUGCAUUCUUUUAGGAAAAAGGAAAAAUGUCAUAUGCACGUCAUUAGGGUUAGAUUCAUUGAGAUGCGUGUCAUUUAGUAUUUUUGCUAGGCCCAUUUAAUUAGAAAUUAUAUGUCAUUAGAAUUAGGUCAUUUAGUUAAUAUUGCAUUGCAUAUUGCAUGAUUUUCAUCAAUUAAGUAAAAACAAAAAAAAAAAUUGCGUGUUAAUUAGAAACCAUAUCUAGGGUUGUUGAUGUGGAUUUUAAUUUAACACUGCAAUGCUUUCGUUGCUUUGAGGUAAGUUUUUGCAAUUUAUUUAUUGUUUAUCUGAGUGUUAAAUUGAUGGUUUGUGCACCCGUAUGAUCACCUCACAUAUUAGGGAAAUAAAUUUAAAAUCAAUCCAAAUUGCUUGCCAAACAUUUUUUCAAAAUAAAAAGAAAGGUACCGAAAGGGCAUUAGAGGAAUAUAGUGUAACAAAGUCCCCGUACCCAUAGUCUCUGGUUCGUAGAAGUAAAGUAAAUCUUCCGUUACUUUAGUUGGGUUUCUAAUCGACCCACCAAAAAUAGAUUAGUGGCGACUCCUAAUUAAAAAUUUGCAUGUUAAGAACUUGAACCGAAAGUCGCGAAUUGGUAUGAGCUUGGGAGAGCUCGAGUUAAGUCUAGGCUUAACAAUCCAUCAACCAAACCCUAGGUGGUUCACAUCCAAAAAAUUGGUCGCGACAGCUUGGCGAUGUCGUUGUCACACAACCAAAAGCCGUGGAAAGCCAUCUAUCAUUCAAAUAAAAAAAAAUAAAAAAAAACUAGUCUUGCUAUUUUCAAAAGCUCUUGUAUUUCUUUCUUCACAAUGAAAUAGUAAGCUAUUGAAGUGAAUCAACCAUGAACACAGCCCAACAUAAACAAGGAGUAAUAAAAACUACUUACUGUUUGAUGUUGGGUUCUAAAAUCCAACAAAAGGAAGUUCUCUAGUAGAACCCAAAAACAGGAGUGUGCCAUAGAUUCACGGAUAAUUUAAACAGAAAUUACAAGACCUAUGAAACAGGCAAUUGGAUAGAAAGCAAAUGAAGGUUUGUUGCAGAAGGCAGUCAUAGACAUUGUGGACCUGAAUAUCCAUGCAUAGUGAUGAACAAGGCAUUACUGCAGGGUGAGCUUGGCAUCUAAUUUGUAACAACAAGAGAGAGAAUGUCAAUCAUCAUAGCAGCUGAGGCUGUGUUCUCCAUGAUAGCUACUACCCAAUCAUCUCUUUGACCCAACAAUUGAGAUUCAGAUGCAGGGUGGCUAGUUCAUAUUCAGAAUAGCAGAUUAGUACAGCCACACUCAUUAAGUCAGACCAAUAACUGAGAAUGAACUAGCCAUUGUAAAUAGACUGCUUCUGAUGACCUUGCUGGCAUCAAGGCGAGCUGAGAGUUGCCAAAAGCAUUAUCUGCACAUUCUUUCUGAAUCAUUGAUUUCAGGAGUUCCAGUGGCAAUUUUUAGGACUAACAAGGAAUGAGAUGGAUCAGCCCACUAUUAAUUAACUUGGUUUAUAGAUGUAAGUAGAGUUUGUCUAAUUAAAUCUGUACAAAAACUCGAAUCUUUCAACUCGUGAAGAAGAAGACUGGAAAGCAAGUUAUCUUUACAACUCGAAUAAGAACAUAUGACCUUAAAAUGAAUCAUGAGGCUUGUAUUUAUUGUCAAUUUCAUGUAUAUCCAUUAAGGAGCUAUCUCCAACUGCAAUAUCCUCCAAUUCACUGAUGGCUUCUAUUUGGUUAAGCUGCAUAGCAAUGCCUCCAUCCUCAGAGCUACCCUCUAGAAAAUCAUUAUCUUCCAUAUCUGAUGAGUCCAUAAAAGUUUCCAUCUUUUUCUUCCUCCCCAUAUAACCAAUAAGGCUUGGGACUUUUUCCUUCUAAAUAACGAGCAAACAUUUAUGGAUCAGCUCCGCACCUUCAUAAGCUCCUCUGAAGAACACACUAAACCUCUUUCCCCUCUCAGAGACAUAGAAAACGCCAUAAUGCUUCAAUAGGAGUCUCAUCAGCUUCUGAGGCAUCACAAAUUCUUGUCGAAAGUGCGCGAGGUGAUUGGUUACCAACCUUUUUUCCAUUGUGAAGCUAAGUAACUCGUGCAUUGCUGCAAUGGAUCUCUUAUUAAAUUCUUUCAAUCCAGCUUGAAGGCCACAUGCAUCAGCGUAAGGAGUCAAGUAAGACCUUUUCUGAAAGUGCUCAAUCUUCCGUCCAUAUCUACACACCUUCUUGUAACUGGCAGGAAACUUCAAGGGGAAAGAUAGGGAAAGCAACCCUGGAGUAUGAAAAGGCAAAUUAUGAUACCCCCAAUAUGGCCUUCUCCAACUCUGUGAUAGCCCAAGCAGGAUUCCACUCUAUGAGCUCGAGGUAAUCAACUUCAUCUGGAGAUUUAACCACUUUGAAGUGCUGCGGAUACUCAUGUACCCACUUGCUCCUAAAAUCAGCUGGCAAACCAGACUCUCCUGAAAUGAGCAAUUUUGUCCAGAGGAAGCCAUUUAUCGACCGACGUCAUCAACAUCCUAGUUACGUAUUCAACAGCAUGCCAGAAUGUCCCCUAAUCAAUCUCUCCUCUUCCUCUAACAAGUCUUCAGCUUCUUUAGUUAAUUCCAAACCACAAUACCCCCUUCUGAUCCUUACACAACUCAAAACAGUUUUGGUGACUUCCGAAUAAAAUCCACUCUACCGUUUGCUUGGCUAUAGAUCCAGCGAUCUCACAGGGAUUAUCGGGUUCCUUUUUCAACAUUUCCAUCAAAACCAACACCUUCGACACCACUUUUGCUUCUCAGUGGCAAUUUCGAGAUCAUGGACCCUCUUGUCCUUGUUCCUAUCUUACACUCUCUUGCUGGUGGUCAUGAAUCUACGUUGUGACCAGUUAAGUAAAAUCUCAAGACAAAAACAUUCGAGAAGAUCGCCAUAAAAGAAAACACAUGCUCCGUGUUCAUUGCCUUUUACUGAAUCACUGAGUUACAAAUUUUAAGACGUGUGCCCAAACUAGUCACGAGCAAGUUCUUAGCAAGUCAUUCCGGAUAACUCAAUUAUUCAUUAAUAUUUUCUUAAUUCUAUGAGCAAUAAGCAUGCAGUUCAAACAUAAUGCAACUAAACCAAGUAUUGACCACAAUAUGGAUCGAUUCUUUUCCUUUUUUAAGCGGAACUUAAUUCAUUCUAAUUUAAGAAAAUUAUAAGCCGAACAGGAUUAAGAUAAAUAAAAAACCAAGCUAAAAAAAAAACUGAGUUAUUUAAUGUGAAAUAAAUAAAUAAAUCAAACCAAUAUUUUCCUCUCCCUCUUUAGGAGCGUAUCUGAUAAAUUCUUAAAACAUAUUCAUUAAACCUCAGUCAAACCUCAGAAUAACGAAACUCAGUCAAACCUCUUUUUCUUAAAAGAGAAAAAAGAAAAAUAAGCUGAGAGCCAUUCCCCCCCCCCCUUCCCGCCUCUCCGAUCGUUUCCAAAAUCUGCCAAAAAAAAAAAAUUCGAAAGUUUCUCCUCCUGCGCAGAGUGAAAUUCCAUGGUCGUCGUAGAUGCUUUUGUCUCUCAGGGGAGUUUCACGAAGCUCCGCUUGAUUUCACCUCAUGUCCUUUUCCGCGGGCACGAUCGCCGGCGAUGGUGAUUCUGAGUUUCGUCUUGUGUUCGCUCGUUGAUGUUCAGAGCCAAAGAGCAGAAGAUCGUGGAACGAGAGGACGUCGACGACGGAGCAGAAGACCUGCUCGAAACGAUCGACAAACAAACGUGAGUUACGGCAAAAACAGAGUGGAGGCAACUCCUCUCUGUUCAUAAUGCGUUUUCGUAAUGCGUUUCGGUGGCAUCCUUUGAUUCUGAGAUGAUUAUCGUGAUUUUCUGAUCCGUGUUCCGAAAGUUAAAAUUGAGAUGCAAAUGGUUCGAUGAAGCUGUGGCCGUGAUUAUCGUGAUUUACAUCUCGAGCUUUCUCUCGAACUUGCUGUGAUUUCCUGCGCGUGCAGUGGUUUUCACUUUUCAGUUUUUGUCUCCUGACCAUACAAGAGCAAUUCCAGCCUUCCUUAUGUUACGUGACCUUGGAAUUGCACCAUCGUACGUCUUAUUUUCCAUGUAUUCGUGACAUAGCUGGAUUAAUAACGAAUGUCCCAAGCUUAAUUCAUCGAUAAAGACUGUUGGAACGCUAGAUUGUCAUUGAUCAUUUAGGAAAUGCUUUUGUCCUGUCAUUCUACAUUCACCAGAAAACAUAGAGUUUAACACGAUGGUUAAGCUCGAGUCUUCGUUGAAGGACGAUUCUGAUUCGCUCAAAUCCAGCAAAGUGAAGAAUAAUGUGGAGAGAAUCGACAACUGGAAGCCAAGCCCUCGAUAAGCUUUUAGGCGGUAACAGACUUUCUUUUGCAGACUGUGUGUCUUUUUCUCCAUGCAUUUCAACGAAAACAAAUUUCACCGGUUUGGCAAUCUUGACAGGUGGUAUUGAAACUCUGGCAAGUACGGAAGCAUUUGGCGAACCUGGGUGAAAAUCACAGUCCAACAACGUUACCUUUGAUGAACUUUUAGUUGUUUUUGUUAAUUAGCUUUCUCAGAAAAAUGCUGCGGACGUCACUUCAGGUCUGGGAAAACACAGCUUGCAUGCACCCCAUGCGUUACUUCCCGGGUUGGUCUGAAUUGGAUAUUAGGUUUCUGUCUUGAACUUCUGUUGCAUUUGUUUUUUUUUUUUUUUUUUCCUGAUGAAAAAUGCCAAAUAGUAACAUAAUGAUUGAAUUUCUAUGGAGUAUAAAGAUGUGGGUAAUCUUGGCAUCAUGAUGCGUGUAUUAGGUGAUUCUGGAAGUAUGGCACUCUCAUUUUCUGUAAUCUGCAGUCAGUAUACUGGAACGCAUGUACAGUGGCUCAAACCAAGCAGGAAAAAGGCCAGAAGAGUUUGUACUAUGUCACAACCGAGUAAAAGCCUUAAUCAUAGUCGGACUCGGACUUGGGUUGAUCAUUAGUCGAAUGUGAUGCUUGAAGAUACUCUACUUUAUUUGCAAAUCCUACAACAGUAUUUACCCCUAUUUUCAAUCAUUCUUUAUUAAUGGUUUGUGGAUUCCAUGGCUGUAAAAUAUUUUCAGCUGCCAACUCACAUGAGAGGAGGAAAUGGCAAGGUAGCUUAUAUCGACGCAAGAGGAACUUUGUAUCCUAUUAUGAUCUGUCUGUAUUUUUCUUGACCUCUUGACAAAGAUACUUGUGUUUCUGAAUCGUAUGUAAGUGCAUGUGCACUUUCUUAACUUAGUACACCUGUAGUCUUAGAUAACGUAAGCAAUGCACUUUCAAUUUUAAUCAAAUUCUAGACAUAAACACGCUCCAUGUCCGUCACUCUUUACUAAAUCACCUAGUUACAAAUUUUAGGAUGUAUGCCAAUCUAGGUUUAGCACAACCAAAUCGGUCAUGAGUAAGUGCUUGGCAAGUCAUCGUGAAUAAACUUAAUUGUCGAUUGAUAUUUUCAUGAUUUCAUGAGCAAUCAGUGCGGAGUUUGAGCACAAUGCAAUUAAACCAGGAACUGACCUCAAUGCAGAUCGAUUAUUUUCCUUUUCUAAGAAGAAAUUUAUGCGGUCCAAUUUGAGAAAAUUAUAAACCAAGCGAGACGAAGGUGAGUACAAAAUUAAACCAAAUCGAACUAAAUUAUUCAGUCCGAAAUUAAAAAUAAAUAAUAAUAAUAAAAAAAAAAAAGAGGUCAUACCCAAUUUUCUCUCAUCCUCUUUAAGAGUGGAUUUAAAAAGAUUUUAAGAAUUUAUCAGAUCCAUUAAAGCUCAAUUUAUAAUAACAAAACUCCAUCAAACGUAAGUCAGGGCAAAACAAGGGCGUAGGCAACUGCUGUCUGUUCAUCUCAUCGCUUUCAGUUUCUCGUCGAUGUUCCGGUGCGUCGUUUGAUUCUGAAGUUGAUCAUCGUGAUUUUCUGGUCUCUGUUCUCAAGUUGACUGUAUAUCUCUUUGAAUGUCGAUGUUAAGUGACUCUGAAUACUGCUAAGUGCAUGAGCUUGAUUUCGGUUUCGGUUGCUCAGUUAAGCUCGAUUUUCCUGGAACAUCACCGUGAAUCCAUUGGCGUUUUUACAUCUCGGCCUUUCUCUCGAACUUGUCGCGAUUUUCUGCGCGUACGAUAGGUUUUAGUUUUUGUCUUCUGAUCAUCCAAGAGCAAUUCAGCCUUCGUUAUGUUACGUGACAUCCGCCGGAUGUCUUUUUUCCCGUGUAUUCGUGACGUAGCUGGAUUAAUAACGAAUAUCCUAAGCUAAUUUCAUCAAUAAUAUCUGUUGGAACGCUAGAUUGUCAGUGAUGAUCUAGGAAAUGCUUUUGUCCUGACAUUCUACAUUCACCAGAAAACUUAGUUUAACGCGAUGGUUAAGCUUGAGUCUUCAUUGGAGGACAAUUCUGGUUCGCUGAAAUCCAGCAAAGUGAAGAAUAAUGUGAAGAGAAAAUGAAAGACUAAGAUCGAACAGUAUCUCGAGCGUGUAAUGCGGAAAGCUGAUAUAUCUGCCGAGGAGGAUCUGAAAUUGGAAAGGAAGCUUGCCAAGAAGCUCAAGGUGAAGGAUGGACAGCUAUGUGGGUCAGACGAUGGAAUGAAUGUGUUAUUUCAAGGAAUUCCUUCUAUUCUUGAUUCUUUUGAACAAGAAGCGCCAGGGGUAAGAGAAAAUCGUAGCGAAAUAUUUGAAGGUAAAUCUUCAGGGGAAAAAAGUGAAAUGUCCAACUAAGAGCAUAUGCAGGAUGAUGGAAAAGCUGUUUAUGUUAAGGCUGGAGCCUGUGACUCAGGAGACUAGAAACCCCUUCAUUUCAGCUCUCAAUUGAGUUCAUGAGCUCCGCAAAUUUCAAUUCAUUUCCUUUUCAUGAUGUGAUUGCCAAGAAUGAUUCUGAGUUUCCAUUUGACUCCCUCUUGAACCUGUCGUGAUUUUCUGUGCAUACGAUAGUUUAAUUUUCUUUCCUUAAAUGACGAGAAGUAAUUUCCGCUACUACUUGAAUAUGAUACGUCUAAUUCACCUUUUUGACGUAUGUCUUCUAAAUCAUACAAGAGUAAUUUGGCCUUUGUUAUGUUACGUCACAUAGUAAUUGCACCAUCAGUACAUCUAUUAUCCACGUAUUUAUGGCAUAGAUGGAUUAAUAACGAAUCUCCUAAGCUAAAUUCGUCAACAAUCACUAUUGGAACACUUGACAUUCUACAUUCACCAGAAAAUAUAGAGUUAAACACGAUGGUGGGUUGUUUUUUUUUCGUUUGCAGGUAUUUCUCAGGGAAUCCAUGCUGGAGAUGUGAAAAAAGAUACAGGAUGCGGGGAUCGACACUUGCAAAUGUCUUGAUGAUGCAUACAGAGAAGGUAUAUCUGAUAUUCAGUUCCGAAAAUUAAGCGAAGGUAUUAUUUGGCUAAGGUGAUUUCCUGUGUCUUUGUUUUGUUUUUUUGUAGCACUUAACUAGAACCAAAGGUUUAUCUGAAGCAAAAGUUGAUAAGAUAUGCGAAUCAGCUGAAAAGAUAGUGGUUAGAGCUUAAUUUCUUCUUAUCCUGAGAUGGCGCCGUAAUCAAUUGCAACUUCUAUAUGCAUCUCACAAUAACUUCUCUUUGUUUUCAUCAGAAUUCUCAUUUUAUUACGGGAAUUGAAUCUAUGCUCAGAGCAAGUUAUGCUCAGAGUAAGUCCUUAAUUCGGCAAAUUUCGAGCUAAAAUGGUUCGGAAGACCUGAAUGAGUCAUUGACCCUUGAAAUAAAGCCUGCAAAUUAACAUAUCGACUGUAGAGAACUGCACUUGCUCCAAACCCUACUUGUCUCACAGCACAAAGUACUUUCAAUGUCUUCGUUUUUUCCAGAGCAAGUCGGUUAUUUGCAUCACAACUGGAAGCCAAGCCCUCAAUGAGCUUUUAGGCAGUAAUAGACUUUCUUUUGUAGAUUGUGUAUAUCAUUCUUCAUGCGUUUCCACAAAAACAACUUUCCCUGGUUCUGCGAUGUUAAACAGGUGGUACUGAAACUCACGCAAUUACAGAAGCAUUUGGCGUAUCUCGAUGACAAGCACAGUCCAAUAACGUUACCCUUGAUGAACUUUUAGUUGCUUUUGUUAGUUGGCUUUCUCAGAAAAUGCUGCUAACGUCACUUCAGGUCUGGGAAAACACAGCUUGCACAUACCCUGUUUGUGACUGCUCAGGUUGGUCACAAUUGCAUGUUAGGUUUUCGUCGUUAACUUCUAUUUCAUGUUAUGUUUCCUAGAUGAACAACAUAAAUAGCAAGAUAAUGAUUGAAUUUCUAGUAAAGAAUAAAGCUAUGGUUAAUAUUGGCAUCGGAACAUGUUUAUUAGGUGAUUCUGGAAGUUUGGCACUCUCAUCAUCUGUAAACGGCAAUCAGCAUACUGGAACACACAAUCUAUAGUGGUUCAAACCAAGUAGGAAAAGGCCAGGAGAGCGUACUAGGUCAUAACCAAUCAGAAGCCUUAGUCAUUGUCAGACUUGGACUUGGGUUGAUCAUCAGUUGAAUGGGAUGCUUGAAGUACUCUACUAUAUAUGCAAAUCCUACAACAUUAUUUUCCCUUCUUUCCAUCACUCUUCAUUAAAGCUGAUCCCGUUCCAUGAGAUGAUAUCUUAUGGUUUGUGGAUUCCACGAUCCUAAUAAUUUUAACAGCUGCCAACUCACGUGGGAGGGGCAAAUGGCAAGGUAGCAUACCUCGCCACAGAAAAAACUUUGUAUCCUAUUAUAAUCUGUUGGUCAUUUCCUUGACCUCAACAAAGCUGCUUUUGUUUCAUACUCGGCUUAUGUCCAUGUAAGUGCAUAUGCACUUUCUUAACUUGGUACACCUGCAGUUGCCAUGAUUGAAUUGUACAAAUAGCUGAAAGAUUUGGCAUGGAUCCUGGUGCCGUCACACGUAAUGGAAGCAAUGCUUUCUACACUGGUGGCAAUCUUUUCUGGCUAAUGUACUUGCUGUAAUCUAGUCUUUCCAUGAAUUUGAAGAUCAUUUAUGCCCGUGCCUCUACUUCUAAGCAUCUGUACAACUUCCUUCUCAGUUUGGCUGCCAAAGUGUCUGAAGAACCAUUUAGGUUCCUGGUAAGACAGUGCUCAAGAAUCAAACUGCACACAUUUUGUAAGGUGUCGAUGGUUGACCUUAGCUGAGUAAUAUCUUUCAGAUUGUGGAUUCAGUGAUCGCUCUCUUUCAAGUGGAAUAUAAUGGAAGGGGAGAACUUGCAGGGCGUCAGGUCGAUUCCGAAACCAUCAAAUCAUGCGAGUUGCAAAUUUUCAGCUCAUCUAGUUUGACACUAAUAGAUUUCCAAUUGCAGCAAACAUUGGCACAAAUGCUCUCACGCUUACUUAAGAUAGCCGAGGAAUUUAAUGUGGCAGUGUACAUGACCAAUCAAGGUACCGCAUCACAUCUCUUUUCUCCCACCUAGUCAUGCAUCCUUUAAAGGAUCUUAUCCAAUUUAGCUCUUUGAUGGUUGCACACUGAAAAAUAGCAAUUUGGUGACUACACUAAGCUCAUACUAGUUCUCAUAAAUCUCAAGAACCAGCUUUUUGGUGUAAACUAGUGAUGUGCACGGUAGCUGCAGUCCAUGAGUUAAGCAAAAAAGAUAAUUUUUUUGACAACUUUUUCUUUGAUUUCUUUGUUUCAGUGGCAUCAAAGAAGCAUGCAGGUGGGCAUGUUCUGGGUCAUGCAACCACAAUUAGGUUGAUGUUUACAAAUGGCAAAGGUGAGCAGUGGGUUUGCAAGGUGUUCAAAGCCCCAGACCUACCUAAAGCUGAAGCUAUAUCCUUUUUGUCUGGAUCUUCGUCUAGCUAUACACUUUAUUGAAAUUUACCAGAUUACACUGCAGACAUUAAACGAAAUUUCUAGAAAUCUAAUAUCAAUCGGAGAGAAAGUUGAUACUAAGUCUAUAUAUGGAUAGGUGGAGACUAGAAUUUGAGCAGUAUACUUGUAGUAUACUUACAUGCGCUGCCUGUGCUAUGGAAAUAAAAUACCCAACCAUUGAUGAUGCCAUACUGCAGAUCUUCCUCUAGUUAUAUACUUCGUUGAAAUUUUUCAGACCAUGCUGCAGAUACCAAGUAAAAUAUCUGGAAGUCUAGAUCAAAAUCUGUGAGAAAGUCGAUAAUUAGUCUAAAUAGGGAUAGGUGGAUACCUGAUUUAAGCAUGAUACUCACUUUAUACUUGAUGUUGCCUGGAGAUCCAUGAACAUGUUGAAUACGAAUUUUGUCCAGAGGAAUUAAACAAAAAGAAGUAGCUGUUGAGAAUUUUCCUCAGUAGGACCGGUAUGAUAUUUUUAGCUGUGCUGUUAUGUAGAUGAUGCACAUCUAUCAAGACCAUCACUUAAUUUAAUCAAAAAAUUUAGGAAGAGCUCAUCUAUCAAUAAGAUGAGACUGAGAUAUUCAAUAUAUGUUGAACUUGACAAACACAUGUUUUUCAGAUAACACCAGGAGGCAUCACCGAUGUGAAGGACUGAAGGAGUCUCUCCAACCAGGAGGGCAGGCGAAGUGCUUUUUUUUGUUAAUCUGCAAUUUGAUAUUAGUCAUCGUAUUGACCGCAAGAGGCAUAUAAUGAGCUCCCAAGAACUUGUUCAUUUCCUUUCUCUGCAAUGGACACUUUGUCACCCUUGUCAUAGCUUGUCCCUAAGUUUCAUGUGCUCGACAACAAACCAUUCAUGAAUGACAUGAGAUACUUUCUCUAACUGUGAUGGUGACCCAAAAGAUUUGUCAACUACAAUGUCACCUUUGUGUAUCAAAUGCAAAAUAUAUCAUAAGGGUAAGGCCGAAGUAUCCUUUCUGCUUCUUCUAUUUAUGUUUAGCCAAUUGAAUGCAACUAAUACAGCCUUAUAUGCUCUUAGGAACUUAAUCGAGCAUGGCAUGUCAUUGAAAGGUCAUAGGACUUCAUAAGAGAUGUAACCAAAAGAAAAUUAUUCUGUGUCAUUUCGAAUAACCUCAAAUGAAAUGAAAUUUAUCAAUCACUGUGUUUCGUCAUAAAGAAAAAUAAAAUAAAAUUCUCCACUGCAAUAUGUUUUUAACUACACAUAAUAGCAUAUGGGUUUAAGGUCAACAGUUUGUGGAUACCAUGGUUUUUAUGAGCCCGAGAAGAAUCUAGUCACAAUAUUUAAAAACUAAUUACCCAACAUCAUCUCCAUUGAGUUCACAAUAAUUUUCUUUUGAUAAUUAAAAAAACUUUGUUGAACUUUCUUACACGAGCAAUCUGGCUUUUGUUUAUGUUACACGACAUUCAAAUCGCACCAUUGCAGUAGCUGCAGUCCUUGAGUUAAGGAAAAAGAUGAUUUUUGAUGACUUUGUCUUUGAUUUAUUUAUUUCAGUCGUAGAUGAUCUAGGCGGUGCUGUGUUCAUAUCAGACCGAAAGAAACCUGCGGGUGGGGAUGUUCUGGCUCAUUUAGACACAAUUAGGUUGAUAUUUAGGAAAGGCAAAGCUGAGCAGCGCGUCUGCAAGUUGUUUAAGGCCCCAGACCUACCGAAAGCUGAAGCCAAGUCGAUACUGAGUCUACAUAUAGAUAGGUGGAGACCUGAUUUAAGCACGGUGCUCACAGUAUACUUGAUGGUGUAUGGAGAUCCAUGAACAUGUCGAAUACAAAUUUUGUGCAGAGUAAUUAAACAAAAAGAAGUGGAUAUCCAGAAUUUUUUUAAGCAGGACUAGUAAGUUAGUUGUGCAGCCUGUGCUAUGUAGACUGCACAUCUAUCAAAACCAUAACUUACUUAUGUAAGAAAUUUUAACGAGAGCUCAUAUGUCAAUAGGGUGAGAUCGACAAGCGCACGUUUUUCAGAUAACAACAGGGGCAUAGCCGAUGAGGACUGAAGAGGUCUCUCCUACCAAGAUGGCCAGGCGAAGUGCUUUUUUAUUUUAUCUUUUGGGUUAAUCUGCAAUUUGAUUUUAGUCAUCGUAUUGAUAGGUACCUCUAUCUCCAUGUUAAGUUUGUAUUGGCAGGCAUCAAGCUCCUUUUGACAGCUUUAAAAUUGCACGAGAGGUUACCGCUUUAGCCUUAAUAUCUAACAUGCUAUCAUUGUCUGUUAUUAAAGUUCACAUGACCCUUCACAAGGUGUUGUGUAAACUUGAUUUCCAUAUGAGAACCAGCACGCUCCAAGUUAUAAUGGUUCACAUUUGUUCUCAUAUGACAAUAUCGUCCUGGUUUGAUUUACUAGUAGAGGUUCUAUGCGGAAAAUAUUACAUUGGAUAGACUUUGCAUGACGGCUAAAUGAAAUGCCAGAAAGAUAUUACUGCACAAAGCAUGAUCAGGUUCUGUAAAGGCUUGGUUUUAUAAGUACAUAUACAGCUGCAUAAAAACGAUGUGAUCUCAAACUCUCAAUAUAGAGCAACGGACCAUUAGAGCUGAAAAAAUUGUCAAUGUAUGAGAAAGGGUGACUGGGUCAUAAGCAACAGAAGGCCAUUCAAUAGCUAAUGGCCUGACCAAAAGGGGCCACAAUGCAUAUGACUCGGCAGUGCAAGGACAAGUUCACAGCACUUCCAACUCUAGGCAUACUGGACUCCUUAGUCUCUGCACCACUUCAAAUGUAGCGCUUUGUACUCAGCCCAAGCUAUUCACCCUAGGAACUGGCUUCACCUCAUUCGGUGCAUGCUCGUAACUCCUCAAACAUUUAGAGCUGAUAAAGAAGCAUCAUGCGUUGGAAAGAAGGCAACAUUAACAGGUGAACGAUUUGGCACUCAAAAAUCACUGGAAGAGCAACAUUGUACGUGAAAAGGCACAUUUCAAUACAUGGAUACAGGUAAAGAACACCAUUUUAACCUUAGAUUAUAGAUUUAUGUUCGAAACCAAUUUUUCCAAAAUGCUGUUACCCAACAACAUAACAUUCUCCUCUGAACUCUGCUUAAUAUCAGCAGAGCUCAUCCAUCCUUACUUUUCAGAUUGCAAUGCAUGGACCAAAUUCCAGUGGAGCUGCAUCAACAAACUGAAAAAAUAAUUACCUUUAGGAAAUGGUGCGAAAGACUUCCCAAAGCCCAUCUUCACGACUUCUGCAUCAUCUGAGCGAACAAGACUGCCUCUAGAAUCAAUUCCCCAGGAGGAAGGAAAACUGCCAUAACAUCCUGAAUGAUUCAGAGGACAGAAAGGAUUAGAUAUAGAUCACAGGUGGAGGGAGAGAUUGAGAGCGAUAUCCCAGAACGAAACCAAUGAACAUUAUUGUUACUCACACAGGCCAGACAAGGGGUUUUAGAAGUGCUGUCGAAGAGCACAAAACCAAACUUCCUGCUGAUGUCUCUCACGACUUGAUCAGCAGAGUAGGCCUCCGAUCCCUCAGAGUUCAAUAAGCUUCUACGACGAUAAUGACCUCAUUAGCGGUUUUUUUCCAUCCAUAUUGCUGCUUAAGAAGAGCAACAUUGGCUCUGUCCUUGGAACAAGAAACCGCAAACAAUCUGUCACAGAGGGUAAGGCAUGUCAAAUCUCGAUGUGGGACAAGCUGAUUGAGAAGAGAAGACAGUACGGCAAUUUCCGUCAAUUAACAAUCCAAUAAAUUUCAUUUUCUGGCUUUCAAAAUGAACCAGAGACUCGAGUUCCACUAUCUCCUUUAGGCUGACAAAUGGAACCUUUCAUGGUAUCACAGUAAAGUCCAACAAAAAUCAGUUUGAUCUAACCGUUGCCUCUCUAAAUAAUGAAAUCACGAUUAUUUUUUUCUUUUUUGGUGGUUAAAGCUACCUUUAUCAAGAGAUGGAGUGGGAAUUUGAAUAGAAGAAAGAGAAACUUUAUUCUUUGACCAGGUAAUCAGUUUUUACAUGGGUUUCGGCCAACAUAAUUCAUUCAAAAUUUAGCUGUUUCAUUCACAUAUCCAAACCUCUGUUUUAAAUUUAUCCUUCCAUCUAUACAAUAACUGUUAUGGGAAGAAAGAGAGCUUCUUAUUUUGAAUAUUGACCUGUAAAUGUUAAAAGGAUAUCAUCUAACCAAUUCACAUAUAGAAAUUCACAUUGUAUUUUGUGGCUCCUACAAUAUAGUCACUAAAGCAAUUCUGUACUUAGAGUCAAAAGUACAACUUUUUAACCUAUUGGCAAGUGAUACUGCAUAUUCAAUGUUAAAAACUUAAGACUCGUCCUUCCAUGAGCCCCAAUCAAAAUGACAAACGAGGGCUGCCGUUACUGUGAGUACAUCAUGUAUAUCAGCAGCAAUCCUCUCUUCAUCCUUUUUGGCUUUCUCUAUGUAACAAAGCCUCAUUUUAUGUUUUAUAAGGUAAUGUGAUGUGAUCUCAUUGAACCACUCUUGGCUGAUGACAAGAACUAAACUCACCUGAUUCGACGAGGACUGAAGUAUCUUAUUAUCAUCUUGGAAAUUCCCACAGAAAGGCGCCACCUUGCCUUGAGAAACCACCCAAAGCUUGUCCAUGCUUCCAGAUAUUGGAUGCUCAUCGUGACUAACCUGCAAAUCAAGGUGAAAAGAUGGCUAUUAGCUGUAAAGACAAUCCAUCAUUGGUCAAAUUGAAGUAUUCUAGCAAAAAAAUCAAUCUCACCAUCAGACAUCUUCCUUGGAACAAGACCAGCCCUCAAAUGAGCGCCUCAACCGCAUCCAAAUCCUGCAGUUUGGGAUAGUAAAAAACACAGAAUCAUACUCAUCAAUCCUUAGACAAGAAACUAGCAAUUUAGAAAGAUAGAACUUUAGUAGUCAUAGGUCAUUAAAGUAGAACUUAAAGUCGCUUUGGUGCAAGUGGAUCCACUCCACGUUCCUUAAAAGGAAGAACUUCUGGGUGGUUAAGCAGCCGACCUGUUGCUCUUGGGCCUGGAAGAAAAUUUUACAACUCAGAGUAGAAGUCCGGCUCAGUUUCUGGUGCAGAAUUGGGGAUGGCCUUUCUACGUCACUUUGGUUUGAUAACUGGCAUCCUAGGGGGCCGCUGAAUUGGGUUUUCUUGGAUGUGUUAAUCUAUAACUCUGGCCUUUCUAGAGAGACUUCAGUUGUAGACCUCUAUGUGGAGGAUGGGCAGGCUUUAAGGUCGGUGUUGGAGUCGUGGGAGAUUCCCCUCCCCUCCCUCUCUCUUAACCAAGGUUGCUUUUGCUGGAAGGAUAAUCCGGCAGGGUUCAUGGUGGCCAUGGCCUGGGAGGCCUUUAGGAGGAAGAAGCCCCGAAUUUUAUGGCAUCGUUUCAUUUGGAACAAUGCCAUUACACCCAGGUACCAAUUUCACCUUUGGCUUGUCGCCAAGCAUAGGUUUCCCACCCAAGCUUUCCUCCUCUCUUAUGGAAGGAUUGAUACUACUUUUUGCCCCUUCUGUGAGGAGGUGCCUGACUCUAUUGACCAUCUAUUUUUUGAGUGUCGGGUCACGGCUAAUUUGGCUUUCUUUUGGGCAACCAGAUGUAACCUUCCGUGGCGAAACCGGUCUUGGAAUGAAAAUCUCCUCUAGGCCACAACCUUUCUUGUGGGCAACGACUUCUUCAAAAGCAUGGCGCGGUUUUCUUUUGGCACUCUCUGUCAUAUCAUUUGGAGGAAUAGGAACAAUAUUCUCUUUAGAGAGGAGCCGCUGUCCAUUCCGGCCAUGAAGAAUCAUCUCCUCAAAGUGGUCAAAGAUAAGGCACUCUCUUUCAAGGAUGUGGAAGAUUCCUUCAGGAAUAGGAGACUACAACGCAGUUGGGACCUGAAUCCGAGUAUCUUUGCUCCGCGCGUUCUCCUCUCGGGUGACUAGCCGUCUCUAGAUCGACUGAUGUUGGUCUUUGUGUCGUCGUGCUUGUCUGGCGGUUGUUCAUGCCGUCUGGGUCUCUUUCUUUUCUUUUCUUGCUCUUGCCGCUUGGCCUCUUUCUCGGCUUCCUUCCACUCAUAAUGAAGCCGUUCAUCUCGAGUGCAAGUUUAUGAAGACGGUUCGUUUUGUACUGUUUGGUCUUCCCCAUUUAUAUAUUGCUUAUUUUACCAAAAAAAAAAAAACAAAGAAAUUUCCACGUUAAUUAUGUGCAAAACCCAAUGCUGCCUAUAGGAUAUUGGAACUACUUGGUAUUGCAGAUUACUGCAAUACAAAAAACACCGAUCAUGCUAGCAUACAUGUUCAAUUCCCAAUAUUUUGCCAGUUGGAACAAUUAGAUUGGUUAUGUUCCAUUAUAAGUUAGAUGUAAGAUGGCAGAGGCUCCCUGUUGUGAUCACUAAUUGGUUCCAUUGUAUUUUCAAUGCAAAGACCAGAUUCCUAUAAGUUCAAAUAGUGCAAGAACAAUAUAACAAGCUAACUGAAAAAGUCAUCGAAGUCACAAAAUGGAGAAAAAUGAGUAAAACUUAGCAGAUGAUCGGAUGGCUUGCAAGCCAAAACUAUGUGAGGUUUCUCAAAAGUUAUCUUGGCAAAUGCAACUUUCUGACCACCUAUUUAUAUGGGCAAAGAACCAUGUUAUAUGUGCAAUAACAUUCAAAAAGCCUCAGAGAAAGUAGAAUGAACCGCAAUUUAGAUUACAAAUUAACUCACCUCUAAAAGAGCUUCACGAUCUCACACAAAAAUUGCUUCAAUAAAAAAUUUACAUAUGCAACAGUAACAGAGAGGGAGGAGAUGUAUCAUACAAGGUUUGCAUUCGUCGAACUGCAAGAUUUCCAGUUACACCAAACAAACACAAGUAAGCUCGAAACUUUUGUUCUGGAACUCCCCGCACGAAAAAUGCCACAUAAGAAGGUAUUUUCAAUAAAAUAACAUAAUGUAAGACAAAAUAAUAUUCCACAUUAGAGUAAACGCACAUGACUGAUACUUUAAAGAACUGAAUAGUUUUGCCCCAAAGGUCACUGCUGACAACACAAUCACAGAAGCAGGUAGCAUAUCAUUUCAAUCUCAACCAAACAAGCAUAAGUAGUUUGGCUAAAAAUUUCUUGCAAGCUUUUAGUAAUAGUUCCUAACCCACCAGAGAUCAAGACCCAAGCGGAAGGUGAUUUAUGGAAUAUCAAUGCUGUCACGAAUUGGCGUGGCAUUGAAAGGUUGGAGCCAUGAGGCGCCCCAGAAUUUUAUCCCAGAUUGACUGGUUAAUACUACAAAGGAUCAUCAUCAACAAAAAGAAGGUUCUCAAUGAUAAAGGAAACCAUUGAAAAAAGAAAAGAAAAGGAAGUGCAUCCCUUUUCUUCACAAUCAUAUCACAGCAUCCACAUAACUAAUCAUGUUUUUAGAUUUUAGAAAAGAUUAUUCUUAUUUAGAUCGUAUUCACUAGAAGAAAAUUUAGAACAUCUCAAUGCACCAUAUAAAAUUAAACGCUUCUUUUUUCUAUUAUUAAAUUGCAAAAGGUGACACUUAACAUUGACAGCAUUAGCCCCACCUCAACAGCAUUCGCAAGUGAUCCUUCCAAGAGAUUUUGCCAAUACAAAUCACAGUGGUAUCUGCAAAGCAACCACAGUGAACAAGCUUAAGGGCAGAAGAAAAAGAAGUUGGGAAGAGAAAAUACAACAAACGCUGAAAAGCAUAGUGCAUUUUGAUUCACAAUUUGUUUGGCGGGUCACGCAAGUGCAAAAAUAAGCACAGUUUUUGGGCAUCAAGAAGAGUUCAAGAUAUGUCAUCAAUAUAGCAAGAUGCAGCUUUGUGAACAGUUCGUUCUACAUAUGUCAAUCUUUCACCUUCAGUGGCUGGUUUUCGAAAAUCUAUGUGAAAAGUCUAAAUGAGGAAAAUCAGUUCGUAUCAAGCAUCGAAUUUAGGAAUUGGCUUCACCUCCUUCGGUGGGUGCUCAUAACUCCUCAAACCUCUAGAGCUGGUGAAGCAGCAUCCUGAGUUGGAAGAGAAGGCAAUGUUAAAAAGGUGAACAAUUUGGCGCUCAAAAACCAUUGGAAGAGCAACAUUGUAAGUGAAAAUGCACAAAUCAAACAUGCAUACAGGUAAAGAGCACCAUUUUAACCAUAAAUUAUAAAUUUAGGUUUGGAACCAAUUUUUCCAAUAUGAUGUUACCCAACAAAAUAACAUUCUCCUCUCAAUUCUGCUUAAUAUCAGCAGAGCUCAUCCAUCCUUACUUUUCAUAUUGCAAUGCAUGGACUGAACCCCAGUGGAGCCGCAUCAACAAACCGAAAAAAUAAUUACCUUUAGGGAAUGGUGCGAAAGAUUUCCCAAAGCCCAUCUUCACGACUUCUGCAUUAUCCAAGAGAACAAGACUGCCUCCAGAAUCAAGUCCCCAGAAGAAAGGAACACUUCCAUCAACAUCCUGCAUGAUUCAGAGAACAGAAAGGAUUAGAUAUAGAUCACAGGUGACGGGAGAGAUUGAGAGUUAUAUCCCAGAACCAAACCAAUGGACAUUAUUAUUACUCAGAGGCCAGAAAAGCGGUUUUAGAACAGCUGUCGAAGAGCACAAAACCAAGCUUCCUGCUGAUGUCUCUCACAACUUGAUCAGCAGGGUAAGGCCUUCGAUCCCCAGAGUCCUAUAAGCUUCUAUGAUGAUGACGACCACAUUAGCAGUUUUGUUCCAUCCAUAUUGCUGCUUAAGAAGAGCAACAUUGUCUAUGUGUCCUGUGUCCUUGGAACAAGCAGAAGAUAUUAUCGACAACCGCAAACAAUUUGCCACAGAGGGUAAGGCAUGUCAAAUCUUGAUGUGGGAUGAGCUGAUAAAGAAGAGAAGACAGUACCACAAUUUCCAUCAAUUAACAAUCCAAUAAAUUUCAUUUUCUGGCUUUCAAAUGAACUAGAGACUUGAGUUCCACUAUCUCUUUGAGGCUGAUAUAUGGAACCUUUCAAAAUAUCACAAUAAAGUCCACCAAAAAUCAGUUUGAUCUAACCGUUGCCUCUCCAAACAAUGAAAUCAUGAUUUUUUUUUUUGGUUAAAGCUACCAUUAUCAAGAGAUGGAGUGGGUAUUUGAAUAGAAGAAAGAUAAACUUUAUUCUUUGACCAGGUAAUCAGUUUUUAAGUGGGUUUCGGCCUGCAUGGUUCGUUCAAAAUUUAGCUGUUUCAUUUGCAUAUUCAAACCCCCGUUUUCAAUUUAUCCUUCCAUCUAUACAAUAACUGUUAUUAGAAGAAAGAAAGCUUCUUAUUUUGAAUAUUGACCUGAACGUGUUAAAAGGAUAUUAUCCAACCCAUUCACAUACAGGAUUUCAUAUAGUAUUUUUGGCUAGGCAUGGUCUACAAUAUAGUUACUAAAAGCAAUUCUGUACAUAGAGUCAAAAGUACAAACUUUUUAAGAUAUUGGCAAGUGAUACUGCAUAUUCAAUGUUAAAAACUUAAGACUCAUCCUUCCAUGAGCCCUAAUCAAAUGACAAACAAGGGCUGCUGUUACCGUGAGUACAUCCUAUAUAUCAGCAGCAAUCCUCUCUUCAUCCUUUUUCGCUCUCUCCGUAACAAAGCCUCAUUUUAUGUUUUGUAAGGUAAUGUGAUGUGAUCCCAUUGAACCACUCUUGGCUGAUGACAAACUAAACUUGCCUGAUUCAACGAGGACUGAAGUAUCUUCUUAUGAUCCUGGAAAUUCCCAUGGAAAGGCGCCAGCUUGCCUUGAGAAACCACCCAGAGCUCGUCCAUGCUUCCAGAUAUUGGAUGCUCAUUGUGACUACCCUGCAAAUCAAGGUGAAAAGAUGGCUAUUAGCUGUAAAGACGAUCCAUCAUUGGUCAAAUUAAAGUAUUUUGACAAGAAAAUCAAUCUUGCCAUCAGACAUCUUCCUUGGAACAAGACCAGACCUUGAAUGAGCGCCUCAACCGCAUCCAUAUCCUGCAGUUUGGGAUAGUAAAAAUCACAGAAUCAUACUCAACAAUCCUUAGAAAAGAAACUAGCAAUUUACAAAGAUAAAACUUUAGUAGUCAUAGGUCAUUAAAGCAGAACUUAAAGUCCACAUUUAUAAACAAAGAAAUUUCACAUUAAUUAUGUGCAAAACCCAAUGCUCCCUAUAGGAUAUUGGAAAUACUUGGUGUAUAGAUUACUGCAAGACAAAAACACUGAUCAUGCUAGCAUACAUGUUCGAUUCCCAAUAUUUUGCCAGUUGGAACAAUUAGAUUGGUUCUGUUCCAUUAUAAGUUAGAUGUAAGAUGGCAGAGGCUCCCUGUUGUGAUCACUAAUUGGUUCCAUUGUAUUUUCAAUGUAAAGACCAGAUUCCUAUAAGUUCAAUUACUGCAAGAACAAUAUAACAAGCUAACUGAAAAAGUCAUCGAAGUCACAAAAUGGAGAAAAAUGAGCAAAGCUUACCAGAUGCAACAGUAGCAUAGAGGGAGGAGAUGUAUCAGACAAGGUUUGCAUUCGUCAAAGUGCAAGAUUUCCAGUUACACCAAACAAGCACCAGUGAGCUUGAAACUUUUGUUUCGGAACUCCCUAUAGGAAGAAUGCCACAUAAGAAGGAAUAUUCAAAUAAAAUAACAUUGUGAAUAUUGACAGUGCACCUAAUUCUUUCCUCUUGCAAUCAAAAGGCAAUCACAUUGAAGUACUCUCUUCUCUCACAAACUUUGCACAAUCGCAAAUUGCCCUCGCCAACAGCUUUGGUGAAAAUAUCCAUAAGAUAUCACCAUGGCAAAGCAAGACUACCAAACACAACAAUCAUCAGUAUGGCCAAUUGAAGUCACAGAACAAGAAGAAUCUAAGCUGAGAGUGGAUACAAGAGAAACCGAUUCCACACGAGGUCCACAACAUAAGACUUCACAUCGGUAGCGAUUGAUUUAGUCAUCAAGAGAAAUGACAACAAUGACUACCGCUUCAUUCAUUCAUUCUGCCUCACACAGCACACAUUUCUUUUGCAGGCGUUGUCGUCGACAAGAGACGAAGAACAUAUCAAUUGUCAACCAAACAAAAUGUGCAGGACAACCUUGGUGAGAUCAAAAUGGAGAAGUCACAAAUACGACCUCUUUUAAUUUAAAAACAUUUACUCGAUUGCUUAAGGCGGUGCUCAAGAUUGGCAAAAGGAUUUUACCUGAGAACCCCUGCAGAANNNNNNNNNNNNNNNNNNNNNNNNNNNNNNNNNNNNNNNNNNNNNNNNNNNNNNNNNNNNNNNNNNNNNNNNNNNNNNNNNNNNNNNNNNNNNNNNNNNNAUACCCUUGGGAAAUCAAAUCGCUGGAUGAGACGAAGUACGAAUUUUUCCUAAUUUUUUCUCGCACUCUUCGGAAUGAAGCUAUGCACCCAAACCAUUCAGCGAUUUUUUUCAUGUCCCUCCCCAAAUCAAAUCAAGUAUGGAAACACGAUAUCCGAAAAUUAUAAAUGCAAAAAUCUGGGAAACAAGGUCCCACAUACCUUCAGUGAAGAAAAUUAGGGCUAGAUCUACCAUUCAAAUGAUAUGUGCGGGAUAUGAGCGAUCUUGUCCCAGUCCUCGCCUGCUUGUCUUUUGCAACUCUCCCACAAUUCUCCGCAAUUGUAGAUGAGUAGGUGAGUAAGGGAUGUGAGCCUUCGCAUUGCUUCAGGGAAUGAUGUCAACGAGGAGCACUUGAUGAUGUCGAGAUUUUGAAGUGAUUGAAGGUCCUCGAUCUGCUCUGGUAUAUCCUUCAAAUUGUAGCAAUUCCAAAUAAGGAGACGCUCGAGAUUGCGGGCCUGUAGAAGCCAGUGUGGGAGAGAUGUCGGUUUGGGAAGGAGCUUUAUUCUCACGGAGCGGAGACUCGGAAGGCCUCCAUGGAAAUCCAAGAUGUUGCCGCUUUCGUCUUUGGAUAUAUCCAGCGCCUCACAAUCCUUGAAACGGAGAUCCACGAGGCUCGAUAGAUGUCGCAUACCUUGCGAGAGGGAAGUCAACUGAUGACAACCACCGAUGCUAAGAGAUUCAAGGGAAGUGAGACUUUGGAAGCCCUCCUCAGGCAAACAUUCUAAAAACUUUAUAUCGUAGAUAUUCAAUCUCUUCAACUUAUUAAGGCCAAGCAUCAUCUGAUUUAUCAACGCCGCUCCGUUGGCACGUGUCAGAUCUAACUCCUCGAGAUGAGGAGUUAGUGGCAUGGCUUUUAAUUUUUCACAGUACUCGAUCUUCAAUCGCAAUAGACUAGGAAAUGAUGCUGGUGAAGGGGAUGAUUGGUCCGACUCAAUAUAUUCCAAUUUAGGCAANNNNNNNNNNNNNNNNNNNNNNNNNNNNNNNNNNNNNNNNNNNNNNNNNNNNNNNNNNNNNNNNNNNNNNNNNNNNNNNNNNNNNNNNNNNNNNNNNNNNNNNNNNNNNNNNNNNNNNNNNNNNNNNNNNNNNNNNNNNNNNNNNNNNNNNNNNNNNNNNNNNNNNNNNNNNNNNNNNNNNNNNNNNNNNNNNNNNNNNNNNNNNNNNNNNNNNNNNNNNNNNNNNNNNNNNNNNNNNNNNNNNNNNNNNNNNNNNNNNNNNNNNNNNNNNNNNNNNNNNNNNNNNNNNNNNNNNNNNNNNNNNNNNNNNNNNNNNNNNNNNNNNNNNNNNNNNNNNNNNNNNNNNNNNNNNNNNNNNNNNNNNNNNNNNNNNNNNNNNNNNNNNNNNNNNNNNNNNNNNNNNNNNNNNNNNNNNNNNNNNNNNNNNNNNNNNNNNNNNNNNNNNNNNNNNNNNNNNNNNNNNNNNNNNNNNNNNNNNNNNNNNNNNNNNNNNNNNNNNNNNNNNNNNNNNNNNNNNNNNNNNNNNNNNNNNNNNNNNNNNNNNNNNNNNNNNNNNNNNNNNNNNNAACAGUGGUAGAGAUUAAGUAUUUGCAAGCUUUGCAAUCUCGUAAUGGAGUUAGGAAGCCUUCUGAGUGUUUGCUGUAAGAGAGAUCGAGAUAUGUGAGAUACUUCAACUCACAAAUGGACCUUGGCACCUUCUCGACCUCUAUGGCAUGUAGAUCCAAGAUGCGCAACCUCUUGAAAUUUUGAAUUAAUUGUUGUAGGUCUACUUCACUUGUUAGAUUGCUUCCCCAAUCUCCAAUAGUACACAAAAACGUUCUCAAUACACUUGGUUUCAAGCGUGAGAUUGGAAGUUCACCCAUUAAAUUGAAAGUCGAACCAUAGGAUAUAUGACGAGUUCUUUCAUUUAUUUGAUUUGUGUCAUCCCUUGCCGCCCAACACUUGUUCCCUGCAACCGAGUAGGCUAGAUCAUGCAUCAAAUCAUGCAUCUUGCAAGUUUCCUCAUUUGUGUAUGGAUCUUUUUUAAAAUCUUGGAAGAAGUUACUCCAACAUAGAUCCAUGAAAUAUUCAUGAGCAAUGUCUUCUAAAAGCUCACCUGAAUUUGAUGGCUGGAUAAAUCCUUCUGCCAUCCAAAGAUAGAGUAAAGUAUGCUUCUUUAUCUCAAAAUCUUUGGGAAACAAUGAACAAAAGGCAAAACAUUGUCUCAAAUGUGAAGGAAGUUCGUCAUAACUUAGCCUAAGAAUAGAUAUUAUAUGGUCUUCCCUUUGAGACACUUUUGGGAGCUCAACAUCUUUGAAAUGUAACCAUCCAUCUUUAGUUUCCUUAAAGAAUAAUAACCUCCCAAUAGUUCGAACAAUCAAUGGAACUCUAGAACACUUUCUAACUAUCUCUUUACCAAUAGCUAGCAUGCUAGGAUCUUGUCUGGCCCCUUCUUUUCGACCAGCCAUUCGCAUCAACAAAUCAAGAGAAUCACUUUCAGAUAAGCCCUUAAGAAGAAGAGGCGAAGCAGGGGAGGUGAUCUUUGCAACCAAAGGAAGGCGUGUAGUUAUAAGGAUCUUGCUUCCUCUAGCACCUCCCAUCAAUAAUGAUUUCAAGUUGUGCCAUGUUUCUGAUUUUGCAUCCCAAAAAUCAUCCAAAACUAAGAGAUAUCUCCUUCCAUCAAUUAUUUUCCUCAGUUCAAUUUGCAACCUAUCCAUCACAUUGUAGUUUGGUGGUUCUUUCUUCUCCACACAAACUAUGAUAUCUUUCACUAUUUUUAUCAUGUCAAAGUCAUUAGAAACACAAACCCACAUUUUCAAGUCAAAAUGUUUACUGAUCAUCUCAUCAUUAUACACAAAUUUAGCAAGAGCUGUUUUUCCAAGCCCCCCAAUACCAACUAUUGGAAGGAUAGAAACGUUCUCUUUCACAUCCAUGUCCAGUAAGAAUUUCAUGACAUUCUUUUUAUCAUUACCUCUUCCAAUAAUGUCUUCCUCACCUCCUCUCUCUUCCUCCGCCCUCUCUCUCUUCCUCCCGCCCUCUCGGUCCCUUGCCCAAGUGGAAAGUUCUUUUCAGCCUCAAUAUCUUUCAAUCUCUCCCUCACUUCUCUUAUUUUUCUACUCAUCUUCAGUUCAAAGCAAGCUGGUUUANNNNNNNNNNNNNNNNNNNNNNNNNNNNNNNNNNNNNNNNNNNNNNNNNNNNNNNNNNNNNNNNNNNNNNNNNNNNNNNNNNNNNNNNNNNNNNNNNNNNNNNNNNNNNNNNNNNNNNNNNNNNNNNNNNNNNNNNNNNNNNNNNNNNNNNNNNNNNNNNNNNNNNNNNNNNNNNNNNNNNNNNNNNNNNNNNNNUGGUGACGGUGCUCUCGAGCGCCUGAAGUUCACGCUUGAUGCCCCCUAAAUUUCCAACCUUUCCCAGUGCUUGAGUAAUCAGAUUGGCAAGGACGCUUCCACCAAUGCUGAUGACAGCUUCUGUCAUAUUUGUUCUCUCUAUCUCUCUUUCUCUAUGGGGUUGAGAAGAUUUUAGUCCUGUCGUUCCGAGGCUAGCGUCUUCUUAGAUGAUGUAUAAAAAGUCUGUCCUUGAGAUUAAAUGAGUGUACAAUAAUAGUAGAUAAUAGAAAAUAUUUAACUGACAAGCAGUAAUUCCAAAGCAUCCUAUGUCAUGUAAGAUUCCAUCCCAUCUAAUAAGUAAGGCGAGUUCCUAUUCAUACAUUCUUCUAGAAACAUUAUGUUAGAUUAUCUUAGAUUGAUUAAGUUUUUUUUUCUACCAUACCAUUAAGUAAUAUGUCUAAUUAACAUUAAGGAAAUUGGGAGGUAAUUGAGUGAUGAUGUGGUUCGACCGUUAAGCUCCAUUUUGCUGGACUUUCUUCUUAGUUUGGUUUUAAUAUAUGAUGCGUAAUAAAUUAAAACAAAACAAGGUAAUCACAAUGAUCAUAGGCUUUUUAAAAAAUAAAAUUAAUUUUGUGCUUUCUUAUGUAAAAUUCAAAAUGUUAUUUAAAUAUAAAAAGUCAUUAUUCAAAUUACAUAUUAAUGUUUACGUGUUGUGAAAAUUUCAUAUGUUUAAAGACAAAAUAAUGUAAAAUGUAGACUGAGACAACAUUAGAAGAAACAAAAAUAAAAUGUAAAAAUCUAUCAAGACAAGCCAUGAGCUAAGUUGGUGAUGCUCUUGAAAUCCGCUAGAGGUGUUGGACCAUGUCGUUGUCCUUUGUACUUGUUAUCUUUUCUUUUUUCCUUACUUUUUCUCUUUUUGGGCGAACAGAAAGUGUAAGGUAACAUGAUGUUGAAGCAAAGCCACAAUUUUUCACUUCAUUGGCCGACAAAAUGAGAAUCAGAAUCCACUUACAAGGGCUACACUACAUCCACCACAAUCUGCUCAAGCCCGGAAACCAUCUCAUUGCAGCUUAGAAAGUUAUCAUAGCUGUCUCGACAAGGGCAGCAGCAUAGGGAAUGCCCCGAUGGAUGCCCACUCUCUAGUGUUCAGUGGACAAGAUUAGCUUAUGCUCGGUGAUAAAAUGUUGUACUUUGCAAGACCGUACGUGUCAGAGAACAAGACAAAUGAAGAUAUUGAGUCUUAAGGUCUAGCGUCCCUGUCAAUUUGUGCACAAUCUCUUUUGAACUCUUUACCAAGCCCCUUUUCUUAUUAGUGUUGAACUCAAGUUCUUCUAAAUCACAUCCAACAAGUAAGAUAAAUGUGUUCCAAUAUAUGACCUAUUCCACACGAAGAAAAAGUACAUAAAAUGGCGAUCAUUUUGAAUCAGGUCCAAAUUUAUGAGUAAUAGCACGAGUCUUAACAUGAUCCUAAAUAUUUCACGAAACAUUUGGCAAGAUGCUUGAGAUCUUUAAUAAGGAUAGCAGGUGUUGCACGUUCUUAUUCACUUAUAAUCACAAUUAGUUGUUGUAUUUGGUCACUUCCCCUUCCAUGUUAGUUGCAUGUUCAUAAUUUCUAUGGAUGCCGAUUCAAUUAUAUUUAAUUCCAUUUCUUUCUAACCGCCCCUUGCUCUGCCAGGAUUUUCAAAAGAAAUCAUGUGACUCUUAGUAUGUACGUAGCGAGUAAUUUUUCAUGUGACCAGUAACUUUUUACAAGAUAUUCGACUUCCAAUAUAUAAAUAAAUACUCACCUAUUUACAUUAUUAAUAAUUUUUUACAUAAAAGGUAACCUAUCUACAUUGAUUCUU